rnacentral:lncRNA from 1 species
UCACAUUAUCUCUCUUUUGAUAUUAUCCCAAAACCAUAAGAAUUGUUAUCUUUAUGUGACCAUUCUGUCCAACCUAACGGGUCGUUGUGUACUUUAUUUACAUGGUUGUUGCUUAAAAAACAACACUUUUGAAAAAAUUAUACCACUACGCCAAGUAACUUCCGCUUUAUGCUUAGUUUUUUAGCUACUCCUUUCAGCUUUCAACAAUAUAAUGUAUUUUCUUAUGUGGUUAUUAAGAAUGUACAAAGCCACGAUUCGAAGAAUGAUAAAUCACUUAUAAGGAUAUAACUUCGAAAUGACAAAUCACAGUUAAGUUAUAUUAGUAUGGUUUUUAAAAUGUUUGCCACUUCCGAAUAACCAACAACUAUGUCUUUCAAAUUUACAACACAAAUCUUGAGACACAUAGUUAAAUUUGACCCUCGCCUUUAUAAUAAAGAAAAAUACAUAAUCAAAUUUGGAAUAAGUUUUAUUUAUCGGAAGGUUUUUUCAUGUGUUUAAUACAAAUAACAAUGCCAAAGCUUUAUUUAUGUGAUAUAUACAUGCUGUUUAGAUAUAGAACAAUAUUCAGCAGAGCUUAAAAACAGGGCCUAACGGUAUCGUACAAACACACGCAUGCGAAAUUUCUACGGUUUGAGAAACUUGUCAAACCAAUCACUCGCUUCUUUAAGCAUAGAUAACGUCACUUCAUGUCCAAUUCCUGGUUCGACUAUCACCUAAAUUUCAUUCGUAAUAAAAUACGUAAUUACAUCAUAUACAACACAAUAUUAUAUCAUAUAACAUUAUACUUUACCGUUGUUUACCAAUAUAGAAAAUCUACUCUAUUUUUUUACCUAUAAUAUCAACAUACUAAUAUUCUUUGUUAGUAAAGUACGUUGUUAUUCCGUGCAAUUUGCCCAUUUAGAAAAAUCAAGAAACAUUGGUCAAGACCCAAAAGUCAAAAGUUAAAAGUCAAAAGUCAAUACCUUGAAAUGAGUCAAAGAAUGGGCGUCGAAAGCCUUUUGUGUUGUUGAUAUGGUAGCAUCAAGACCUUCUAGUGGGCAACGGGGAUCGACUUCACCUGAUAGUUUUAUCCAUAUUAUUAUUUCAUCAGAAUAUAUAUAUAUAUAUAUAUAUAUAUAUANNNNNNNNNNNNNNNNNNNNNNNNNAGAAGAGUGGGUAGAUUGGUCAUUUCACCGUUUAUAAUCAACAAAGGGCGUACUGCAAUGACUGGGACUGUAUGAUGUGAGUCAAACUCAGAUGCUAAACCAGGAGCUAUUCUGUUCCAAACCUGGUCAUAAAAGUAGCACAACAUCGAAAGUUAGACGCCAAUUCAAUGCACAUGUGCAACACAUUUUAUCAAUCUUUAUGAAACUUACCUUUUCUACAACCUCUUUGUCAAUGGUAUCCUUCCCUAAAUCAAUCCUUGCUUCUGAAGAAAAAGAAAAUAAAAGUAACAUCACAAAAUCAUGCAAAAGAAAUUACAAUUUAGAAAGAGUGAAUAUGCUAACUAUAGCUGUAAGAUUCUAAAAACCAUAUAUAUNNNNNNNNNNNNNNNNNNNNNNNNNNNNNNNNNNNNNNNNNNNNNNNNNNNNNNNNNNNNNNNNNNNNNNNNNNNNNNNNNNNNNNNNNNNNNNNNNNNNNNNNNNNNNNNNNNNNNNNNNNNNNNNNNNNNNNNNNNNNNNNNNNNNNNNNNNNNNNNNNNNNNNNNNNNNNNNNNNNNNNNNNNNNNNNNNNNNNNNNNNNNNNNNNNNNNNNNNNNNNNNNNNNNNNNNNNNNNNNNNNNNNNNNNNNNNNNNNNNNNNNNNNNNNNNNNNNNNNNNNNNNNNNNNNNNNNNNNNNNNNNNNNNNNNNNNNNNNNNNNNNNNNNNNNNNNNNNNNNNNNNNNNNNNNNNNNNNNNNNNNNNNNNNNNNNNNNNNNNNNNNNNNNNNNNNNNNNNNNNNNNNNNNNNNNNNNNNNNNNNNNNAAUUAUGGGGACAACCACUGAAUAACGUGUAUCAGCAAAAGCAGCAAACCAUGCAUGCAUUCCUACAUCACAAAUUCAUACAUAAAUAAUUGAGUUGUGGAAUUAAAGGCAUGAUAACUCAUUAUAUANNNNNNNNNNNNNNNNNNNNNNNNNNNNNNNNNNNNNNNNAUAUAUAUAUAUAUAUAUAUACACACACACACUCUUGUUUUCGCUAGAUGUUGUGUUUAAUAAAAUACUAAAAUUCAACCUCCAAGUGACAUCCCAAGGAUUCCUAUCUUGGAAUUGUCUAUGUCUUCUCUUGCGGUUAGAUAAUCUACCAACGUUAAAAGGUCCCACACCUAAAACAUAAUAAAUGUUAAACAUUUGGGCAUUAAAAGGUUUUAAUGUCAUUUGAAAAAUUCAAGAGUUAAGAAGUAUAACCGUGUCAUAUAUAAAUGACAUUGUGUCACCUUUUUUCCAUGAUGAAACCAGAGCCUGGAUCCAGAAUACAUAAACAGAAUAUAUAAAAUUGAAGAUAUAUUUAUGGUUUGAGAUCAUGAAAGAUAAUUAGUAUAUUCUCAAUUGUACUCUUCAAAAACUACUCAACUAUAUAUAGCAUGGAAAAAUUGGUUUCCAUAUGAAUCACAUUGCUAUAACUGGAUAGAUUUUUUUCAAAGUAGGAUUCUAUUAUAAACAAAUAUAUGAAAGUAUGUUGCUUUAUAUUAUUUUCUUGCAUUUAUCCCUAUUCUUUUUGGCAUAAAGAAAAUAAAAAUAAAUACAGGUUUCAAUGCUCACAUCUUCAUAGGCGGUGGGGGUUUUGGCACGUUCUCCAUGGUAACGAGAAUCAAUGGCAACUGCAAUAUAUCCACGUGAAGCAUAAUCCGGAAUUCAAAGGAAGAAAUCAUUAGAUGUUAAAUGAAGAAAUCACCAAUCUACCCUUGUAAUUUUAUAUUAUACCUCAAGUAAAGGGCGUACCCACUCUUUGCAUGUAUGUGAGCUAUGUAGAAAAACAACAGCUGGUCUUUUCGAAUGUGUGCUUUCUUUCUUGCUCAAAAUCAGCACAGGCAGUUGCCCUUGCUCUCCUUCCUAAUUUGAAUAAAAUAAUUAGUUUCAUCAUGUUAACAUCAGGAAUAAAAGAAUCACAUGUUAGUUUCUUCAUAAAGGUGCUCAUAGGAAAUCUUUAAACAGAGAGAAGUGUGUGUAUAUAUAUAUAUAUAUGUUUCUUGUUAAAUUAAUAUAAAAAGAAUUACUUAACAGAGAAAGUCAAGGAAAGAAGGCUCCUCCAAUAUGAGUGUUUAUUUUUAACUUAAUAAUGCAGAAAGAUUGACUUUAUAGAAAAGGUCUAAUUUAAUUCCUAGCAUUUUACAAAUUUCUUUUCGUUUAUUUUUUCCUUCAAUCCUUCCAUACUAUCAUAGUUCCAUGUAUGUAAUUAUUUUCUGAUCAGAUAUCUUUCAAAUGUCAUAUUAACUUUAUCAAAUUAGCAUUCAAUGAGAAAAAAAAGGGGGUGAAAGUUACCUCAGUGAUUAGGUAGAAGUUUUCUUCUUUGAAGUUAUGGAUGGGUGCUUUCGGGACGGAUUUCAUUGCCUGAUAGUGUUCAAUUAAGAUAACUUCUAACAAUGAUUAACAGAAAAGUAAAGUAUAUGCCAAGUAAUGUCCACCUCAUAGUCACAAGGUGUUCCCUGAUAUAAGGGUUCCACCACGCAUUUUGCAGGUAGUGUCUGAAGUGGAACUGAAAAAAAAAAACUAUAUUAGAAAUAUAUUAUGAAUCCACAUUUUGAAAAAAAAAAAAAGAGAUGAAAUCAUAUUUCAAUGAAAUUAUUGGUAAACAAGAGUGAUAACAGUAGUUAUUGAUGAAGAAAGUUAAAGUUAAUUCCUUUCCUAAUAAGACAUUGAGAGAUAGAGAACAAAGUUUGGUGUUGUUUCUUUGUUACCUAAUGGGGUCAUGACUUAAUCUGGUAAGGUAGUUAUGUUUUAUCUUUUUUUUUUUUUUUUGAGUUGAUGCAAGAGAAAAGCUUUAUUGAAAAGGUUACGGAAAUGAGGCUUUUCCAGUUAAGUCCUAUCUUUUUACAAAUAUACACAACUCAGUUUUUCCUUCUCAAUUAUUUUCUCUAGAGAACAAUUAAUGGAAAACAAAGAAACAGGGUGUUACAAUAGAAACUCCAUGUAUUCAGACAAGUUUUGCACUUUGACUUUGGAUAAUCAAAUGAGUUAUUUUAUAAUGAAAGCAACUGACCUUAUACUACUCUUAGAAGAUUGAGGAAGUUGUCGAUAUUUAUAAACCAAUCUAGAUACAUAAAACGCACACAAUUUAGCUGUGAUCUCCAUAGCCACUAUCUUAAUUAGCUCAAAAGAAAUCUACUGCUACUAGCAGUCUAGCAGCAAUAUCUGUCCCAGAACUACUCCUUUUUCUAUAUUGCUUAAUUAUUUUAGGCAAAGAACUCACAGGGUUGUAUGAGAGUAGAGGAGAGUAUGAUAUGAGCCCAAGUAUUCGCAACAAAUAAACAUAAAAAUUGACCAAAUCUAUGAAUGCAGCUUGCCUAAAGGAGAACGGCGACUACGGAGAACUUCAAGGAAUUGUGAACGGAGGUUGGCUUCUGAUUCGAUAGGAUCCAUCUUCUCGAAAUUCCGACGAGGCAACUGUGACGUGAAUACGUUAAGAUGAUAUGGGGUGCUUAUAUUUAUAGGUGAUACUUUGAUAGAGUGCGAAUGGAGAGAACAAUUUACUGAAAUGCUCCUUGUCGUUUGCUAAAAUUUCACAUUUGGUUCCUAUGUUUUCUUUUGCACUUGGAAGGUCCCUAAGUUUUAAUUUUAUUGUGUUUUUCAUCCCUCAUAGCGCUAAAAAAAAGACUAUAUUGUCCUUUAUAUUUAUAUUUCAUUUUUAUAUUAUUAGUUUAUUAUUAAAUAAACUUGAAAUUGGACCCACCCAAAACCCUACACCCCUCAUGCCCUUCUCUCUCAUUUCAGUUCAUCUGCGAUGCUAACUACCAGACGCUGCCGGAAAACACCAAACACUACCCUGCCGGAAAACACCAAACACUACCGGAAAAAACACAAGAGGUGUUUUUGGAAAGUUAAGAGACAACGAUGGUGGUGGUGGUGAUUGUUUGUUAUUGGUCUGAUGAAGCUUCCGGUGGGAGGGUUUCGAAAGUGGUGGUGAAUUAAAAUGAGAGAGAAGUACAUGAGAAGUGUGGGGUGUAGGGUUUUGGAUAGGUUCCAUUUUAAGUUUAUUUAAUCUUUUAUAUUCAUUAAUAAUAAAUAGAUAAUAAAAAAAUUAGAAAAGAUAAAGUCAAAGGACAAUAUGGUAUUUUCAUCUCUGCGAGGAGAUGAAAAACAAAAUAAAACAAAAACCCAUGGACGGUUCGAGUGCAAACGAAAACAUAGGGACCGAAAAAGAAAAUUUUGCAAACCACAGGGACCAUUUUCAGUAAUUUUUACUUUAGGAUACGCAUCGAAUAAAUUACGAAAACUGUUUGUGUUUAUUUAGGAUAUGCCUUAUGUAAAUUACGAAAAUCGUUUAUUUCAUUUAGGAUAUAGAUUGAGUAUGUUAUGAUAAUCGUUUGUUUCAUUUAGGAUAUGCAUCAAGUAAAGGGUAAAUAAUACGGAUGAUCCCUAUAGUUUAGGGUAAUCUGCGUGUUUUGUCCCUAACAACCUUUUUUAACUCGGACGAUCCCUAUUUUAUAUUUUUGUUGCAUGCUUGGUCCUUAUCCUGUGUAAAAAAAUUGAUUUACCACUACUGAUUUCUUUUAUAUUUUUUAAAUUAUCGAUUAAAUAAAAAUUAUUAAUUAAAUGUUAAAAAAGGUAUCAGUUAAGUAUUAAAAUUUGAUGGGUCCCACCACCUCAUUCCUACUCUACCCACCUCAACCUUCACCCUCCACCCUCUUCUUCUCUGGUAAAUAACCCACAAAUUUGGUUUCUCCGGCGAACCAUCCAUAACUCCGUUUCAUUUUUAUCCUCCUUCUCCGACCAAAACGACGCCUUCCCGCUUGCCCACCCCCUUGGUGUUUCUGGAAAUAUCCAUAACCAAGCUUAUAACUACUGUCAACUUUAUGAAAAAAACACAAAACUAAAACCAAUAUUUGAUGAAGCUGAAAUCUCAAAAAAAGAAAAUAAGAUGAAAUAGAAAUCAUAAAAUAACACACAGAUUCUAAAUUACAACCCAAUUGAUGAACUUAAUGUUCUAGAUUGCACACCUUAAGCCAUCAAAUCCAAAAAAAAAAUCCCAAAAAAAUAUUUUCAACAUUUAUUUCGUUAAUAGAUGAGACUAGAAAAAAAAGGGGGAGUGGAGAGAAGCUGAAACCAGAUGAUGGUGACCUCCAUGGAUCUGACUUUCAUAUCUUAUUCUCAUUUCUUUCUCAUGAUGCAACGACGCUCGAACCACCGAACCCUAGCCGCCUCUAGUCUCUUUCUUCUCUCAUUUUCUUCUUCUUUCUCAUGAUGGACGGUAACGGUAAAGGGAUUUAGGAUCCGAUGAAGGUGGACGAGGACUGAAGCAAUGACGAUGGUGGGUGGACGUUCAUUGGCCGACGGUAAUGAGCCGAGAGAUCUUUAUAGCGGCACAGCCACCAGAAACCACGAUGCAUGGUUUUGAUUUCACAAUGGUGGCUUUAGGAAUGAUCGACAGUCUGGGGUUUAAGGGCAUUUGAUGGUCCGGUAAUGGUGGAUUCCGUCGGUAAUGCUUCGCCUGUCACAUCUGAGCAAGAAAUAGAGAGGCAGUAGAAAGGAAAGGAAGGAAGGAGAUGCAGCUCGAUAUUGAAGAUGAACGAGGGAUAAAGGAUGGGAUGCAAGUCACGGUGGCGAAGGAGGAGGUAGCAUGGAUGCAGCCGACAAUGAAGAAGGUCGAAGGACGUAAGACCAUCCGCAUUGGUGACAGCUCACUAUGGGCCACCCAAAAAAUUAAAAAAAGUAAAUUAAAAAGAAAAGAAAUUGAAUGAGCAGAUUGCCCCCACAACCUAGCUCACCAUAGUUCACCAUCUUUCUCUCUUCUUUUUCUUUUUUAUAUCUCAUUUAUUUGAUAAAAAAAUUGACUUGAUAUUACUUUUAGAAUUAAAUAAAAUAUAAUAAAAAACAUAAAAUAAAAUUCUCUACAAAAUGAGUAUAAUGUUGAUAUAUUUUUUGUUAAUUUUUUAAAAAUAAAAUAGAGGAUUGGGUUGGGUUGCUAAUGUGAAUAAAAGUUCAUGGUCAGUUACGUUGUGUAUGUGGAAGAUACAUAAAAUAAUAUUUUAAUAAAUAUUUGGGUUGGGUUGGUUGCCAAUGAAGGUAGUCUAAAGGGAGUAGGUUUUGGUGGUGGGCCCACAUGGAUUUUUUAUUAAAUAAUAUUGAAAACAAAAAUUAAAUAAAAAUAAUUUUAAAAAUAAAAUUAUAAGGGUAAAGUGGUCAAUUUAAGUUAAUAAAGAUCAAAUAUACGCAACAAAAUAAAGUUUUAGGGACGGUACGAGUUAAAAAAAAGUUUUUAGGGACCAAUCACACAAAUCACCUUAAACCACACGGACCAUUCGCUUGGUGUCCAAUUAAUCGUUAGGCGGCCUUGAACUGAUUACGAUUAGAGUGCUUGGCGGAAAUUAGUCAAAAUCGGGCUCGUCGGUCGUUGGCACUCCUUAGCGGUAAUAGGUGGGAAAUAUUUAAAAAUUCAAAAUUUUUAAUUUUCAAACAUUACUUUAAAAUAUUAAAAUUUCAUAUUUUUAAGUUUUCAAAUUUUAAAAUAUUAUUCUAAAAUAUUCAAAUUUUCAAAUUUUAAACAUUUUAAAUUUUCAAAUACUUAUUUUUUUUAGGAUAUAUUAAUUUUUUAAAUAAUUUUAUUAAUAAUUUAGGGUCCCCAAUUAAUCUCCUCCGACUAAUCCCCACCUACUUCAAUUAAUCGUUUACCGGUCGACCAUCAGCUAUCGUCGAAUGAUUUUCACAACUUUGCAUUUAGGAUAUGCAGCGAGUAAAUUAUGAAAACCGAUUGUGUCAUUUAGGAUACUCGUUAUGUCGAUUACAAAAAUUGUUUGUUUCAUUUAGGAUAUCCAUUAUGUAAAUUACAAAAAUCGUUUGUUUCGUUGAGGAUAUGCAUAUGUACGUUAAGAAAAUUGUUUGUUUCAUUUAGGAUAUGCAUAGAGUAAAUUACAUAAACCGUUUGUUUCAUUUAGGACAUAGAUUAUGUACAUUACAAAUUGUUUGAUUCAUUUAGGAUAUGCAUUAUGUAUAUUACGAAAAUUGUUGUUUCAUUUAGGAUAUGCAUCGAGUAAAUUACAAAAAUCAUUUGUUUCAUUUAAGAUAUGCAUCGAGUAAAUUACGAAAAUUGUUUGUUUCAUUUAGGAUAUGCAUUAUGUAAAUUAUGAAAAUCAUUUAUUUCAUUCAGGAUAUGUGUCGAUUAAAUUACGAAAAUUGUUUGUUUCAUUUAAAAGAUUUUUUUUUGCAUUUUUUCUUUUCGGUCUUUCUUUUUUGAAAUUGUAUUAAAGUUCAUAUUUUUACUUUUUUUGUAUAGAAAUUGAAAUUGUAACUGAACCUGCAUUUGAUGAUAUUACACCUUGAGAUCCCGAUUUCACAAGGGAUGAAGGUGGGGCAAUAUAUGUCAAAUUGGGUUAAUGUUAUCUUAAUAUAAGCGCUUCACCUUUUUCAGCCCUAAUUUCAUGCAUUAAUGUUUGUGCUUAUGCAAGUCACUCCUAUAAAAAAACAAACAACAUAGGUUUUAUCUUUUCAACAUCCAUAUACUAGUAUGAUUUUGCUUUACUCAUAAACCAUAUGCAUUUGGCACCCACUCUUUAUGUUUAUAUUGUUUGUAAAUAUACAUAAUCACAUGAAAUCUUUUCUUCUUUGUCCUCUUAAUUUGAACGCAAUUUCUAUCAGAAUUUAAAGAAGUCUAUUUUCUUGAUGUUGCAAACUUAGCAGAGUGCAUAACAAAACCUAGAGCAAUUAAAAGAUAUAUUCAUGGAAUUUGGGAGGCUCGGCACUUUAAGGGAAUACAAGUGUUAAAGUGGUAGUCGAUUGACUUAUUGACUUAUUUCUUGUGUAUUUUACAUUCCAUUACGAUAUAGUCUGCUCCAAUUUCCAUGUUUUUUUUUCCAGAUACAUGAUGAUUAGUAAAAUGACAAAAUGAGUUACAUGAAGAUAGCUUGUAUGGCUUUUAUGCCCUUCGAGUUGCACAUGUGAUUUAUGGUUGUAAAUUUGGAAUGCCUGAAUAUCAAUCUUUUUGUAAAUAUUUCGAUGAAGGUAUGGAUGUCACAUGAAGUUUUUUCUACAUGCACCCUUCUAAUUUAAUCAACUUUUUGUAACCUAAAUAGAAAAACUUAUAAUAUUAUAUACAUAUUAAUUAGAAUUAUGAAGAAAAAAAUAUUUUGAAACCAAGUGGUAGCCUAGUCGAAUAAAGUUUGAAUUGUAAAAGAAAAAAAAUCAUAUAUAAACUCCAUGUAUUAAAACACUAGACGUCACUCGAAAACACCAAACAAUACCGGAAAACACCAAAUGUCAGACGCCACCGGAAACCACCAAGAGGCGACAUGAAAUUACAAGACACCACCGAUCUGAAAACACCAUGGUUCCAUUUUAAGUUUAUUUAAUCAUUUAUAUUCAUUAAUAAUAAAUUAAUCAUAAAAAGCUAAAAAAAAAAAAGAUAAAUACAAAGGACAAUAUGGUCUUUUCAUCUCUACGAGAGAUGAAAACGCAAUAAAACCAAACCCUAGGGUCCGUCCGAGUGCAAAUAAUAACAUAGGGACCAAUCAUGAUUCUUUUUGUAAACUAUAAGGACCAUUUUAGUAAUAUGUUCUUUAGGAUAUCCAUUGCGUAAUUACGAAAAACGUUUCUUUCAUUUAGGACAUGCAUUAUGUAAAUUACGCAAAAUGAUUCUUUCAUUUACGAUAUUCAUCGAGUUAACUACGUAAAUCGUUUGUGAAAAUCAAUUACAAGUGGCAAAGGCACCAAAUAUCAUUUAGGUUAUGCGGUAUGGUUUUAACGUCAAUUACGUUAUGCUUACUUGACGUCCCUUAACAUAUGUUAUAAUAUGUGAAAAUUGUUUUGCUUUCAUGUGAUGUUAAGCCAUUUUACCCUCUCAACAUUUUCCAACGUCGGCUAAGAAAAAGAAACAAUCAACUUUUCUUUAUUCUUUUUUCCUUUUUAAGUGGUGUGAUCGUGUGGUGUAUAUUUCCUAGCAAAAAUGGAGUCAUGCGUAGAAUAACAUGACAAAAGAUCAAUCCUAUAAGUUAUAUGAAAUAUAUUCCUAUUAGUUAUUAUUAGUUAUUAGUUAAAUGAGAUAUAUUUGUAAAUAUCUUUAUUGGACAAAUUGGUCAUUCCUUUCUAAUUUUUUGUUAAGGUUUUGCUAACCUUUUUAAUUUGAAAACUUUAUCUCUUCUAAAAAAUAAAAUUAAAUUAAAAUUUCAACUGAAUCUUCAAACGAUGCAUAUGGAAGGACCGAAGGAAAAAAUAAACGAAAAGAAAUUUGUAAAAUGCUAGGAAUUAAAUUAGACCUUUUCUAUAAAGUCAAUCUUUCUACAUUAAGUUAAAAAUAAACACUCAUAUUGGAGGAGCCUUCUUUCCUUGACUUUCUCUGUUAAGUAAUUCUUUUUAUAUUAAUUCAACAAGAAACAUAUAUAUAUAUAUAUCAGUGUUGUAAAAAUCCCGACUAGGUCCCGAUUAAUCCUUAGGCGCUAGCCGACUGAUUAGAGGGCACCUAGCGAUUAUCUUAUAGAUCUAGCCAAUUAUUCAUUUAGGACAUUUUUGGUCCAAACUAUGAUGAUUCUUAAGCAUGUCAUGCUCUUAAUCACAUAACUCGUCCUUUCAGACCCAAUGAGGGGUCUUGAGUCAUAAAAAUGUGGUCUUAAUGCUUAUUCCUUCCCAACGCAUGCUUUAAAAGGUCUUAAGGUGUUAAGAAGUUGGGAUUUUAUUUAUUAUGCACUAAUGGGCAUGCAAAGUCAUAAAGUUGGAAACUUUAUGACUCUUAGUGGUAUUUUGGCCAUGGAUCUGAAAUUUGGACGUGAGAGCUUAAUGCAUUAAGCUCUUAUUGAUGAAAAAGGAUUUUGUGCAUAGGUCGUGCGUAACCCAGAGUACGCCACACAUAUGGGGUCAACCGUCCCACUCCAGUCAAAGCCUGAGUACGCUCAGCAUAGGAGUUGAGUACGCCCCAUGUACUCAGCUGAGUGGACCGAGUUGACUCGUUGACCUUGACAUUUUACCAAAGUUUUGACCAAGUUAACCUAAGGGUAUUUUAGGUAUUUUGAGCUAAUUAGUUGAGAUUACGUCCUUGGUUUUGGUUAGGUGAUCGUUGAGCCGAUUCUGGGGACUGAGAUUUAUUCAGCUUGCAUUCAGACUGAGAGUUGAAUUUUCCUCACCGUACCCAUGGGUCGUAGGCACCAAUGUAGGCCUAUUAGAUUAUUGAUGUUGGUCAGGAUAAUGAUAUGAUAGUUUGUAGCUAUUCAGUAGAUUUGUAUGAUUAUCUUUAUUUUCUAGCUGACUGUUUAUGUUUAUUUGUUGGAUAUGUCGACAUGUGGUGUUGGGUUGAGGCGGUUAUGUUUUACACUAUAGGCUAAGACACCUUGGGACCACCAAAUAGGUUGUAGGCCCUGUGAGGUGGCCCAUUCAGGCCGGCGGCCUGUGGAGCGGUCCGGAUAGGUUGUAGGCCUUGCGAGGCGGUCCAGUCAUGUCGAAGGCUCGUAGAUAGGUUCAGAUAGGUUGUAGGCCCUGCGAGGCGGUCCAGUUAGGCUGCUUGCUCAUAUUUGUAUGCUUAUUUGUUAUAUGGUGUGUUGUUACUUUGGGGGAACUCACUAAGCUUUUGGUUACAGUUUUAGUUUAUCGUUUCAGGUACUUCUGAGGACCGUGGGAAGGCAAAGGCAUGAUCGAACACAACUUCCUGUUUUAUGUCACCGGGUCUUGGGAAAACUCUGAUUUGAAAUAAUUUUUUUGAGACAAUGACUUUUUUGUAAACAAUAUUGAUUCAUGGUUGGUUAUGAAAAUUUUAAAUUUUUUGUGAUUUUUGGAGUCUUACAAGCUGGUAUCGGAGCCUUGGUUUUAGAGAAUUGGAUGAACAUUUAUGUGAAUCCAGACUCAAGCUAGGGAACUACAAAAGUUUUAAACUGAUUUUCAAAAUUGUUUUCAAAAGUAAAUAAGGAAGGAUGCGAUGUGUACAAUCAGCCGAAGCAAGAAAGUAUUAAUGGGUUAUGAGCAUUACAAUAUUCAUGGUGCACAUGGAACCCUAAUUGCUUUGGAUCUAGGUUUUUCUCAAGUUAUACAUGCAUAAUAAUUUUCCAAAGCAAAACCCUAAUCUAGCAUAGAUAUUUUCGGGUUCGAUGAAUAAACAAGAGUUGGAAGAAUACAUUUCUUGUUGAUUGCUUGAUCUUGACCUUCAAGAGCUUAGUGCCUCAAUUCUUGAACCUCUAAUGAAGUAAAAAACACCAAUAGCAAUGAGGAAGAAGGAGAAAGGUUGUGGAGCUUCACAAUUUUCGGCCAAAGGGUUCUCUAAGAAUGCAUAACCGAAAAGUGUAACCUAAGGGCUCCUUAUAUAGCUGAGCUGCUAAGGUUUUCUAGAUGGAAACCCUAAUUUCCCUUGCUUAGGCCCUAAGCAACAUAUGGACCCCCCCCCCAUAUAGCAAGCCUUGGACGAAACCUCUAUGGGCUCCCCAUAGAUUUUCGUCCAUCUUAUACCAAUAGGAUCCAUUAUCCCAAACUACAACUAUUACUGAUUUACAUCAGCAGUCCUCGUUCUUUUAAUCAUUUUCUUUUGAUCACUAAAGUAUUUCCAAAUUAAUUUCUAAUCAAUACUAAUUAAAUAAUAUUAUUUCUCAAUUAAUAUAUUAUUCUUAUAAUAUAUUAAUAAAUCAUUAAUUAACCUCCAAAACUAAUCCUAUCAUAUUGCUAUGGUGAAGACAACGCAAAAGGAACAUGCUACAAUCGGGUCAAGUACAUAACAAUUAUAGUUAUGGGCUUAUACACCUAAUCCAACAAGUAUACCCUAAGUUACCCACACUAUUAUUGAUAUUAUGUUUAUGUUAAAACAACAUACUAGUGGUAGGCUAGUGAUCUUCAGGUAUUGUUAGAAAUUGGGGUAUAGUAAGGCUUGGAAUUCUUAGAAUUGUGUAAAACACUUUCAGAUUAAAGCAUUUGGGUGGUACUCCCAAUAUUCUUUAAUCAGAUAAGACUCAGAGAGACAAUAAUUUAGAAUGCUUUGAUGAUGAUUUUGUCUAUACCAGAAAAUCAGACCAAAAACUGAAUUUAUGAUCUUUUUCUGAAAACUGUCAUAUGACAGUUUCAAACUGUCAUAUGAUAGUUUCAAACUGUCAUAAACUGUAAAAACUGACAUAAAACGAAAGUUUGGAUAAGGGUCAAACAAUGGUCAAUUCUCUGAAAAUACGAUUUUCUGAUGUAUUUUUUAUAUAGCAACAUACCCUAUAUAAAAAAAUUUCGCGCCGACCUGGUAGGGGCUCUACCCCUUGGAUCCAGCCAGGGGCUGCCGCCCCUUGGACCCCGCUCCCAGGGGCGCUGCCCCCGGACCCCCGUUUGUUUAGGGGCUUCGCCCCUAAAUGACAGUGUACUUUGAUAACUUGAUCAAACUUAAACAAGUGUGUACUCCACACCUUCCUUACUUGUUUAAUAUUUAUCAAGAUCACCUUUCGUCAACAAAAGUAAUCCCAUUACACUUAAAUAAUAUUGAUGACAACAAAUCACCAACAAACCUCCCCAAUUUAAGUGUAAUCUUAAUUAAUUUAAAAUGAAACAUAACACCAACAAACUGAUGCAUAAAUGAAAUAUCGUGACGAUUGAAUUUCACCUUAGUAUAUUACACAAUCCAAAUAUUCGAAUAUCAGGGUGUCACUAAGGAUUGAACCCUUUCUAUCCAUAGUGAAUACAUGAAGAUAAUACACACAACAGUUUACAUUCUCCUAAGUUCUGACUUGACACUAUAUUUUACUAGCUUGUGUCCCAUCCUUCAAUAAGCAUAUCAAAGCCAAGUCCUAACUUCUUGAAGCAGCUAAACUUCAUGCUUAUAUAGGUAGUCCUUUUAUUCUUUCACCUGCAAAUGAAAUUUUUCAAAAGAACUAUUAAGAAUAUAAAUUCAACCUCCUUUACUUGCAGUACUGAACACAUACCUUGGGAUGAUGAUAAUAAUGUGUUCCAAUCUUCAAAUAUCAGGCUUUCCACAUUGAAUUCAACAUCUAAUAUCACAUUAAAUGGGAAUUUGGUAUCUCAAUAUAAAAGAUUUUAAGUGCACUUUAAACCCAUCCCUAUAGCCGCCUUGUGCACAAGAUCUCUUGCUAACCCUUUGGUUAGAUGAUCGGCUAAAUUCAACUGAGUUCUUACAAACUCCACAGAUAUCACACCAGUNCGGAUCAUGCAUGUCUAACACCUAAAUGUCUAGACUUUCCAUUGUAUACUUGACUAUAAGCCUUAGCCAAGGUUGCCGCACUAUCACAUCUGAUAGAAAUGGUAGAUAUCAGUUUGGACCAUAAUGGAAUUUCAUAAAUCAAAUUCCUUAGCCACUCAGCUUCUUUACCAGCAGCAGACAAAGCAACAAAUUCAGACUUGAUGGUUAAUACAAGUCUAUUUCUUAGACGCCCAAGAAAUGGCACCUCCUCCAAGAAGAAACACCCAACCACUAGUAGAGGAGUGAUCUUCUAAGUUGUUAAUCCAGCUGGCAUCUGAAUAACCUUCUAAAACAGAAGGAUAUCCACUAUAAGUUAAACCAUAAUUCAUGGUCCCUUUUAAGUAUUUGAAUACUCUACUCACGACUUGCCAAUGAUGUAAACUAGGAUUACUAGUAUAUCUACUAAGCCUUCCCACAACAUAUGCUAUAUCUGGCCUAGUACUAAUCAUGGCAUACAUUAGACAACCAAUAGCCCUUGAGUAUUCUAGUUGAGACACCGGAGAUCCUUUAUUAGGUAGAAGCUUAAGACUAGGAUCUAUAGGAGUGCUAACAGGAGAACAAUUCUCAAAGUUAAACUUUUUCAAUAUCUUCUCAAUAUAAUGAGAUUGAGAAAUUGAAAUCCCAUUGUUUCCUUUUCUAAUUCUUAUACCAAGAAUUACUUCAGCCUCCCCCAUGUCUUUCAUAUCAAAACUAGAUGAUAAGAAUUUCUUGGUUUUAUCAACUUCUUCUAAAUCAGUACCAAAAAUCAACAUAUCAUCUACAUAUAAGCAAAUCAUGACUCCUUUACCAGAAGUAUCAAAUUUGCUAUAUACACACUUGUCAGCUUGGUUUAAUGCAAAACCAUUAGACAAGACAACAUCAUCAAACUUUUGAUGCCAUUGUUUUGGUGCUUGUUUCAAACCAUAUAAUGAUUUCUUCAACUUGCACACUUUGUGUUCAUUUCCAGGCAUCACAAACCCUUCAGGUUGUUUCAUGUAUAUUUCCUCAUCCAAGUCACCAUUCAAGAAUGCAGUUUUCACAUCCAUUUGGUGAAUCACAAGAUUAUGUAUAGCUGCAAGAGCUAAUAAUAAUCUAAUAGUAGAAAUUCUGGCAACAGGAGCAUAAGUAUCAAAGAAAUCAAUGCCUUCCUUUUGUCUAAAGCCUUGGAUAACCAAUCUGGCUUUAUACUUAUCUAUUGUGCCAUCCACCUUCAUUUUUCUUUUGAGGAUCCAUUUACAUCCUAAUGCCUUGCAACCAGGAGGUAAAUCAGCCAAUACCCAAGUAUUGUUAUGCAUGAUAGAAUCAAUCUCAUCAUGAAUUGCCUCUUUCCAGAAAUGAACAUCCCUAGAAGCCAUAGCUUCACUGAAAGUCUUUGGAUCCUCUUCAAUAUUAAAACAAUAUUGAUGUUGAGAAACAAUCGCAUUCCUUGUUCCUUCAACUAAAUAUAGUUGAAAAUCAUAUCCAAAAGACUUAGCUUUUCUAGCUCUGGUGUUUUUCCUAGGUUUGGGUAUAGAACUUGCACCACCAGAAACAUCUUCAGCUUGAGUAGCACUUUUGUUGGAAAAUUGAUGAACCAUGUCCCUUGGUCUAGGUAUAGAUGUAAAUCUUUCUUCAUCAAAAAUAGCAUCUCUUGACUCUAUCACUGUGUUUACAGACACAGAGUCAUUAGAUUCUAAAACAUAGAAUCUAUAUGCUUUGGAAUGCUCAGGAUAUCCAAUAAAUAUACAAUCUAUACCUCUCUCACCCAAUGUUUUCCUUUUAGGUUCAAUGAGUGUUACAGCUGCUCUACAGCCCCAAACUUUAAGAUAACUCAAAUUUGGUACCUUUUUAAACAAAAGUUCAUAAGGAGUAUUCUUACUCCUUUUAUUUGGAGUUCUAUUCAAGAUGUAACAUGCAGUUAACAUUGCCUCACCCCAAAACCCUUCACUUAAACCAGAAUACGACAACAUGGAAUUAACCAUUUCUUUCAAAGUCCUAUUCUUCCUUUCAGCUACACCAUUUUGUUGUGGUGUAUAUGGAGCUGUGGUUUGAUGUAUUAUUCCAGUUGAUUCAAAAUAAAGUGGAUCAUAAUACUCACCACCUCUAUCAGUACGCAAUACUUUUAUUAAUUCAUUUUUAUGAAGCUCAACUUGUUGUUUAUAAAUUUUAAAUUUAUCAAGUGCUUCAUCCUUAGAAUGUAGCAAAUAGAUAUAACAAUAUCUAGAUGCAUCAUCAAUAAAAGUAACAACAUACUUCUUGUUUCCAAGGGAAGGUGUUGCAUGGAAAUCACAUAAAUCACUAUGUAUAAGAUCCAACACCUUGCUUUCCCUAACAACAUCUUUGAAAGGUUGUCUAGUGAUUUUAGUUAGCAUGCAUGUUUUACAUUUUUCAUUAUUUUGCAUAUCAAAAGCAGGAAUUAAACUCAUUUUAGACAUGUCUUUUAAUCUCUUGUAAUGAAUGUGUCCUAGUCUAGCAUGCCAUAAUUCAGAUUUAUGAAAAUUAUUGCUAGUACUACUAGAAGCCAUGCAAACAGAAUUAUCACUAGAAGGAUAAUUAAUAUUAAGCCUAAUCAUUCCAUUACAUAUAUAGCCAAAUCCCAUAAAAGAACCUUGUCUUGACAAGAUAUACUUGUCACUUUCUAACACUUGUUCGUAACCACAAUUAUUUAAUACAGUUUUAGACACGAGAUUCUUACGAAUCCCUGGAACAUAUAAAACAUUGUUCAAACACAAACAUUUCCCAAAAGUAAAAGUAAGUAAAACAGAUCCUAUGCCCUUGAUUGGUUCAGUUGCAACAUUUCCCAUUUUCACAACAGAUCCAUCAUCCAUUGGUUGAAAGUCCUUGAAGCAAUAUAGAUCUUUGCAAACAUGACUUGUUGCUCCCGAAUCAACCCACCAUGCAACAUUAUCAUCUUGCACAUAAAAUGAUUCAGAAAUCACAGAAAUAUAAUUCUGAAUAUAGUUAAAAUUCUGCAUGAAAAUAGAAUUCUGACCUUGUUGCUUUUCUGGAUCCUUGGAUCCACUUGGUCCUGCACAAUCCUUGUUCACUUUAUGCAAACGACAAUCUUUCUUGAAGUGACCCAGUUUGUUACAAUUCCAACACACCACUUUAGCCUUUAUGUUGGAAGACUUGUCAUCCUUUCCUUUAAACUUCCUUUUUCCAUUAGGCUUCUUUUGAUUCUUUGAUCCUUCUCCAUCCACCAUGUUUACAGAAGAGGAACCAACUUGGUUCUUGCCUUUGGGAUUGUUAUCAAGUUCUUGAGUCCUUAAGGACUCUUCAAUCCGUAAAUGGCUUCCAAGUUGAGUCAAAGUCAAAUCCUCUUUGUUAUGUUUCAGAUUGUGUUUAAAAUCCUUCCAGGAAGGGGGCAGUUUGUCAAUGAUCACAGCCACAACAAUGGCUUCAUCCAUUUUCAGAUUGUGUUGAGCAAACUGUCCCAGGAUCCUUAACAUUUCAUGGUAUUGUUCCAUAACAGGCCUGUAGUGAAUCAUCUUGUAACCCAUAAAGUUACUGACAGGAAACUUAUUUCUAGACGCAUCUUCAGCCAUAUACUUGGAUUCAAGAGAAUCCCAUAGUUCUUUUGCAGAUUCGAAAUUUUGAUAGAUAUCAAAAAGAGAGUCAGUCAUACCAUUGAGAAUAUGACCACGACAUAUGUAAUCAUCAUUUUCCCACUUUGAUCUUCUUCUUGUUGCCUCCAAAGGUUCAUCUUCAACGGAUUCUGGUAAGACUGGCAUGGGUGUACUCAGAACAUACACCACUUUCAGAGUGGUAAGGAGAAACUUCAUCUUCUUCUGCCAUCUUCGAAAAUCUUGCCCUUCAAACUUGUUCAGUUUUUCAAAUUUACUAGUCAUUUCCUUCACAGAAUCACCACUUGUCAUGAUCAUAGAAAUGCUUUAAUCUUUGUUAGAAAUUGGGGUAUAGUAAGGCUUGGAAUUCUGAGAAUUGUGUAACACACUUUUAGAUUAAAGCAUUUGGGUGGUACUCCCAAUAUUCUUUAAUCGGAUAAGACUUAGAGAGACAAGAAUUUAGAAUGCUUUGAUGAUGAUUUCGUCAGUACCAGAAAAUGAGACCAAAAACCGAAUUUAUGAUCUUUGUCUGAAAACUGUCAUAUGACAGUUUCAAACUGUCAUAAACUGUAAAAACUGACAUAAAACGGAAGUUUGGAUAAGGGUCAAACAAUGGUCAAUUCUCUGAAAAUACGAUUUUCUGAUGCAUUUUUUAUAUAGCAACAUACCCUAUAUAAAAAAAUUUCCGCGCUGACCUGGCAGGGGCUCUGCCCCUUGGACCCCGCACCCCUGUUCGUUUAGAUAAGACUCUAUAGCAUGAGAAUGUUUGGUUUAGCCUUAUUUCCUGUUCUUGUUUGAUGAAGGGCUUAGUGUAGAAUUAGGUAUCCGACUGUCUAUAGGAUCUAGCGUUAUGUAUGAUUAGCACACACGAGUGAUGCAGGGGUGUUGGAAGUUUCAUGGGUGGGUUAUGUGUAAGCAGCCGACCAGUUGAGGAAUUUCUAGCCUUUCUCUAGGGAGUGAGAAUAGGAUGUAUGCGUAUUCUAUUGUGUGCUGAUAGGGUCAUUGUGAUGGUCUUUUGAGACAAAUACGGGUAUGUGUGGAAGGUAGUAUGGGCACGUACUACUAGAAGCAUAGGACUUGUACACAUAUCAAAGAAGUCACAACCCCAAGACUUUGUUGUUUAGAAUAGCUCAUAUAGUAUGCAAUGCGCCUAAUAUGAGUUUUUUUUGUUUAUUUUAAGUAUUGUGGUCACAAGGAGAUUCGAGACAGGAGCUGGGUCGAGUGGCCAGGAUAGGUCGGGGUUGUCUGAUGAUGACAUUAGGACAUUGAUUUCUUCUGAGGUUGUUACUGCUAUCUGGGGGUAGAUACCAGAGCUAUUUGGUUCUAUAAAGACUGCCAUAAUUAAAUACUUUGAUGACCAAUAUGCUGCUCUUACUGAGGUUGUUGUUGCUGCAGCUACCACGACCGUUGCGGCCACUGGGGUUCGUGGAGAUAGACCUUUCCAAUAUCAGGACUUCGACAAUACGAAGCCCCCGGUGUUUGAUGGGGUUCAGGAUCCGAUCAUUGUUAUGAGGUGGUUGUCCGAUGUCGAGGGAUGUUUCUUUAAUUGCUCCUGCGCAGCCGACCAGAAGGUCAAGUGCUCCCUGAACCUUCUCAGGUUUGGGGUGAAGGAUUCGUGGAGUAUGGUUACUAGCUUAUAUACUUUGGAGCAGAGGGCUACUAUUUCAUGGGAGUAGUUAUCUGAGAUGUUCCGCACGACAUAUGUUCCAUUGGUUGAGAAGGAGAGACUAGCCCAUGAGUAUUUAGAUUUGAGGCAGGGGACAGAGUCAGUCACUGAGAUCACCAAGAUGUUUACAAAGAGAGCUCUAUUUUGUCCUAAGUUUUCUGCUUUUGAGCAAGCUUAGAUGACCCGGUACUUGAGCACGCUCAAGACAAACAUCCACCAGUUUGUGUCUACUCAGCGUUAUGGUACACUUUUGAAGUUACAGGAGGCCGCUAGGAAGCGGGAGAUCGAGUUGGAGCUCCAGACGAGGGAGCGAAGUCAGGCUCAUAUGCAGUUGCAUCCUGUAGUGAAGUCGUUUAAGGCUGCUAAUGUGAUAUUUGUGAGUCAGAGGGGUUGUACUUGUCGCAAGUGCGGCAAGGUUCAUGAGGGUUCUUUUCGAUCUUCGUUUAGGUGCCACAAAUGUGGUAAGGAUAGGCAUUAUACCAAGGAUUGUCGCCAAUAGGUCCCCACACUGACCACCAAGAUAUGUUAUCACUGUGAGCAGGUUGAUCAUAUUAAGGCUAACUAUCCUUUCGUAACGAUCGACUUUCGAGGUAUUAAUUAUUUAAUUUUCUUAAAUUAUAAGUGGGCCAAGUAUGGAUAAUAGGAGUAUUGGAUUGGACUUAUGCACCAUGACAGACUUGGGCCGCCCAUAAGACUUACGUUGGGCGUAGCCUGGGCGUACGCGGGGCGUAAUAGGUCGCAUUUAGAAUCGGGGGCGCACACACGUACGUGCAGCGUACCAAAGUGUACGUGCAGCGUACGUUAACAGAUAAGGAAAACCCUAAUUUAAGGGUUUAAGAGCUAUAUAAAGUCCAUUAUAGCCUCCCUGGUUUCUUAUCAGCCUCCUCACCCACAAGAAAGGAAAACCCUAAUGCAGAGGGCGAGGCCCUAGUCAGUUCCAGACUUCGGUCUGAUGAAGAGGGUAAGGCCCUAGUCAGUUCCGGAAUUCGGUAUGAUGUUGAGGGCAAGGACCUAGUCAAUUCCAGACUUUAGUCCGAUGUAGAGGGCGAGGCCCUAGUCAAUUCCGGACUUCGGUCUGAUGCUGAGGGUGUGGCCCUAGUCAGUUCCGGGGUUUGGUAUGAUGUAGUGAGCAAGGCCUGAUAUGUGCUUUAUAUGUUAUUGUAUGGUAUGUGGUAGUUUGGGGGAGCUAACUAAGCUUCGUGCUUACAGUUUCAGUUUUGGUUUCAGGUACUUCAGCUAGCAAGGGAAAGGGCUCGGGAUGAUGGCAUAGCACCCACCACAGUUUUAGCCUGAGUGCUAGACUCUAAUAUUUGACAUGAUUUGACAUUUGAUGUGAUAUGAGUCAUAUUUUAUAAUAUCUUGAGAUGCACAACUUAUGGUUUUUCUAUAUGAUGUUGAAUAUUAUGGUUUUAGUAAUAUUUUCAAACAAAAUUUUUGGCUUGUAUUUUUUGGAUGUUUCACCUUUACUCACUGCAGGACCAGCGCAGGCUCUAGUGCUAGCUACUUUGAGGAUCACCAAUGGGUGCCAGGGUAAAGCAGAGCCCUCGAGCGCUCUAGGCCGUGCUUUUCAUCUCACGACAAAUGACGCCACGGCAGUGCCAAAUUUCAUUACUGGUAUGUUUCUAUUUAUCAUUUUGUUUAUUAUUUUAUGGUAUGCAUAUGUUUGUGUUUCUUAUAGGUAUAUUCUUAGUGAAUUAUUUGUCUGCUCUUGUGUUAUUCGACUGGGGCGCGAGUCAGUACUUUGUAGCCCAGUAUUUUAGUAGGUAUUUUGAUAUGACCCUUAACGAGUUGGACGCAUGGCAUACUCAUAUAUGAGGAGGUGGGUCUUAGACGCGUACGUCGGUCAUACUCAACAGGUACGUUGCACGUAUGUUGUUCAGACCAAAACCCUAGUUUAAGGGUUUUACACCUUAUAUAAUCCCCUUUAUGGCCCAUGGACUUCACCCUCAUCAGCCACCACCUGAGAAAACGUCUAUCUAGCUAACCCUAAGUGAGAAAAGUGCAUCUUGAGCUCAUGUUUGUGUUUUGGUGGUAUUUUUGAAGAAGAGGAAGAAGGUAGUGGUAAGACUUUGAAGCUUGGAAGCAACUUGGAUAUGGGAUUCUCUCAUUGUUAGUAACCUCCAGGAGGUAAAAAUCUCCUAGCUUGAUCAUCUUAUCUUAUAUAUCUAGCCAUUUCUUCAUUUAGGGCAUUUUUUUUUGGAAAGGGAACUUCCCUAACGAGGGUUUCUUCAUUUAGGGCAUUUUUGGUCCCAACUAUGAUGAUUCUUGAGCAUGGCAUGCUCUGAAUCAAAUAAGUCGUCCUUUUAGACCCAAUGAGGGGUCUUGAGCCAUAAAAAUGUGGUCUUGAUGCCUAGUUAUUCCCCAUGCAUUCUCUAGAAGGUCUUAAGGUGUUAAGAAGUUGGGAUUUUGUGUAUUAAGCACUUAAUGGGCAUGCAAAGUCAUAAAUUUGGAAACUUUAUUACUCUUAGUGGUAUUUUGGUCUCUGAUCUGAAAUUGGGACGUGAGAGCUUAGUGCAUUAUGAUCUUAACGAGGAUAAAGGAUUUUGUGUGUGUGUCGUGCAUAACCUAGAGUACUCUGCACGUACGGGGUCAACCGCCCGACUCCGAUCUAAGACUGAGUGCGCCCAGCGUAGGAAUUGAGUGCGCCCCGCAUACUCACAUGAAUGGACCGAGUUGACUCGUUGACCUUGAACUUUGACCAGAUUUUUGACCGUGUUGACCUAGGGGUAUUUUUGGUAUUUUGAGUUGAUUAAUUAAGAUUAGGUCCUUGGUUUUGGUUAGGUGAUCGUUGAGCGGAUUUUCGGGACCGAGAUUUAUUUAGCUUGCAUUAAGACUGAGAGGUGAGUUUUCCUCAUUGUACCCAUGGGUCGAGGGAACCAAUGCAGACCCACUAGAUUAUUUAUCUUGGUCAGGAUAAUGAUAUGAUUGUUUUAGCAGUUAAGUAGAUCCGUAUGAUUAUCUGUAUUUGUUGGCUCUAUGUUUAUGUUUAUUUGUUACAAAUGUCAACAUGUUGUGUUAGGUUGAGGCGGUCCUGCUUUGUGAUGUAGGCCAAAACACUCGGGGAUGAGCAGAUAGGCUGUAGGCCCUGCGAGGCGGUCUAGUCCGGCUGGUGGCCUGUGGAGCGAUCCGGAUAGGUUGUAGGCCCUGCGAGGCGGUGCAAUCAUGCCAAUGGCUCGUAGAGCGGUCCAUAUAUGAUGUAGGCCCUGUGAAGCGGUCUAGUCAGGUUGGUUGCUCAUAUUCGUAUGCUUGUUUGUUAUGUGGUGUGUUGGUACUUUGGAGGAACUGACUAAGCUUUUGGCUUACAAUUUUAGUUGAUGUUUCAGGUGCUUUUGAGGAUCGUGGGAAGGAAAAUGUGUGAUCGUACACAACUUCUUGUUUUAUAUCACCGAGUUUUAGGAAAACUUUGAUUUGAAAUAAUGUUUUUGAAGCAACGACUAUUUUGUAAACAAUAUUGAUUCAUGGUUGGUUUUGAAAAUUUUAAUUUUGUUGUGAUUUUUGGAGUGUUACACAUUCCUUGAAACGCUUGUAGCGAGUCAACCUUUAAAAUGUUGACCACACAAACUAUAAAUUUAUAAUACUACAUUAUCAUAAAUGAAAUCAUAUUCUUCAGUUGGGAAUUAAUACAAAAAGUUGGUACAUACGUGUUGGGAAAAAUGUUGUUUGUAUAAUUAAUGUUUAACAAAAUACAUAUGACAAUGAUAAUGAUGUACUUAAUGUAGACAGAACUUUGGUAAGUCAAGUUUUUUUACAAAAGGCUUUCCGUAUAAAGCCCUUGGUUUUUUCACAAAUUUACCCUUGAUUGCUUUAGUUUAGUUUAUUUUUUCAAAGUACAGAUUGACGGAAAGUUAUAUUCCACAAGCAACUUGUUGAGCUCGACUGCUUUGCUUACACUCUUGACAAAUAUGACAGCUUGAUUGAAACCUAUCGCAUCGAGCUUACGAUUCUUCUCUAGCUAGAUCAAUUUGAUGUUGUAAUGCCAUGGAUAACCGUUAGAAAAGACUAAAAGGUAAUCUUCAGUAUGAUGGGAUCAAGGUAGAUAUGGAAUGGUUAAUUUCAUUGUAAUAACGAAAUAUAAUUUGUAGAAGGAAAUUGAUUUUUUUUCAUUUCAGCCAUGGGAAUGGAAUGGGAUGAAAAGUUGCAACGCAAGACACUUUUAUCUAUAUAUUCUUUAAAGUAGGGCUCAAAACUUUUUUCUAAAUAUUUCACAUUUACAAUUAAAUUACAAUUCUACUUUCAAAAUUGUGCCUUCAAUUAUUUCAUAAAUGAAAUCAUCUUCACAAUCCUCUUCUCCUUCUCUUUUUACAAGCCAUUUAGAAUUUAAACCCAUGGAUCACAUAGAUUAGAAUAAAAGUCAGCAUCAGACAUUGUAAAACAAGAGAUUUCUCAUGCUUUUUCUCUUUUGUGUAAUACCUUAAGUCAUAUUUUUCUUCUAUUCAAUUUACAUAUCAAACAUAAUGAUCUAUAAGUAUUAUUCAAUCUAAUUAUGGAAUUGUGAUUCAUCUUUACAGAAAGGUUUGCAUAUGCAAUUCUUCAUACGAUCAGUUGUCGAUCACAUAACCUCAAAAUCCGGAGAUGAUAAACAACCUAAGGAGGUUGGACUCGAUGAAUUAAGAUAUUAGGAUUUUAUUUUUUCUACAUACUUUUCCAAAUCAUAAUUUUCUAAUUUUUUUUUUUAAAAAAAAAAUUCCCUGCAAAUGUUGCAAUUAUCUUUUUUUUUUUAUUAUAUGUUUGUGGUUAUUUUUGUUUAAGUUUGACAUAUGAUUUUGUUUUUGUGACUGCGUGUAUGUGACUGAAUAAGUGUGUGAGUGUGUGUAUGGAUGUGAAUGACUAAUGCUCUUCAUGGUGCCUGGACUUGUGGGUUAAAGAUACGGUAAUGUUCAUGAUUUUAGACAUGGUCCUAAUUUUUUUUGGAAACGGCAAACUAACUAAUCUACUUCUAAAUAACCACCUAUGUCUCCACCGAGACUUGAACACCAGACCUCUCAUAUGAGAUAGUCACUCCAUACCGCUAGGCCAUUAAAGCUACUUGUUGCAUUUAUUUGAAACUUUUUAUUAUGUGUUUGCUUCAAUUUUACAUUGUCAUUGAAACUUUAAAUAAAGCUAAAAGGGCAAGGGAACUUAUGAGAUCAAUAAUUGUUUGUAUACAAUUAUUAUCACGUUUAGCAAAUCUACUUAUGUGUAUUGUUUUUGUGAUAUUUCAGGAAGGUGUUUCGCACAUACCCUCUGUGGCAAAUUUGGGUGAAAAAAAAAGAACAUAUAUGCUUUAUUUUCUUACAUUUUAGGGUUAAUACAUGGCCUUAUAUUUUCUAAUAAAUAACGAUAUUUUUUUGUUACAUGUCAUAAUCACAUUCAUUUUGUCAAAGGUCAUUUUGUAGUUAUUUUAAUUUUUUUUGUCACAUGUUAUUUUAUGUUUUUUUCCAUUUUAUUAAAUUCCACAUAAUAUUUAAAUGUAAUAAUUGCAAUAAAUAUAAUAUUAAAUACAUAUCACUUUCAUUAAUUGACUAAUUUCUGAAUUUCAAAAUUAAAGUCUCAUUAGUUUCUUUGUUUAUUUAUCUUAAUUAUUUGUUUAAAUUUAAAAGAGAAAAAACACUUUAAUUUUAAUAAUUCAAUAAUUUUCUUAUAAAUUCAAACUUCUCAAAUGUUUAAAUUUCAUAUUUAAUUUUCUUUGAAAUGAACCCAUCUAAUACAUGGGUCUUACGCCUAGUAUCAAAUAGAGUUUGAGUUUGUGUUUUAAUUGCAUAAAAAUGUGAAAUUGUAAAUAUUUAUUUAGUUAAAAAUCUAACUACAUGCUGUAUUGAGUUUAUGUUUCAUUUUUUUCUUAUAAUAUAGAUAUCUUAUGGAAGUUAAACCCAUUUCUUUGAUUGAUUUGCUCUUGCAUUUCUCAUUUCUUUUUCUUAAAUCUUUUGAUCAUUCACUUUAAAAAGUUGAAGCAAUUCUUGAUUUUAUUUUAGAAAAAUGUAUUUUACAAUUAAAAUAUUUCUUUAAAUUCCAUUUCACAUAAAUAUAUGAAGUGAUGCUACUAUACCAAUUUUAAUGUAUCUUGCUUAGAUUAAAAUAGGGUCAAGUUAGGCUUCUCCGUCCUUUAUACAAUCUUAAUAGCAAUCAUCCAUAAAAGACACGCUAAAAGUUAUGAGGCAACUUAAGUUCAUAUGAUGAUUUAAAUGUAAGUAUAAAAAAUGAAAGGUAGUUUAUAAAGCAAUUUACCACGUAAAUGGUUUUAGAAAUAAAAUUAAGUUAUUUAAACAAGAUUAUUUAAUGCAUAGCCUAUAAAUACAAAUAAACCUAAAAUUGGGUUAAAGCCAAUGCUAUUAAAACUUAUAAGAGCAACACAACUCGUUAAUAAUAAUAAAUUUUUAAAAACUAAAUUUAAAAAAUAGGAUCAUGCUAAAACCAUUUUAUGGGAUUACAAGAAAUUUCUAUAAGGCUUACAAAUUAUUAAUAUGACAUGGUAGGACAAAAACAAUGAAAAUAUAAAAUAUCAUAAAUAUUAAUUUACAAGUUCAAUAGGUCUCAACUCAUAAUUAAUAAUGCACAAUCAAAUCAUGUAUGUAUAUUUGUAAAGAAUCCAAACUUUUCGUUUAUAAUUCUUAUUGAUUUCGUUUAUGUUAGACUAAAGCUUAUUGAUAAUUGUUUAGAUGUAGUAACUAUUUCUGCAAAUGAACUAAUCAUCUCUAGAAACUAAUUUAUGAAAAACUAUUCGCACCCGCUACUUAAAGCGGUUAAACAGCUAGUAUACUUAGGGGUUGUUUUUUUGGCCUCGUAAUGAUCCUAUAAAGAGAAUGACUCCAUUGAGAUUCAGAGCAUUUUGUUGAAGCUAUUUUAACCUCUUAAUCGGCAAGACAUUAAACCUAAGGGUCUUAUUUAGUCGCACAAAAUAAAAAGUCUGGAUGAAAGUUUUUUCUUUGAUGCCCUUACCCUAAAAAACAGAUAUCACGUCGGACCUCUUAUAGCACCGGUCCACCUCCACCUUCGUCACCUCCCUCCUCGCCGCUUCACUUUUGCAGGUACUUUUUUUUAACUUUGUUCAACGGUUCGUUUAUUUAAGCAUACCUCUCAUAAAUUUGUUUCUAAACACGAAAUCAAUAAAGUGUUGGGUUCUUGCUUUGUUCUUGCUGUCUUGCUAUGUUGGAUGAUCAAUUUGUGUUUGGGUGAACAAUUUGUUUCUGUCGCUUCUUUGAAUUUCCCUCUUCUCUUCUCUUGUCGUCUUCUUUCUGUGUUUCGUUGUUCUUUCAAGUAAUACAUUCCUCGAUUGAUUUUCCGUCGUCUGUGAUAUCCCUUUGUAUGACCUUUGAUUUCCUCGUCUUCUCCAAUUAAUAUUGAUUUUCAGUCAUUUGGGAUUAUCCCUUUCAAGUCAGAUUUUCCGCCGUUUGUGAUAUCCCUUUCAUUUGUCGAAACUCAAAAUCAUCCAUAUAAAUAUCAACUUUUUUUUAAAUUUUUUUUUAUUACUUUUAUUCAUAGCUUAAUUAUUUUUAAUAUUGUACUAUAAUAAUUAAACUUGGUUUUAAUAUAGAUUUUAAAUAUUAUGAUAUGUAUUUUUCUUUUUCAAAAUAUGACUUAAAUGUUUUCAUCAUGUAUCUACCACUUGAUUAUGUAUAAGUAUUAAUUAUGUCCUAUUAGGUUCAUUUUUUUUAAUUUUAAGUUUAAAAAACAUACAGUUAGAAAUUUAAUAAUUUAUAAAGAAAAUAACAAACCUAAAUAUAGUUUAUAUCUAAUACUUAACGAAUUACUUUAGCUUUUAUUUUAAUUAAAAAAAAGUUGUUUUACGGGUUAAUGAACUAGAAAAGUAACGAACUUUGGUUUUUGUUCACAUUAAGGUAACCAUGUUUUUUUCAUACACAUUUGACCAUUGAACUUGUUUGAUCUGUUCAAAAUAAGGUAAUAUGACCGGUAAUUAGCGGUAAUAUUACCCCAUUAUAAACAAGUCAAACAAGUUUAAUGGUCAAAUGUGUACGAAAAAAACAUGAUUACCCAAAUAUAGACAAAAACCAAAAUUUAUUACCCAUUUUGGUAAUAUUGGGUUAUUUAUGCUAAGUGAAAGUAGUCAGAUCCAUUAAUGUGACAUGAAAUUGGGUUGGCCGGUCUUUAUGUAUUAGGAAACAGUCGAAGUCUUGGGCAAACCAGUUUAGGCCCAACUAGUCAGGCAUUACGUUGUAUAUGCUUAAGGGACUAGGUUGUAUGUGCUUUAAAGACCUAGCAACACAGCCUAACCCAUGACUAGUCACUGAACUGUGUUAAGCCAAGACAAAUUGAAUUGUUCAUUGACUGUCAGAGACUUCCGAUUGAUCCUAGGGAAUAGUCUCUGAGACGGUUCUUGUCUAAUAUUACCAAAACAAACACAUAGUCCAAGAUCUGAAAUACAAAAUUCAAAAACAAACACAUAGUCCAAGAUCUAGGAUCGUUACAUGAUGGGUAAUGAGUAUUGUUACAAUUCACCUUCAAAAUAAUGUCAAACCUGAAAUGCAAACAACAGAAGUUAGAUGAUCUUAUAUUUCCAUAUCAAAAUACUACAAUUCAUGAUCUGACAUUUCCAGAUAUGAAAAAAGAAAUAAAGAUAAAGGAUUUCACAAUUCAUGACUUAGGAUACUAAAUGACACCUAAAACAAUACUACAAUUCCAAUUCUAAAUUACAAAAAUCAAAAGGUAUAAUAUCUAAAAUUUAAAGAUCUAAAGUAUGAACAUCUAAACUAAAAAGUACAACAUCCCAAGAUCUAGAGUUGUUUACAAGUUGUAGUUGAUCAGAAUAGGAGUUUAGAAGAUUAACAACAUAGUUAGUUGGGUCGACGUCGUAUGUACGAAAAGAUUAACAUGGAGGGAGGCAUUGGUGACAAUAGUAGCGAGGCUAGCAGAGGCGGCAUAGUUAACGAUCGAAUAUCAAUGCUUUCGUUAAGGUAAGUAAUUGUCGUGGUGGCGUAUGGAGGAGAUAAAUGGGAUUGUAAAGGCAGUAAUGUACAAUGGAAGGUGAAGUGGUGAGGCAUCGAAGAAAGUAGUAGCAGGCUAGGGUUUUUAAAUAUUUAAUGGAGAGAGGCCAUGGUUUUAUAGAGAAAUUAGGCAUGUCAAAUAAGUUAUGUGCAAGUAAUCCAUGAAUGUAUAUGUGAUGUGUUUCUUUAUGCAUAGUUGGUGGUAAAUGGGGCUUUCAAAAUUUAUACAUUUCAAAUACUUAUUUUUUAUUGGAUAAUUUCGUUUCACAUGAAUCAAACAUCAUUUAAUCUAAUACCGUGCAUAUUAUAUCUAGUGAUUCAAAACCACUAUCUUUUUGUUUUUAAGACUUGGUUUUAAUUUUGAGUAGACCCCAAAUUAUAAACACAUUAUAAGAUAGUAUAGAUAUUGGCAUUCUAACAUGGGGUAUUCCAUCCCGAUGGAUGACUGGACAUGCAGGUUGAUUGGGUCUAGGGUAUUCCAACCUGAUGGUUGAUUGGACCCGACAUAUUUGUCAUUGUAUAGAGUGAGACUGGACUGCUUCGUACAUCUGUCAACAGGCCUGGGGUAUUCCAUCCCGAUGGAUGAUUGGACCCAUAGUAUGUUGGCAUUCCAACCGGAUGGUUGAGGGCCUGGGGUAUUCCAACCCGAUGGUUGAUUGGACCAUAGUAUGUUGUUUGUUGGUAUAUGUUAUAUGUUUCUGUGGGGGUACUUUGGGGGAACUCACUAAGCUUCGUGAUUACAGUUUUGGUUUAGGGUUUUAGGCACUUCCGUGGAUUGUGGCAAGGUGAAGGUGUGACCGUACAUGUCACACCCCCAAACCUGAACGGCGGAAACGUUCGGGGGCGGAGGACGUCAUGUACAGUAUCACAAAAAAUGAAUACUAAAGAAAGUACACACAGCCAUCAUAUACAUAAUUGAAAAGUUUACAUGAUUGUAGUAUUACAUGCUUGCAAAAGUCAAUUACAAUAUGAUGUCCAAAAGAUUAAACUAACGCCUGAGCGUAAGUCUUCAAAAGCAGUUGCUAACCUGAUUUAGCGGAUCUCUGAGACGGUUCUUGUCCAAUAUUACUAAAAUGUGUUUGUUUUUGAAUUUUGUAUUUCAUAUUUCUAAAUCCAAAACUACGAAGUUCAAGAUCUGAAAUACAAAAUUCAAAAACAAACACAUAGUCCAAGAUCUAGGAUCGUUACAUGAUGGGUAAUGAGUAUUGUUACAAUUCACCUUCAAAAUAAUGUCAAACCUGAAAUGCAAACAACAGAAGUUAGAUGAUCUUAUAUUUCCAUAUCAAAAUACUACAAUUCAUGAUCUGACAUUUCCAGAUAUGAAAAAAGAAAUAAAGAUAAAGGAUUUCACAAUGCAUGACUUAGGAUACUAAAUGACACCUAAAACAAUACUACAAUUCCAAUUCUAAAAUACAAAAAUCAAAAGGUAUAAUAUCUAAAAUUUAAAGAUCUAAAGUAUGAACAUCUAAACUAAAAAGUAUAACAUCCCAAGAUCUAGAGUUGUUUACAAGUUGCAGUUGAUCAGAAUAGGAGUUUAGAAUAUUAACAACAUAGUUAGUUGGGUCGACGUCGUAUGUACGAAAAGAUUAACAUGGAGGGAGGCAUUGGUGACAAUAGUAGCGAGGCUAGCAGAGGCGGCGUAGUUAACGAUCGAAUAUCAAUGCUUUCGUUAAGGUAAGUAAUUGUCGUGGUGGCGUAUGGAGGAGAUAAAUGGGAUUGUAAAGGCAGUAAUGUACAAUGGAAGGUGAAGUGGUGAGGCAUCGAAGAAAGUAGUAGCAGGCUAGGGUUUUUAAAUAUUUAAUGGAGAGAGGCCAUGGUUUUAUAGAGAAAUUAGGCAUGUCAAAUAAGUUAUGUGCAAGUAAUCCAUGAAUGUAUAUGUGAUGUGUUUCUUUAUGCAUAGUUGGUGGUAAAUGGGGCUUUCAAAAUUUAUACAUUUCAAAUACUUAUUUUUUAUUGGAUAAUUUCGUUUCACAUGAAUCAAACAUCAUUUAAUCUAAUACCGUGCAUAUUAUAUCUAGUGAUUCAAAACCACUAUCUUUUUGUUUUUAAGACUUGGUUUUAAUUUUGAGUAGACCCCAAAUUAUAAACACAUUAUAAGAUAGUAUAGAUAUUGGCAUUCUAACAUGGGGUAUUCCAUCCCGAUGGAUGACUGGACAUGCAGGUUGAUUGGGUCUAGGGUAUUCCAACCUGAUGGUUGAUUGGACCCGACAUAUUUGUCAUUGUAUAGAGUGAGACUGGACUGCUUCGUACAUCUGUCAACAGGCCUGGGGUAUUCCAUCCCGAUGGAUGAUUGGACCCAUAGUAUGUUGGCAUUCCAACCGGAUGGUUGAGGGCCUGGGGUAUUCCAACCCGAUGGUUGAUUGGACCAUAGUAUGUUGUUUGUUGGUAUAUGUUAUAUGUUUCUGUGGGGGUACUUUGGGGGAACUCACUAAGCUUCGUGAUUACAGUUUUGGUUUAGGGUUUUAGGCACUUCCGUGGAUUGUGGCAAGGUGAAGGUGUGACCGUACAUGUCACACCCCCAAACCUGAACGGCGGAAACGUUCGGGGGCGGAGGACGUCAUGUACAGUAUCACAAAAAAUGAAUACUAAAGAAAGUACACACAGCCAUCAUAUACAUAAUUGAAAAGUUUACAUGAUUGUAGUAUUACAUGCUUGCAAAAGUCAAUUACAAUAUGAUGUCCAAAAGAUUAAACUAACGCCUGAGCGUAAGUCUUCAAAAGCAGUUGCUAACCUGAUUUAGCGGAUCUCUGAGACGGUUCUUGUCCAAUAUUACUAAAAUGUGUUUGUUUUUGAAUUUUGUAUUUCAUAUUUCUAAAUCCAAAACUACGAAGUUCAAGAUCUGAAAUACAAAAUUCAAAAACAAACACAUAGUCCAAGAUCUAGGAUCGUUACAUGAUGGGUAAUGAGUAUUGUUACAAUUCACCUUCAAAAUAAUGUCAAACCUGAAAUGCAAACAACAGAAGUUAGAUGAUCUUAUAUUUCCAUAUCAAAAUACUACAAUUCAUGAUCUGACAUUUCCAGAUAUGAAAAAAGAAAUAAAGAUAAAGGAUUUCACAAUGCAUGACUUAGGAUACUAAAUGAAACCUAAAACAAUACUACAAUUCCAAUUCUAAAAUACAAAAAUCAAAAGGUAUAAUAUCUAAAAUUUAAAGAUCUAAAGUAUGAACAUCUAAACUAAAAAGUACAACAUCCCAAGAUCUAGAGUUGUUUACAAGUUGCAGUUGAUCAGAAUAGGAGUUUAGAAGAUUAACAACAUAAUUAGUUGGGUCGUCGUCGUAUGUACGAAAAGAUUAACAUGGAGGGAGGCAUUGGUAACAAUAGUAGCGAGGCUAGCAGAGGCGGCAUAGUUAACGAUCGAAUAUCAAUGCUUUCGUUAAGGUAAGUAAUUGUCGUGGUGGCGUAUGGAAGAGAUAAAUGGGAUUGUAAAGGUAGUAAUGUACAAUGGAAGGUGAAGUGGUGAGGCAUCGAAGAAAGUAGUAGCAGGCUAGGGUUUUUAAAUAUUUAAUGGAGAGAGGCCAUGGUUUUAUAGAGAAAUUAGGCAUGUCAAAUAAGUUAUGUGCAAGUAAUCCAUGAAUGUAUAUGUGAUGUGUUUCUUUAUGCAUAGUUGGUGGUAAAUGGGGCUUUCAAAAUUUAUACAUUUCAAAUACUUAUUUUUUAUUGGCUAAUUUCGUUUCACAUGAAUCAAACAUCAUUUAAUCUAAUACUGUGCAUAUUAUAUCUAGUGAUUCAAAAUCAGUAUCUUUUUGUUUUUAAGACUUGGUUUUAAUUUUGAGUAGACCCCAAAUUAUAAACACAUUAUAAGAUAGUAUAGAUAUUGGCAUUCUAACAUGGGGUAUUCCAUCCUGAUGGAUGACUGGACAUGGAGGUUGAUUGGGUCUAGGGUAUUCCAACCUGAUGGUUGAUUGGACCCGACAUAUUUGUCAUUGUAUAGAGUGAGACUGGACUGCUUCGUACAUCUGUCAACAGGCCUGGGGUAUUCCAUCCCGAUGGAUGAUUGGACCCAUAGUAUGUUGGCAUUCCAACCGGAUGGUUGAGGGCCUGGGGUAUUCCAACCCGAUGGUUGAUUGGACCAUAGUAUGUUGUUUGUUGGUAUAUGUUAUAUGUUUCUGUGGGGGUACUUUGGGGGAACUCACUAAGCAUCGUGAUUACUGUUUUGGUUUAGGGUAUUAGGCACUUCCGUGGAUUGUGGCAAGUUGAAGGUGUGACCGUACAUGUCACACCCCCAAACCUGAACGGCGGAAACGUUCGGGGGCGGAGGACGUCAUGUACAGUAUCACAAAAAAUGAAUACUAAAGAAAGUACACACAACCAUCAUAUACAUAAUUGAAAAGUUUACAUGAUUGUAGUAUUACAUUCUUGCAAAAGUCAAUUACAAUAUGAUGUCCAGAAGAUUAAAAUAACGCCUGAGCGUACGUCGUCAAAAGCAGUUACUAACAUGAUUUAGCGGUUCCCUGAGAAUACAAGUUAUUUCAAAGAAAAAGUGUCAACAAUUAAGUUGGUGAGUUCAUAAGUCGUGUUUUGAUAAAAUGUAUGCCAUUCGAAAGUUCGUGUAUGUUUUCCAGAAAAUCUGAUAUUUUUUUAAUAAAGUGGGNUCUGAUAUUUUUUAAUAAAGUGGGUUGUGAAUCAUUGUUGUAUAAAGUGAAUGUUUGAACAAGGAAAAUCCUAUAUUUUCCUAAAAUGAGAUGCAGUCUUAAAUGACCAAGACUGUAACCUGUAAGAAAAUAUGCCAUGCUUUGAAAUGAAGAUGUAUAGUUUUAUUAUUAAGUAAAACUAGUUGUGGAAGUGUUUAUCUUGUAUUCUGAACAUGCUGAUAAUACCCUAUAAUAUAGUUAUUACCCCUAAGCAUGAUUGAGUUAUGUAUUACUACGUGCAUAAGUCAUUGUUUCUGCGUGUUGUGAGUUCCUCAUAACCAUACUAGACGCAGUACCUAAUGUUGACAUUUGUCACCUCAGGGACUGUAGCUAACAGUCAGGGUGCAGAGUCAUCAGCCCCGUAUAGAUCUAUACACACUUGUCAUGCUCUCCCUCCAAGAGACUUUGGUUAUAGGUGGGGACUUUCGUUUGGUACAAACAAAGCCAUAUGACAUCACAUGAUUUCUAACAACGAUGUUCACGAGUAAUAUGAUGAAAAAUCUUUUGAAAAUUCGAGAUAACUAUUAAGUCACAUAUGCAAAAGUGUGUAUGUUUAUGUCGAAAAUGAUUACCCUUUCUACAGUGUUAACAAAGGCAUAAUAACAAAUUUUGGUUUGUCGAAUACACGUAAUGUUAUAGUUGAAAUGGUUACCCUUGAUAUGAUGUAGUAUGCAAACGUAUAAAUAAAACAUAUUUCAUUCAUAAAACAUAUUGUAUCCCCGGAGGGUAAGUUGUGUUGUGAGGUCUUUUGCAUGGUAAUAACUUCAUAAGAUAGUUAAAACAACAGUAUGAAAAGUAUAGAAAAAGAUCGAUGUUUCACACGAUUUUAGCCUUGUGUUUACUUGUAUACCCCCCACCCCUUUUAAAGUGUUGAAAAACAUUUUAAAAGUAUUUGAAAACGUAGUGAUAGGGGUAUGAACUCACUUGAUAAGUGGUGAAUCGGGUCGCGCUUCGAUAAGGAUGAUCGUUCUUGACGUAACCGCGGGUUUCUGGUAAAAACCGGGCUUCACGCAGGCAGUACUUCGACUGGAAAAGAUUUAUUUCUCGAGAACUUCGGGGCGUCGGGCCUUACUUCGUGUGCUAGCAGUGAUACCGGAGCUUCGGGGUGGUUUACAGGGGCUUGCGAGGUGUUUCGGGGUGAAAGAAUUGAGAGAAAAGAAAACAAUUCCAGAAAGCGUCGCACCCUUUAUAUAGUGCUGGCUGACUCCUCGUACGCAGGGCGUACUUGCGAGGAGCGUUGGGCGUUCCGGAGCGCAGGGCGUUCCGGAGUGCACGUCGUUCCGGAGCGUAGGGCGUUCCCUCGCGUACGCAGCGCGUUCAACAGCGUCUUGACGUCAUCGCUUACCUCGGCCUCGGACGGUAUACCAUGAUGCUACCCGGAGAGACGUGGACGAACUGAGACCCAACGAAUCCGAACACAGGGUGUUCCUUUGGAACACAUGGUGUUCAUUUCAGACCAGUCUCGAUAAAUGUUCCCAGAACUUGUGAAAUCCGUAACUUUCGCGUACGACCUCUGUUUUCGACGUUCUUUAUAUCCAUGCGUAGGUGGAAAUAUACUCUACAACUUUUGUUUAGACUCUGUCGGCUAGUUUUUAAUUUCUUUUUAAUAUUAUAUUAUUAACUGGCCGGGACUGGAAAAGUCCGUUAAAAAUUCAUAACUUUUUCAUCCGGUGUCCGUUUUCGUCUGUCUUUUUACUGUUGUACUACUAUUGAUGAGACCUUCGAUUCUCGUUUAGGUUGUGUCGGCUAAAAAUCGUUUGAUCUCUAUUUCGAGUUUUUAGUUGUCUACCGCUAUAUCCGAAACUUCGAAAAAUCAUAACUUCCUCAUAUGAAGUCAGAUUGGGUGUUCUUUUUAUUUAUGUUCGCGGUUUAAUGAUAUCUACGACUUUCAUUUAGAUAUUUAAGGCUAAAAAGUAUUUUAUUGGAAUCUCGCAUUUUAUGCUUUACAGUAAAAAGUGUUUUACUGGUAUUGUUGCGGAUCUUCGAUCGGUAAUAACUUCUUCGUUAUAACUUGGAUUUUAGCGUUCUUUGUAUUUCUGAAACCCUUGUUACUAUAUCUACCACUUGGUAUAUCCCAAUUAUGGUUUUAUAAAAGUUUAAUUUUGACCUAAAUUUGACUGGUGUUACAUUAUCCCCUAUUAAAGAGAAUUUCGUCCCAAAAUUCGUAUUUUGACUAUGACUUCAAUAGUUGAGGAAAGAUGUGUGUACUUCUGUUCCAUUUGAUCCUCUUGUUCUCGAGUGAAUCCAAAUCCCAGCGUGGGUGUUCCAGCGAAUCUUCAUUACUUCAUCUUUUGCUUCGACCGAUAGAGGUCGUGUGGGUUUAGGUUUAUUUUCCUAUGUCUAUCUAAAUGCUAGUAUAUUCACUCAUAGCUUAGGGAAGCUUUGUCUUGAAGUUCAUGGUUCAAUUCACUCCUAGCUGUUGUGCUUGAAGUUGACUCGUUGUACGCGUGCUAUUUCUAAAUGAUCUGUUGGGAAUACUUCGGGAAGGUUGCAAAAUAUAUAGUAUUGCCCAUAUGAGUGCUACGGGAUUUUGAAACUCGAAACGAUUUGGGAGUUACGUCGGUUUUGUCAUUAUAACUCGAUAGAGUUUCGUUAGCCAACGAUGAAAGUGAAGGGUCUUUUCAUAGCACAUGCAAUUGGCAUGGUGAAGGCCAAGCCAAUCUAUUUCUAGUAGCUAUUUGGGAACUUCUUAUCAGAACAGGUGUGAAGUCGAUGGGAAGAGUGUUCAUUAGUGUGAUAAUGUGUUCUACAUAUGUGUUUUCAGUGUUUUGAAUCUAUCUUUGUGAUGACUACUAUGAAGGUUUUGCUUAAUGAUUGGGGUGCUUGUUUGAAUAAUUUUUUUUUUAAAUUUGUGACUCACGAAACUUCUCUCCGCUCCACUAUAAAAUAAAAUGCAUGCUAAUGUGCUAUCGAGGAAAAACGUACCCGUAACAACAGUGGGGUCUGCAAUGGCUUCCUCCUGGCCCAUUGCAAAUACUCGGCCACUUCCCCCAGCAUUCCUGUUGUUUGCCUUCGGGCAGUCCUUUUCGAAGUGCCCUGUUGCUCCGCACUCGUAGCAGGUACGGCCUACUCCGACAUUCGCAACUGGAUUGGCUGGUUCUUUGCAGAAGCGGACGGUGUGUCCCUUCUUGUUGCACUUAUUGCACUGCAAGUCACGGCAAGGCACGUGAUGAUGAAAGUUGUACCUGUUGCACUUUGGUAGUUAGCCGUUGUAUGCAUUUGUUGGGGCAGGAGUGGUAGGGACAGUAACAACAUGAGCCAUCACUAUUUGUUGUUUCUUGGGGUUCUCUUACAGGGUUUCCCCCUUUCUCUUAUUCCAGUGUUUCCUUUGGUCCUCUAUAUCCUUCGGUGGCUCCGAAAUAGCGGUAAUAGUACCCUGUUUAACACCAUGAUCAAUCAAUCAUUGAGCCAAGCGCUUUGCAUUGUCAAACAUGAUUGGGUUAGAGGCUACGACAUGCCCCUGGAUCUGGGCUGAUAAUCCCCAAAUGUAUCUCUCCAUCUUCUUUGAUUCCGGGUUUACCAUACCUGGGCACAAGGCUGACAAAUCACUGAACCUGGCCGUAUAAGCGACUAGGUCCGAUCCGGUCAUCCUUAGGUUCCAUAGCUCAUGCUCUAACUUUUGGAUUUCACCCCUUGAGCAGUAGUCUUCCAGCCUCAAGAUUUUGAGAUCUUCCCAACUCGUGGCAUUAGCAACUGGGAGGGAUAGGGAUUUUACAUGGCCCUUCCACCAGGUGAGGGCUCGAUCAGAGAAAGUGCAAGCUGCGAACUUGACUUUGCUGGUCUCCGAGCAUGCACAGGUCUCGAAGACCAUUUCGGUCUUCUCGAACCAUUACAUAAGUGCAAUGACUCCUCCUACCCUGUUGAAAGUCUUUGGCUUCGUAUUCGAAAAUUCCUUGUAUGUGCAUUCCCUGAUAUGACCAUGGCCAGUAUCGUGAUUCAAGUGGUUAGUACUACUUCCAGUUCCGCCAGCACCGUUAGAGUUUAUUUGCGUAAGACCAGCUGCUACUGCUACAGUGAUAGCAGCCUGUACCAUGACAGGAUCAUAUUGUGGAGGUGGUGGUGGUGGCGUAGGUGUUGCGUUGUUUACGCGACGUGCAGAUCUGCGAGGCGGCAUCGAGCUGCCAAAGAAAUAGCAAUGAAGACAAUAAGUCUUCAAUGAUUGAAAGCCGCAUGUUAAUGAGUUAGCUAUUUUAAACAUUUCAUGAAUUGGAUUUGACCUAAACAAGGUUUUGAGUUUGAUUCAUAUUGAGAGUUUAUAUAUUAAUAGAUAAACUUAUGAAUUUGAGUGAUAACCAAGAAAUUUUAAUCGCAACGCAAAUGCGUUAGUAUGUAUAUAUAUAUAUAUAUANUAUAUAUAUAUGUAUAUAUAUAUGUAUAUAUAUAUAUAUAUAUCAUGGAUACAUCGAACGUUAGAAAAUUUGACGUUAUCUACAGGUCUACAUUAUAGAAAGUUAAUACUAGAGUCUAUAUAAAGACCUAAAUUAUAUCCAAAAGACAGAGUAGAGUAGAAUCUACUUGCAAGGGGAAUUGUUGUGAUUGGUACUUGAUUCAGCCUUGGCUUUAGCCAGCUGCUGUUCCGCUUCCCAUACGGGUCUUUGAAGUGCCACCUGGUUCUGACGAAGAUCCUUGGUAUCCGAUUAAUAGGCAUUCAACUCCACCUGUAAGGCGUCAGUAUGAGACCUUUCAAAGUCCUGAUCCUCGGUCAGAUGACGAAGACGGACUGUGUUGACCCUAGAGUUAACACAGAUCUCCCUUACUUCAGUUUGAGUUGCAGUUAGCUCUCUCUACCAAGCUUCGCUUUGAUUUACGGCUCUACCAUGAGCUAAUCCUAAUUGUCGUAUGCGAACUGUAUUGACUCCGGUGUUCGCAUCAUUCUACUCGGUUCCUUGGAUAGUUGCCCUUUUUUUCUCUUCAUUGUGGGCAAUUCGGCGAACCAAUAUAGGAAUGACUUUGUCUGCUGAGCCUCCCUCUCUCAGAUUGUAGAAGCUUCGGUCUCCAUUGUAUGGAAGGGGUUGACCCUGUUCGCGACUCCACCUAUUUAGGUUGGUUGCCCAUAGAGGUGUCUAGCCAAGAAAUUUCGGUCGAGGGUUAGGAUUUUGGAUCGGAUCCACUAAGGGUAGGUUAUUUUCGUCGGUAUUUGGGUCUGAGACUUCUUGCAUUUCUUCUUCUGGAUCAUUCUCUAUCCAUCCCCCAUUUUCUUGGUUCGGGUAGUAGAGGUCUCCUGGUAGAUGGGCUCCUACCAUUAUGUCUGUUUGAGAAUAGGGAUAUGAGAAUUUUCUAGAACUAAGGCACGUAAGGUUGAACAUCCAUGUUAAACUAUUGCAUGUAUAAAAUACUCCUAUAGUAUUAUAAAUGUUAUGCUUGAUUCUAAUGUUUAUAAGUUUGGUAAGUUUUUAGACUCAUUGUCCAUUGUAGCUAUUCCCUGGCAUAUACUGGUCGGCUCUAGGAUAAAUAUAGUUGAUCAGGCUAUAUUCAUCCCAGUCCUGAUUACAUGUCCCAAGGCAUACCUGUAGUGCACAACUCAUCUAUAAUACUUCUAUGUUGGUUUCAUCAUGAUACUAACCCCCUUUUUUAAUUUAUGCAUGUAUACCUUAUAAAAUUUCGUUUUAAAAGUAUAACUCUCACUCAGAGUGCUUUUGCACAGUUGUGUUGAUAGUUGUAUAUCAAAAAUGGUUUUUAUAUACAUAGUUCACUAUAAACAAUGCUCUGAUACCAAUCUGUCACACCCCCAAACCUGAACGGCGGAAACGUUCAGGGGCGGAGGACGUCAUGUACAUUAUAACAACAAUUAAAUAGUAAAGAAAGUACACACAACCAUCAUAUAUAUAAUUGAAAAUUUUACAUGAUUGUAGUAUUACAUGUUUGCAAAAGUCAAUUGCAAUAUGAUGUCCAAAAGAUUAAACUAACGCCUGAGCGUAAGUCUUCAAAAGCAGUUGCUAACCUGAUUUAGCGGUUCCCUGAGAAUACAAGUUAUUUCAAAGAAAAAGUGUCAACAAUUAAGUUGGUGAGUUCAUAAGUCGUGUUUUGAUAAAAUGUAUGCCAUUCGAAAGUUCGUGUAUGUUUUCCAGAAAAUCCGAUAUUUUCUUAAUAAAGUGGGUUGUGAAUCAUUGUUGUAUAAAGUGAAUAUUUAAACCAGUAAAAUCCUAUCUUUUUCCUAAAAUGAGAUGCAGUCUUAAAUGACCAAGACUGUAACCUGUAAGAAAAUAUGCCAUGCUUAGAAAUGAAGAUGUAUAGUUUUAUUAUUAAGUAAAACUAGUUGUGGAAGUGUUUAUCCUGAAUUUUGAACAUGCUGAUAAUACCCUAUAAUAUAGUUAUUACCCCCGAGCAUGAUUGAGUUAUGUAUUACUACGUGCAUAAGUCAUUGUUUCCGCGUGUUGUGAGUUCCUCAUAACCAUACUAGACGCAGUACCUAAUGUUGACAUUUGUCACCUCAGGGACUGUAGCUAACAGUCAGGGUGCAGAGUCAUCAGCCCUGUAUAGAUCUAUAGACACUUGUCACGCUCUCCCUCCAAGAGACUUUGGUUAUAGGUGGGGACUUUCAUUUGGUACAAACAAAGCCAUAUGACAUCACAUGAUUUCUAACAACGAUGUUCACGAGUAAUAUGAUGAAAAAUCUUUUGACAAUUCGAGAUAACUAUUAAGUCACAUAUGCAAAAGUGUGUAUGUUUAUGUCGAAAAUGAUUACCCUUUCUACAGUGUUAACAAAGGCAUAAUAACAAAUUUUGAUUUGUCGAAUACACGUAAUGUUAUAGUUGAAAUGGUUACCCUUGAUAUGAUGUAGUAUGCAAACGUAUAAAUAAAACGUAUUUCAUUCAUAAAACAUAUUGUAUCCCCGGAGGGUAAGUUGUGUUGUGAGGUGUUUUGCAUGAUAAUAACUUCAUACGAUAGUUAAAACAACUGUAUGAAAAGUAUAGCAAAAGAUCGAUGUUUCACACGAUUUUAGUCGUGUGUUUACUUGUAUCCCCCCCCCCCUUAAAAGUGUUGAAAAACAUUUUAAAUGUAUUUGAAAACGUAGUGAUAAGUGUAACAUCCCAAAAUUUAAGACCAAAAAUUUCUUUUUAAUAGAACAUUAAUUUAACCAAAGACAUCAUUCCAAAACAUAAUCUGAGUAUAGGUUUUCAAAACACAUGCUUAUUAUCAGAGUAAACAUUCCCAGGUUGACUAAUCUAUGGUGUGUGCCAUGCGAUCACCCCGAGCUCCUCCCUCCGCUACCGGAAGUACCUGAAAACAAAACUGAAAACCGUAAGCACGAAGCUUAGUGAGUUCCCCACCUUACCACAUACCAUGCAAAACCACAUACUGCACAUACUGGGCCACGCCCGCUAUCCUGGGCCUCGCCCUCUACUUCGGGCCUCGCCCGCUACAACGGCCCCGCCGCUCCAGGCCCCGCCUGGCUUCGAGCCCCGCUCGGAUACAGAUCUGUUUCACUUAGGCCUCGCCUGUCACAGGGCCUCGCCCACUAACAUAUAAUAGCACAUAAACAUAUCACAUAACAUUACAUAAACUAAACAUAUACUAACAACUCUUGCUCUAAGGCCUCGCCUAUCUCUGGGCCCCGCCCGAGUUCUGCUACUGAUGAGUCAUGGAACCUCGUCCAUACUCCUGCUGAUAGUGAGGUACGGGCCCAGCCCACCCUCACUCCUUUCCUAACUUGGGCCUCGCCCCUGCUCUGCUGCUACUGAGAUGUGGAACACCAUCCACACUCUGCUAUUGGUGAGAUACGGGACCUCGCCCUCACUCACCUCCCUACCAGGCACAUACAAGUAUCACACAGACAACAAGUAUAAACUAUCACAUAAACCGCUCCUUGGGCACCCGCCCUCUAUCAUUGGACCUCGUCCGAAUAUCAUACUAGCAUACUGUGCCUAGGGCUAACCCCCGGGUCUUCUACUCAUAACUACAUGGGCCGGCAUUGUGGCCGUAGACCCAUUCAUACAAAGGGAAACUCACCUGAUACUGCUGAACUGCUGCUGCUAACCCCUUUGACCGCUACCUGACCACUGACUCCGAACUGCUGCUCCGCUAGCUCCCCGAGCUACCAAUAUCAACACAACACUUAGUCUAACUGACCUUCAAAGGUCAACCAAGUCAACUCUGGUCAAAGUCAACGUCCUGGUCAAAGUCAACCUUCCAGGUCAACCCUACUCGUCGAGUCACCCUACUGACUCGCCGAGUUCAUAAGUCCAGAGUCCUUCCACUCGCGACUCUACUCGCCGAGUCAGCCCCUGACUCGCCGAGUCUACUGAUUCCCGAUUCCUGUCCUGUCCAACUCACUGAGUCCUGGCUCGACUCGCUGACUCGAGACUUAACUCGAAGGGUCUGGGACCACGCGACCUGACUCGCCGAGUCUAAGAACAGACUCGUCGAGUACACGUCAAAUCUUCAACCAACUCGCCGAGUUGUUCAUCCAACUCGCCGAGUUCAUGCCCAUCUUCAUCAGACUCGACGAGCUGUUCAUCACACUCGUCGAGUUCCUCCUCAACUUCAAGCUACUCGUCGAGUCCACUCGAAGGACUCGUCGAGUCCACUAAGAUCCACUUACAUGCAGAGGACUUCCGAGUCAUGCAUGAACUCCAAACUGUAGAUCUACCCUUCCCAAGCCUAUUCCCCACGUAAAGUUGCAAACUUUACGUGUAGAGAGGGAGAUCUAGGCAAAAUGCACCAAUAACUAGGGUUUAAGACCAAGAGGCUCCANUAAACAUGGCUUAAAAGCCCCAAAACUCACAACCAAGGGAAAAUCUGGAGGAGAGAAACGAAUUGAUACCUUCUAAUGCUCUGAAAUGCUUCCCAAACUUCAGAUCCAAAGCCACUCCCUGAUGCUUCAAGGAUUCCCACUCCUUCUUCUUCCUUAAACCCACUCAAAAUGGCUAAAAGCUUGAAUGAACCCAAUGGGGGCUUAAGGUGCGGCGUUCUGGGUGCAAGAGGCUGUAAAGGAGCCCUAGGAAGAAGAUUGAGAUGCUUAAAUAGGCUCCAAGCCCCGGAUUUAGGGUUUUCCUCGCACAGACCAGCCUCGCCGAGUCUACUUGGCCGACUCGUCGAGUUGGUCACUUUCUUAUCGACCCGGACCCCGCUCCGACUCGCCGAGUCCUUCCUUGGACUCGCCGAGUUCCUCCCAAAUUUAGGGUUUCCUUUACUUUCUUGGCUUUCAAAAUCUUGGGUGUUACAAUAAGGGUAUGAACUCACUUGAUAAGUGCUUAAUCGGGUCGCGUUUCGAUAAGGAUGAUCGUUCUUGACGUAACCGCGGGUUUCAGGUGAAAACCGGGCUUCACGUGGGCAGUACUUCGACUGGAAAGGAUUUAUUUCUUGGGAACUUCGAGGCGUCGGGCCUUGCGUCGUGUGCUAGCGGUGAUACCGGAGCUUCGGGGUGGUAUAGAGGGGCUUGUGAAGUGUUUCGGGGUGAAAUAAUUGAGAGAAAAGCAAACAAUUCUGUAAAGCUUCGCACCCUUUGUAUAGGGCUGGUUGACUCCUCGUACGCAGAGCAUACCUGCGAGGAGCGAUGGGCGUUCUCUCCCGUACGCAGCGCAUUCAGCAGUGUCUUGACGUCAUCGCUUACCUCGGCCUCGGACGGUAUACCAUGAUGCUACCCGAAGAGACGUGGACGAACCGAGACCCAACAAAUCCGAACACAGGGCGUUCCUUCGGAACGCAUGGAGUUCACUUCGGACCAGUCUCGAUAAAUGUUCCCAGAAAUUGUGAAAUCCGUAACUUUCGUGUACGACCUCUGUUUUCAACGUUCUUUAUAUCCACACGUAGGUGGAAAUAUACUCUAUAACUUUCGUUUAGACUCUGUCAGCUAGUUUUUAAUUUCUUUUUCAUAUUAUAUUUUUAACAGGUCGGGACUGGAAAACUACGUUAAAAAUCCAUAACUUCUUCAUCCGGUGUCCGUUUUCAUCUGUUUUUUUUACCAUUGUACUACUAUUGAUGAGACCUUUGAUUCUCUUUUAGGUUGUGUCGGCUAAAAAUCGCUCGAUCUUUAUUUCGAGUUUUUAGCUGUCUACCGCUAUAUCUGAAACUUCGAAAAAUCAUAACUUCCUCAUACGAAGUCAGAUUUGGGCGUUCUUUUUAUGUAUGUUCACGGUUUAAUGAUAUCUACGACUUUAAUUUAUAUAUUUAAGGCUAAAAAGUAUUUUAUUGGAAUCUCUCAUUUUAUGCUUAACAGUGUUUUACCGGUAUUGUUGCGGAUCUUCGAUCGGUAAUAACUUCUUCGUUAUAACUCGGAUUUUAGUGUUCUUUAUAUUUCUGAAAACCUUGUUACGAUAUCUACCAUUUGGUAUAUCCUAAUUAUGGUUUUAUAAAAGUUUAAUUUUGUCCUAAAUUUGACUGGUGUUACAGUACACAUCCUCGCGUUUUUGGAACUUAUGGUUUCUGGGAAACUCUGAUAACGUCAUUGUUUUGAAAACUAAGUGUGAAUGUUUCCAGUUUUAAAUAAAGGUUUUGGAAAUAGCGGUUUGUAAACACUUCUUUAAUUAAUGAGUUUUUUUGGAAAGUUUAAAUUUUAAGGAAAAUUUUACGGAUGUGACAUCUUUUUUCUUAACCGACGUUGGAAAAUGUUGAGAGGGAAAAUGGCUUAACACCACAUGAAAGCAUAACCGUUUUCCCAUAUUAUAACAUAUGUUAAGAGAUGCCAUGUAAACAUAAAGUAAUUGACGUUAAUACCAUACCGCAAAUCCUAAAUGAUAUUUGGUGCCUUUUCCACUCAUUUUACAAGAAAGGACCAAAUAUUUGGUUUCGACUUUAGAGUUUACUGUUUGCCUCACAAAUGAUUUAUGUUGUUAACUUGAUGCAUAUAGUAAAUGAAACAACCGUUUUUAUAAUUUACAUAAUGCUAUCCUAAAUGAAAGAAAUGUUUUUAUGAUUACUCAAUGCAUAUCCUAAAGAACAAAUCACUGAAAUGGUCCUAUUGUUUACAAAAAUUUAACGUUUGGUCCCUAUGUUUUCAUUUUCACUCGGACAGUCCCUAGGUUUUGGUUUUAUUGCAUUUUUCAUCCCCUCGUACAGAUGAAAAGACCAUAUUUUCCUUUGUCUUUAUCUUUUUUUAUUUUUUAUUAUUUAUUUAUUAUUAAUGAAUAUACAAGAUUAAAUAAACUUAAAAUGGAACCCUGGUUUUUCAGAUCGGUGGAGGAGUCUUGUAGUUUCCUGACGCUUCGUGGUUUCCGACGUCGUCUAGUGUUUUUGGUUGACAUCUAGUAUUUUUCGGGAGUGUUUGGUGUUUUCCGGUAGUGUUUGGUGUUUUCCAGUGACGUGUAGCAUUUUAAUACAUGGAGUUUGUAUAUGAGUUUUUCUUCUUCAAUUCAAACUUUAUUCGGCUCGGCCGCCACUUGGUUACAAAAUAUUUUUUUUUUCAUAACUCAAACUAAUAGAUAUUCAAUAUUAUAAGUUUCUCUAUUUAAGUUUCAAAAAGUUGUUUAAACUAGAAGUGUGCAUGUAGAAAAAACUUCAUCUGACAUCUAUACCUUCAUCUAAGUAUCUACAAAAAGAUUGAUAGUCAGGCAUUCAAAAUUUACAACUAUAAAUCACAUGUGAAACUUGAAGUGUAUAAAAGCCAUAUAUUCUAUCUUCAUGUAACUCAUUUUGUCCUUUUACUAAUCAUCGUGUAUCUGAAAAAAAAAUACGAAAAUUGCAGCACAUUAUAUCUAAUGACUGCUCUAGGUUUUUUAUGCCCUCUGCUAAGUUUGCAACAGUAUGAAAAUAGAUUUCUUUAAAUUCGGAUAGCAGUUGCAUUCAAAUUAGGAGGACAAAGAAGAAAAUAUUUCAUGUGAUUAUGUAUAUUUACAAAAGCAUAAACAUAAAGAAUGGGUGCCAAAUGCAUAUGGUUUAUGAGUAAAGCAUAAUCAUACUAGUAUAUGGAAGUUGAAAAGAUAAAACCUAUGUUGUUUGUUUUCUUAUUACAGUGACAUGCAUAAUCAUAAACAUUAAUGCUUGAAAUUAAGGCUGAAAAAUGUGAAGCACUUACAUUAAGAUAGCAUUAAUGCAAUUUGACAUAUAUUGCCCCACCUUCAUCCCCUGAGAAAUCAGGAUCUAAAGGUGUAAUAUCAUAAAAUGCAGGUUUAGUUACAUUUUCAAUUUCCAUAACAAGAUAAAAAAGAAAAAUAAAGUAAAACUAUUAACUUUAAUACAAUUUCAAAAGAAAACACACAUCAAAACAAAAUAUCCUAAAUGAAACAAAUAAUUUUCGUAAUUUAUUCGAUGCAUAUCCUAAAUGAAACAGACGAUUUUCAUAAUUUUCAUAAUGCAUAUCCUAAAUGAAACAAACAAUUUUCAUAAUUUAUGCGAUGCAUAUCCUAAAUGAAACAAACGAUUUACGUAAUUUACUUGAUGCAUAUCCUAAAUGAAGCAAAAGAUUUUCGUAAUUUACAUAGACAAAAUUCAAAAAUUGUUCUGAGUGGUAUUCAAAAUACAUUAGAUAGGGUCCAAAAAGUUUUCAACUUUCAUGGAUGGUCAAAAAUCACGAAUUUCCUGUGAAUUUGGUCAAUGAAGCACUUGAAAGGAUCGUUUUGCCCUUUUAAUUUCUUUUUUGUAUUUUUCUAUAUUUAUUUUCAUACUUUAAUUGAAAAUAAAAAAUGCUCAUACACACACAUACACUCUCUCUCUCUCUCUCUCUCUCUCUCUCUCUCUCUCUCUCUCUCUCUUCCCAAUAUGAUUUGGUCCCAACCCCAUCCCUCAUCAUCCCCAAUCAUCUACACCUCCAUUUUUCCGGCAACACCACAACCACCACUGAUUAUCAACUCCUGUCAUUUCCUCCCUUUUUAGCAUCUUCCCUGUUCUCCAUCUCAUCCGCAAAUCGAUUUAGAUAUUGAUGCCGCCUUCAACCAUCAUCACACUAACCUGCCCCCUCUGUCAUUUUCUUUUUUCGGUGACAACUAAUAAGUGAUUUAUUGUCGAAGAACAUAACCCAACUCCUAAGCAUCUGCGUCUUCCUCUGUAUAUACAUUCCCAUCUGAUGAAGAUAAGGCCAACGGUUCGAUUUCAUAUAUUCAAAAUUUAGGUUUUUCAUGUUCAAAUUUCAGGGGUGUCAAGGUCUGAUUUCAUGGUUUUCAAGGUCCAAUUUUAGAUGAUGAACAUGUAUAUCUUUGAAUGUGUAUUUUCUGGGUUUUAAAGGUCGGAUUUUAGGAUUUUUCACGUCCGAUUCUCCGGAGGAAAAUGGUGCUCGAUGGAUGGAGAUUCGUAUUUUCUCCUUCUGAUAGGACUUGUUUUCGAAAACACUACAUCUAGGUAGUAAUUUUGUUUAUGAAUGUGAUGAUUUAGUUUUAAACAUAAGUGACAAUGGAGGACAUAUCUUUGUUGAAUCUGGUUAUUCUGGGAGUCGAAGAAGUUGAUGAUGAAUAUCUAGGAUUUGAGCUGAUGAACAUAUGAAGAACGGUAGAUUAGAUUUGUAAAGAUCAUCGAUGCACAUAUGAAGAUAUACAGUGUUUCAACAAGAAGAUGGGUUGUAGAUGAAGAUAUGUGGUUGAUAAAAAAAAGACCUGAUCAAAUGUUAAAGAGGAGCCAAUUUUUUUCAAACAAUUAUUUCAUUGCAAUCUGGUUUCUUUUCAUCUUAUUUGUAUGAGAGAGAGAGAGAGAGAGUGGGUUUAUUUUAUUUCCUGUGUUUCUAUAAUUAUUUAAAUACUAAAACAAAUGAAAAAAGUAAAAAGAAAUAAUAAGGGAAAACUAGUCCUUUCAACUUUUUCAGGACAAAAACCAUAGAAAAUUAUUGAUUUUGGACCAUCCAUGCAAGUUGAAUACUUUUUGGACCCUAUCAAUAACUUUUUGAAUACCACAAGGACCGAUUUUAUAGUUUUGUCAUUUACAUAAUGCAUAUCUUAAAUAAACCAAACGAUUUUCGUAGUUUACAUAAUGCAUAUCCUAAAUGAAACAAACAAUUUUCACAAUUUACAAAAUGCAUAUCCUAAAUGAAACAAACGGGUUUCAUAAUUUACUCGAUGCGUAUCCUAAAUGAAACAAAUAAUUUUCAUAAUUUACAUAAUGCAUAUCCUAAAUGAAACAAAUGAUUUUCCUAAUUUACACAAUGCAUAUCCUAAAUGAAACAAACAAUUUUCGUAAUUUACAUAAUGCAUAUACUAAAUGAAACAAACGGCUUUUGUAAUUUACUCAUUGCAUAUCCAAAAUGAAAUAAACGAUUUUUAUAAUUUACUCGAUGCAUAUCCUCAAGGAAACAAAUGAUUUUCAUUAUUUACAUAAUGCAUAUCCUAAAUGAAACAAACAAUUUUCGUAAUUUAUGCGAUGCAUAUCCUAAAUGAAACAAACGAUUUACGUAAUUUACUUGAUGCAUAUCCUAAAUGAUGCAAACGAUUUUCGUAAUUUACAUAGACAAAAUUCAAAAAUUGUUUCGAGUGGUAUUCAAAAUACAUUAGAUAGGGUCCAAAAAGUUUUCAACUUUCAUGGAUGGUCAAAAAUCAAGAAUUUCCGGUGAAUUUGGUCCCAAAAUCAUGAAUUUCUUGUGAAUUUGGUCCAUGAAGCACUUGAAAGGAUCGCUUUGCCCUUUUAAUUUCUUUUUUUGUAUUUUUCCAUAUUUAUUUUCAAACUUUAAUUGAAAAUAAAAAAUGCUCAUACACACACAUACACACACGCACACACACUCUCUCUCUCUCUCACACUCACUCUCUUUCUCUCUCUCUCUCUCUCUCUCUCUCUCUCUCUCUCUCUCUUCCAAAUAUGAUUUGGUCCCAACCGCAUCCCUCAUCAUAUCCAUUCAUAUACACCUCCAUUUUUCCGGCAACACCACAACCACCACCGAUUAUCACCUCCUGUCAUUUUCCUCCCUCUUUAGCAUCUCCCUUGUUCUCCAUCCCAUCCCCAAAUCGAUUUAGAUAUUGAUGCAGCAUUUAACCAUCAUCACACUAAACCUGCCCCUCUGCCAUUUUCUUUUUCCGGUGACAACUAAUCAAUGAGUUAUUGUCGAAGAAAAUAUGUGACAACCGUCAAUUUUCGGCCAAGUCAAAGUCAACUAACAUAAACAAGUCAAACCGAUCAACUCAUCUAACCCUUGUACACUAGGGUUUCCAUUAUGUUUAUAAUUGUACAACUCACAAUCUUAAUACAAAGUAUCACUUAGAGUUUUCACGUGUUCGGAAAUUCUAAACCCAAAUCAGGGCAAGAGACGAAACUACUCGAUAAAACAUUAUUCCUUAACCCUCGGGGGCAUAUAACGUUCAUAAAGAGACUUAACGAGAUGUACAAACCUUGCGUUACAAAGCCAAACACUUAAAAAGGUCACAAAAGAAGUCUCUCCCAAUCUCUUUCACUCUAACUCUCCCAAAACUCUCUAGGUAGGAGAAAUCUCUCCAAGUAUGUGAAAUCUCUCCCAAAUCUCUCUCUGAAUGAGAAAUCUCUCCAAGUAUGUGAAAUCUCUCCCAAAUCUCUCCUAAAUAUCUCUCUGAAUGAGAAAUCUCUCCAAGUAUGUGAAAUCUCUCGCAAAUCUCUCUCUGAAUGAGAAAUCUCUCCAAGUACGUGAAAUCUCUCCCAAAUGUGAAAUCUUUCCCAAAUCUCUUUCAAAUCUCUCUCGGAAGUUCCUUCAACUUUUUAUAGUCUUUCGGGUCAUCCCGACCCUUAACUAGGUCAAAAACCGCUCGAAACGGGAAGAUUUCUUGAAAAAUAGCCUUAAAGAACCGAAACCUUCUCCUAUGGGGCGAAGCCUCUCGGACUGAAACCACGAACAACCGAACCAAAGCCUGCUGACCCGAACCCGAACCCUUCUGAACCGAACCCGAACCUCACCUUCACUCCUGACCUUCGCCUUCGGCCCAUUUCGCCUUCGGGUCCAAGCUGCUGAGGACCGAACUUUGGCCCCUACCUGAGAAGCUUCGCAGGAAGCCUUUUCCCACCCGGUUUUCGACUACGACUUCAUUUUAAGCCCAUUUUUCAUCAUCUUAAUGCGGGAUUUUCACCAAAAACUUUAUUUUAACAAUUAAAGCCUCAAAUUUCAUUAAUCCCCACGUUUUUAGUGCCAAUCAUAUCCAAGAUUUAGUGGUUGAAGUACAAGGGGGUGGAGUGUUGACUUUUCUUUGAUUAAUGACAUAAGCAACCACCCAUACCCACUCUAUGACCAACCCACACCCCUCUCCACCAUACUUAGUCACUUCCUUGUACUUUUCCAUCAAUCUCCAGCCAUUCCCACCUCCUAAGAGCUGGAAAACUCACCCUCUCUCUUCACUUCACUCAUUUUCCCUCAUUUCCACCAAAGAUCAAACACAUCUUUUCUCUCAAAUUCUCUCUCACAAUUUCGAGAUUUCCAAGGCAUUUUUCAAGCUUUCCUUCUACUUUUGGUAAGUAUUAUCAUCCUCCAUAUGAUUAUUUCACUCCUUUCUACUCAAAUAAUAGAUUUCUUACACAAACUCCUUCAUAUUCGUGUUAGAUCUUCGAAUCUUCAUGCAACCUUCCAAGUGUUCUUGAGUUGAACACUUCCCUUCUUUAACAUCCAUCCACUGAAAUCAUUCAAGGUGAGUUCAUACCCCUAUCUUUUCAUGUUUUUCUUAUGUUUUUAAAAGGGGGGGGGGGGGAAUACAAGUUAAAACACCAAGAACACAACUAAACUCAAACAACAGCUUUCAUCAAAAAAGUUGAUUCUUAUUCACGGACUGUUUUGAGUAUCUUAAACUUACUAUCUUUCAAAACUGUUUAAUAUGAAAAUAGUUCAGUUCUAUACCUUUAAAAUGACUACUUUCACAUCUCCAUACGAUUUUUCAACGAUUUGUGGUGAUUUUUACAAAACUGCCUAUCAUUUCAGAAACGAGUUCGGACCAGUCUGUGAAUAUGAAUAUUUUAACACAAUUUAAAGACUUCCAAAAAUCACAAUAAAAAUUAUGAAUAAACUAGACACAUUUUAUUAACUCUCAGAAUUUGCGGAUUCAGUUUUCGACUUCGUAUGAUUUUUCUAAAACAGUGCAGAAAGGUUAAAAACUAGUUAACAGCUUAUAACUUUCAUAACAUUUGGUAUUAUGUUGAGCAAAGUGUAUAACAAUAAGUUCUAAAUAUUGAAUGUAUUUUCUUGUUAGUUUAUCAUCAUAAACUAAAAUUUAGUCAUUCAUGAUAAGAUUCUUCAUUCAUUUCGAACACAUAUAAUAAGCUAUAAUAAGCAUUGUUUAUGGAUUCAUAGGACUAAUGUAUUUUCAUAAAAAAGGUCUUUUACAUUACAAACGUUUUGGAUAAACUAUAAUAGGUAUAGUUUAUGUAUCAUUUACAUUUCAAACUUAUUUACCCAAGGUUUUCAGUUCAGUUCACGUAAAUCUGUUAAUGAAUAAAUUUGUGAGACAUUCGCUUCGUGUUACCUUCAUGGUAACAAAGUCAAAAGUCUUGUAAAUUGUAACGAGAGUCUCUUGUAGGGAGAGCGUGAUAGUUGUGUAUAGAUCUAUAUUGGGUCUGACAAGCCCGCACCUGAGCUGCUUGCAACAGCUAGACCGGCAGGUCUGAGGUGACAAGUGUCAUUUAACUUGUGACGCCUGAAGAAUGUCGUAUUACGAGGCCGUCUGAGUCUUAGCAUGGUUAUAAUAGCUCACAUGUGGUAUUAACAAAUCAUAAUAUUUACGGGUUCUACUUUUAAAUUAGCGAGUUAUGUCGAUUUAACUCACAGGAAUUACUUUAAGUAUGGAAAAAAUACUUGUACACUUUUAUAUCAAAAAGGGUUUUGUGCCGAUUUAAAAUCACUUCUAUAUCUUUAAGUAUGGAAAAAUACUUGUUUAUUUUCGGUCCUGGGAUUUAGGACUACCAAACUUUUAAAAGGAAAAUAUUGGAUUUUCUUUGGAACAUAUUCCUAUUAAAACUACAUAAAGCUAGAAUUGUUAGACUUCAGCUAUAAUCGCUAAGUGUAUAUGCUAGGGUUAUAUAAGAAUCUAGUCACAAUCGACUUAGAAUUUGUGGGCCCACCUCGUCUCCUGUUCCUUGUUUGGUUGUGGACCUAGGGCAGACCCAUUAUAUUCAAUGGUUUAUUUAACUUGAAUUUUAUAUAAUUUAUACACUGGGCGAUUAUAGAAGGAAUCUAUGGGACCUUCUAGGGUUCAUUAUCGCAUAACAUAGAAGCAUUCAUUCCACACUUAAUAAAGAAAAUAUUAGGUUUUCUGGAAACAUACUUUGUCGCUUUUACAAGGAAAACGUUUUCUUUCUCAAACAAAACUCUUAUGAACUCACCAACUUAAUUUUUGACACUUUUUCAAAACUACUUGUAUUCUCAGGAAAUCAGUGAAUCAGGAAAACAACAGCAUUUUGAGGAUGGGACGUUAAAUCGUCAAGCAAUUCAUUUUGUCAUCAUAAUGUAAUUGAUUUUGAAACAUGUAAACUUACUAUGAUCUAACUUUUUCAAUUAUAUUUAUGAAGGUUUUAUUUACUUUGAGCACUAUUAUACUUAUUGUUGUGAUGUUAUACGUGAUGUUUCCGCCAUCCUUGGUUUGAGGGUGUGACAACAUAACCCAACUCCUGAGCAUCUGCGUCUUCCUCUAUACAUACAUUCCCAUCUGAUGAAGGUAAGUAAAACGAUUCGAUUUCAUAUAUUCUAGUUUUAGGGAUUUCAUGUUCCAAUUUCAGGGGUGUCAAGGUCUGAUUUCAUGGGUUUCAAGGUCCAAUUUUAGAUGAUGAACAUGUAUAUCUUUGAAUGUGUAUUUUCUGGGUUUUAAAGGUCGGAUUUUAGAAUUUUCACAUCCGAUUCUCAGGAGGAAAAUGGUGCUUGAUGGAUCGAGGUUCGCAUUUUCUCCUUUUGAUAGGACUUGUUGUCGAAAACAAUACAUCUAGGUAGUAAUUUUGUUUAUCAAUGUGAUGAUUUAGUUUUGAACAUAAGUGAAAAUGGAAGGACAUAUCUUUGUUGAAUCUGGUUAUUCUGGGAGUUAAAGAAGAUGAUGAUGAAUAUCUAGGAUUUGAGCUGAUAAACAUAUGAAGAACGGUAGAUUAGAUUUGUGAAGAUCAUCGAUGAACAUAUGAAGAUAUACAAUGUUUCAACAAGAAGAUAGGUUGUAGAUGAAGAUAUGUGGUUGAUAAAAAAAAGACGUGAUCAAACGUUAAUGAGGAGCCCAUUUUGUCAAACUAUUAUUUCAACUACAAUCUGGUUUCUUUUCAUCUUAUUUGCAAGAGAGAGAGAGAGAGAGAGAGAGGUUUAUUUUAUUUUCUAUUUUUCUAUAAUUAUUUAAAUACUAAAACAAAUAAAAAGAAAUAAAAAGAAAUAAUAAGGGAAAACUAGUCCUUUCAAAUUUUUCAUGACAAAAAUCAUAGAAAAUUCUUGAUUUUGGACCAUCCAUGUAAGUUGAAUUUUUUUUGGACCCUAUCAAUAACUCUUUGAAUACCACAAGGACCAAUUUUAUAGUUUUGUCGUUUACAUAAUGCAUAUCUUAAAUAAACCAAAUGAUUUUUGUAGUUUACAUAAUGCAUAUCCUAAAUGAAACAAACCAUUUUCACAAUUUGCAUAAUGCAUAUCCUAAAUGAAACAAACGGGUUUCGUAAUUAACUCGACGCGUAUCCUAAAUGAAACAAAUAAUUUUCAUAAUUUACAUGAUGCAUAUCCUAAAUGAAACAAACGAUUUUCCUAAUUUACACAAUGCAUAUCCUAAAUGAAACAAACAAUUUUCGUAAUUUACAUAAUGGAUAUACUAAAUGAAACAAACGGCUUUCGUAAUUUACUCGUUGCAUAUCCUAAAUGAAGUAAACGAUUUUCGUAAUUUACUCGAUGCAUAUACUCAAUUAAACAAAUGAUUUUAAGUAUUUACAUAAUGCAUAUCCUAAAUGAAACAAAGGAUUUUCGUAAUUUCCAUAAUGCAUAUCCUAUAUGAAACAAACGGUUUUCGUAACUUGCUCGAUGCUUAUAUUAAGGUGUUGUUCGUUUUUUUUAGGCAAAAUGUAUCCGGUCUGUGGACCACAUCAGCAGACCUCUGCAGUAGAAGAAGUGGAUCAAACUUCUACAGUCUGAAAAAAGAAAAAAGAAGAUUGUUUGUUUUUUAACAGGAUGCUAGAAUAAACUAAAAUCUAAUUAAAAUGGUUUUUUUAAACGUAAAAGAGUUUUUCAUUAAUUUUAUGACUUUAUUAUGGAUAAUUAACAAAUGUAGAUCGACUUUUAUAUAUUAUUGUAUAAAAAAAUGAAAAUAAAAUGGUACGAGUUAACGUAUAUAUUUGAUAAAAUUAACAAACUUUGGUCGCAAAGAUAUACAUAAACUUUGUAAUUAAGAAUAAAAGUAUUUAACACGUAAAAUGGAUGGAAAGAAACUUUGAUUUUAAAUGAAAAUUUCAAAAUUUUCAUUUUACCUUUUCAGUUAAAUGAAAAUAAAAAUUGGCCAUAAAUAUUUAUUCCAAUAAAUAAAUGAUAUUGUAUUAAAUAAUGUUUUAUAAAAUUUGGCACAAAAAAUAUAAGACAAUAUUACAAUUUAUUUUCAUAUCUAUAUAAACAGCUCCACUAACCAUUAUUGUAAUUAAAAUUUUAUUUAUAAAUUUGUCACAAAAGUCAUGAUUGUAUCAUCGAACCUUUUUCUUUAAGUAUUAUAACUUUUUUCCAAAUUGUUUAUCAUAGAUAAAGUUGGAAUAAAUCUAAGUUAAAAAAAAUAAUACUAAGAUAUAUAUAUAUAUAUAUAUAUAUAUAUACAUACAUACANUAUAUAUAUAUAUAUUCAAGUAUUCUAACUAUUUAUUGUGUGGAUAUAAGGAUGAUUGUGGACCAAUCAAAAUUAAAUAAAAAAAAUUAAAUAAUUAAAUAAAUAAAUAAAUAAUGGUAAUUUGAUAAAUAACUUCCAAAAAAAUACUCCUAUAGUCAUUCUAGUUUUAUUGAUUUUAACCUAAUUUCUUCCUCGUAUAUAUACAGUCGUUCUUAUAACACCAUCACCUGUUCCCACUCUUUCUCUAAAACCCAUCGUCAACUUGAAGAUGCAGAUUGUAGAGGCUUCCUAGUCGGCGACCAAGUCACCCACCUCUUUUACUGAUGAGGUGUACGAAUCUAUUCUUCAAGUCUGCAUCUUCUUCCUCAAUAACUUCACUCUUCCACCUAAAAAGCCCUAGUUGUCUGUAUCUAAUCGAGAUACAUCGCCUGGCUCCCUUUUCCAUUUCAUCGGCACAGUAACCCUAGCCCACCAUUCUAUUUUCCUCUCUCUCCUCUGGCCCGAUCUGGGCAGCAAAGGACUUCAUAAACUGAUCACCGCCCCCGACGCCACCCCUAUCUCAUCAAAAUCGGUAAUUUCGUUGAAGACUUGGCCUCUCUCCCAACACUUGAUGUGGCAGCAGAGAAAUCACCAUGAAUCUAUUUGGCCACGUGAUUUCUUGACGUGAUUUGAAAUGUAUUUCCAUGUUAUGAUUUUAAACCAGUUAAAACUUUUAUUGUAGAUGUGACGAAAAUCAUAUGUGAGCUUGAGUAGCAGGAACAUAUAUGAUGUUCAAUAAGGAAAUUAUUGUGUUUCAGAACCAGUUGAUCAAGAAUUGUUCUGAGGAUGUGAUGUUGAGGUUGAUCCUUCACAAUCUGAAGCUAGCAUAACAUUCAAUAAUUUACGGAGCCCAACGCAUACAUUACUUCAAAUACGAUCUAUACAUUAGAAAGGUCUCGUGUAUGACAAUUUCAACAUCUCCAAGGACUGCAAUAUUUGUGUAUGUAUAUACUCUUUUUCUUUACAAAUAAUUUAAUGAAUUUAAUUAAUUAGGAAUUUUUUUAUUGAAUUGGAUGUUUUUAUAUAGAUUGUGCAUGGGAGAAUAUGUUGUAGCGAUAAAGGGCACAAGAGUUUGGACAAUGUAAGUGUUUAUCUAUAUUUUUUUGGUAGUAAUUUGUUUUGGCCUACCAAAGGAAUCAUUAAUGGUCUAAUGAUCAUCGUGAGUGUUUAUUUAUAUUUUUUGAUUAUCAACAAAUCAGAUUCUUAGUAGAAUGUUUAGAAGUUUAUUGUUUAUUGAACAUGCAAAUUCGGGCGAUAACAAGGCAAUGUUUAGAAGUGUUAUAGUAUUGAAUUACGUAUCAUUUAUUUUGAUUUGAAGCCUGAAUUUGACACCAUUCCAACCACCCACCCUCCAUGUGGAUGUUGCUAUUUGCAACCCUCUACAAAGUUGAUUAAGUUCUAUCAAACAUUCCUUCUGUAAUUGAGAAUUUACUUGAUAAUCUAGAGCAUUUUUUUUUUCUUUUUGUAAUUUUUAUAAAUUUUUAUGGAUUGCUCCAUUCUUAAAAGCUUUUUUGGUUGCAAGAUUGACAGGUUCACGAGGAUGACCAAGAUUCUAUCAGAACGAGGAAGCCUUUAGAAUGAGGAAGACCAAUAUUCAUUUAGAAUUAUGAAGGGCGAUGUUCUUCACAUGUAGACCUGCCAAUUGAUCAGACCUAAAUAACCAAAAAGAGAAGGGAAGCUUAACUUUUAUUUUUUAAGAAAACAUGUGAAGAAGAUCAAUUGCAUUUGUUCAAGAAUUGUAUAUUUAAGCAUGCUCUGUUUUUUAAGAAUUUAUUUCAUUUUUAUGGCAUUCUGUUAGAAUAUGUAUAAUUGUAUUACAAUAUAUAUAUAUAUAUAUAUAUANNNNNNNNNNNNNNNNNNNNNNNNNNNNNNNNNNNNNNNNNNNNNNNNNNNNNNNNNNNNNNNNNNNNNNNNNNNNNNNNNNNNNNNNNNNNNNNNNNNNNNNNNNNNNNNNNNNNNNNNNNNNNNNNNNNNNNNNNNNNNNNNNNNNNNNNNNNNNNNNNNNNNAAUAUGUAUUCUGUCAAAAAUAUAUAUCCUGACAUUCUUAUAGAAUAUAUAUCAUUAUAACAUAAUGUCAUUAUGUAAGAAUGAAAUCGAGUAUAAUUAAAAAUUACAUUAUCAUUAAAAUUGAAUGAAUUAAAAAAAAUCAAAAUUCUUAAACCAAGAGAAUGAAUUAUUCCCAAAAAAUCUGGAAUUUUCCUUUUUUAAAUAUAUCUCAAUUGACUAAAAUAUCCUUAUAGUGAAAUUAAAUUGUAUUUUUCAAUUACUUUUUAUUCAAUAAUAUUUACUAAUCAUUUUUCUUAAAAUAACUUAAAUGAUUGGUCCACAAUCAAUUAUACAUGCACACAAUAGAUAGUGAAAACAUUUGAACCUAACUCUCUCUCUCUCUCUCUCUCUCUCUCUAUAUAUAUAUAUAUAUAUAUGGGUCNNNNNNNNNNNNNNNNNNNNNNNNNNNNNNNNNNNNNNNNNNNNNNNNNNNNNNNNNNNNNNNNNNNNNNNNNNNNNNNNNNNNNNNNNNNNNNNNNNNNNNNNNNNNNNNNNNNNNNNNNNNNNNNNNNNNNNNNNNNNNNNNNNNNNNNNNNNNNNNNNNNNNNNNNNNNNNNNNNNNNNNNNNAAAGGUUUGAAGACUCUGGUCCACAUCUGCACAAAGAAAAGGACGCGCAUACCUUUUUAGGUCUGCAGUCUUCAAAAAAACAAACGUUCUGCGAAACCUAAUGUCUGCGCGGCGCAGACAGUUUUUGUAAUUUACUCUAUGCAUAUCCUAAAUUAAACAAACGAUUAACGUAAUUUACUCUAUGCAUAUCCUAAAUUAAACAAACGAUUUUCGUAAUUUACUCAAUGGAUACCUUAAAUGAAACAAAAGAUUUUUGUAAUUUACUCGAUACAUAUCCUAAAGUACAAAAUACUGAAAUGCUCCGUAUGGUUUGCAAAAAUUUCACAUUUAGUCCUAUGUUUUCGUUUGCACUGGAACGAUCCCUAGGUUUUGGUUUUAUUGCAUUUUUCAUCCCUUGUAGAGAUGAAAAGACCAUCUUGUUCUUUGUCUUUAUCUUUUUUAAUUUUUUUAUUAUUUAUUUAUUAUUAAUGAAUAUAAAUGAUUAAAUAAACUCAAAAUGGAACCCACCAAAAACCCUACACCCCGUACAUCUCAUGUACUUCUCACUCAUUUUAAUUCACCACCGCUUUUGAAGCCCUCCCAACGGAACUUUUUCACACAAAUAAUAAACAAUCACCACCACCACCAUCGUUGUCUCUUAUCUUUCCGAAAACACCCUCUCCCCCGAAAACAUCUGUCCUUCCGUUGCCUGAAAACCGAUACUAAUCCAUUGCCUGAAAACCGAUACUAAAAACUAAAAGAUUCUAGAUCUGCUGCCAUCAUCGCCAUGAAUCCACCAAAGUCAUAGUACCAUGAAGCAAUGACCAUUGGAUCCACUACCAUGUCAUGAAGCUACCCCACCAUAGUGACAAGAAUGGAGGAAGACAAGUAAAGUGAGCCAUCGCCACCUCUGAAACCCUUUACCGAUGGCGGAGUGGGUGAGCGAGGAGGGAGAAGAUGCAGUCAAUGAUUGAAUCUCUUGGUGGAUCAGAUUGCGGCGUCGAGAAUAAGAGAAAGUAGAAAGGGAUAUCCCUUUCUGUCUGUGAUAUCUCUGACUUCCAAUUAAUAUUGUAGUGAGUCUUACUACAACUUUACGGCUACCACUUCUUUUCCAGUUCCACCAUUUGUGACUUUUUGUCUUUUCUUGUUUUUUUUGUUUUUUUUGUUGUUUUUAAAAUUUUCUAUUUUAAUCUUAUUAUUAUUACUAUUAUUAUUAUUAUUAUUAUUAAUUUCAAUAAACGUAUAAAAUUCGAACAACAUUUUAAAAUUCGUAUGAAAUUUUAAAAUUCGGACGACAUAAUAAAAAUCGAACGACUAUAGAAAAAGGAACAAAAACAAAGUUUGUCUUUAUUUAUCACGGAUAUAUUAAUUGGUUUGGUAUUACAUUUGUGUGGUGCGUUAAUCGGAUUCAUACCAAACUUUACUUUUGUUCCAUUUUAUAUAGUGUUUCAUAUUUUAUAAUAUCGUNAUAAUAAUAAUAAUAAUAAUAAUAAUAAUAAUAAUAUCCCUUAAUAAAUGAAGCUUUUCUGCCACAUGUCACCUCCUCAUUCAAUAUGACACAUAGCAUUUUUAUACUUUUUUCAGUUAAAUUUUAUUCCACUUGGGAAAUUAUGGAUUUUUUGUUUUUUUUUUCAAAUUAAAAAUUGUCAAAAAUUUAUUGCAUUAUACAAAUACAGGAAACACAAUAUGUCCUCCUGAUUUUUAUCUAUGAAUACAUUUAAUCCAAAUAUAUCUUCCUAAAGUACAUACACAAUUCUCGGAAAUCACCACUCAUAUUGACUCUUAUUUGCAUAAACUUAUCAAAUCAUUUCAUUCACAUCUAUUCUUCAUAUCCUUCCAAAUUCAAUUUUGAAAAAUAUAUACAGCUACAAUCUCAUUCAUAUGUCACGUUUUAUUGAGAGAUUGAAGAUUUACAACAUCACCACGUUCAUCAUCAAACUCCAUUAUCAACAAUAUCUACUACAUCAGGUUAGCAUAUGUAAUGAUCAAUACAAUUAGUUUACAGAAUCACCAAAAUGAUUUGAUUCUUUUUUAUUUGAACAUUUCAUGUUUUCCUCUUCUCCUUUCCAUGAUAUGGUCGAAUUGUAUACAAAUUUAUAUACUAAUUAUUUACACAUGUUUUACUGCAUAUAAGUUGUUCGAUUAAAUGCCUCAAAGAAAUUUUUUUUCCCUGUAACACACCCUGCUGCAACAACUGUGAUUGCCAUGUUUUGCACUUUUGCUUUGAGUCUUUUCUCCUACAUAUCUAAAUAUCUUAAAUACUUGUGAAUUAAAAUUGAUCACAUGCAUAUAAAGGAUUAAAUUUCGUUGGAUAACACAACCAAUGUAUAGGCAAUUCUUCAAAAUAGAGUAAGCAGGUGAUUGGUUUUAAGGAAUUAAAAUUCAAAACAAUUAGAAUUUCAAUAACAUAAUAUCUUUAAUGCAUUUGGUCGAGAAUGCACAACUUACAAGCCAAACAAAUUUGGAAACAAUUUCUACAACAGGAUGUUCAAUAAUGCAAUUUACAGAAGCAAAUGCACAACUUACAAGCCAAACAAAUUUGUUAAAUUUAUCGUUUCCAUUUUACUUAUUUAUAUAUUUGUAAAGAGUGCAAAUACAUAUAUUUAAUUUCUUAUAUGUGUACUAUUUAUGCUUUGUCAUCAUGCUUUUGAAAAUUAUUUUUGUCAUUUAUUUAUAAUACUUUUCUGUUAUAUAACAACUAAUCUUCAUUACUACAUUUGGUUUACAGCUUAAUGGAAAACACCAACGUUACCAUGAUCAGUGACUUGGCACUCGCAAAAGAUGACUACAUGAUCUAGGUUUGAAUCAUUCGUCUGUGGAAACAGAUUCGUAUGAUUGGAAUGAUAUUGAUGGACGCAAGGGUAUUUUGGAUUUUUUUUAGUUUAUUAUUUUUAAUAUUUUUUAUUUAUACAUGUUAAGUUAUAAUUAUUUUUAUGUGUAGUAUAACUUAUUAUUAUAUUUUUUCAUCUAUUUAUAGGGCGCCAAAAUUGAAUGUGAUGUGGAUAAACCAUUUGCAUCCCUACAAGGAAAAACUUUGGAAGAAUAUGGUGAUUACUACAUUCAAAAACCCACAAUAGGGUUAAAUAAUGGUGCUAUAAAGUUUGUUGAUGGUCCACAUACACUCAUGCUUUAUAAUUUCUCUAAAUCUUACAGAUGAUUCUUUUUGUUCUUUUGGGAAAGACAGUGAUGUAGCCGAAUUGUUAAAAAAACACAUCAUUGAUUAUAUGGGACGAGGCACCUAUGAUUCAUAAGCAUGCAUUUGAAGCCUUGGAUCGUUCUAUGAAAGAUAUAUUCACUUGUGAUCUUCGUACCAACUCAAAGUUGUUGUUUGGAGGAAAAACAAUAGUUUUUGAAGGAGAUUUUAGACAAAUUCUACCUUUUAUUCCUAACGCAAGCAGGCAAGAGAUUGUUAAUGCUUCUUUAUGUUCCUCUUACAUUUGGUCAAAUUGCAAAGUGUUAACAUUGACAAAAAAAACAUGAGGUUAAGUGUUCUCACAUCCAAUAUUCAAGAAACGACAACUUUUGCAAAAUGGAUUUUGGAUAUAGGAAAAGGAAAGGUUGGUGGUUUAAAUGAUGGAGAGGCAAUUAUUGAUAUUCCUGAUGAUCUUCUCAUUGUUGAUUCUACUAAUCCUAUUGGUUCAUUAAUUGAAUUUGUCUAUCCUUAUAUCGUUGAAAAUGUCAAGAAUCCGAUUUAUUUUCAAGAAAGAGCAAUCCUUACACCUAAGAAUGAAGUCGUUCAAGAGAUUAACGAGCGUUUGUUAAAAUUAUUUUCAGGAGCCCAACAUGAGUAUUUAAGUUUAGAUAUUCUUUCACAUGCAGAUUUUGUUCAUGAUAACAUUGAUGAAACUUUAUACUCUCCUGAUGUUCUAAAUGGUCUUAGACCUUCAGGUAUGCCAAUUCAUAAGUUGGUAUUAAAAGUUGGUGUUUCAGUUAUGUUACUAAGAAAUAUUGAUCAAAAAUCCAGAUUGUGCAAUGGAACAAGGCUACGGGUUAUUGCAUUGGGCAAACGUGUUAUAGAAGCUGAGAUAAUAUCUGGAAGUAAUAUCGGAAACCAUACGUUUAUUCCAAGAAUGUCUUUGACGCAUUCGAAUAAAAGGAUUCCUUUCAUAUUUAAAAGAUGACAAUUCCUGCUGGCUGUAUGUUUUGCGAUGACAAUAAAUAAAAUUCAAGGACAGUCACUAUCGAAGGUGGGGUUGUUUUUGAGACAACCGGUAUUUACUCAUGGGCAGUUGUAUGUUGCAUUGUCGAGAGCGAAGAGUAAAGAUGGAUUAAAAAUAUUAAUUUUAGAUAAAGAUGGUAAACUUACCAAUUAGACAUCUAAUGUUGUAUUCAAAGAAGUCUUUGGAAAUUUGUAAUUCAUAAAAAUAAGUCUCAAUAUUUCAAUGUUUGUUUUUAUUAUUAUACAUUAUCUUAGCUACUUAUUCAUCAUUUUGUUUUUAUAUAUUUAGCAAUUUUUAUUUAAUUAAUGUUUAAGGUUUAUAACAUUAUUGUCAUCAUCACUUUAUAAAUGCAUACGUUUUUAUUUUAUAUAUUUAUAUUUCGAAAUAGUUAAUUUAUUCUUUAUAUAUUUUAGUCUUUAUGUUAAAUUAAUACUAAAAAACAUGUAAUGUUUAACAAAAUAUAUUAAUUUUUUUUUAAAAAACUCGUGUAUUACACGGGUCUUACACAUAGUCCUCCCUAAUAAAUGAAAAUAGUUUUGCCACUUGUCAUCUUCUCCUUUAUUUUGACACAUGUCAUUUUCUAGGAUUUUUAAAAUUAUUAUUUUCCACUUGUCAUUUUUUUGGAAUUUCAAUUUUCUUAAAAUAAAUUUCCAAAAAAUUAUAAUGGGUUAUAUAUAUAUAUAUAUAGUUAUCAUUCUACUAAUUUAAUAAUAAAUUCUCAUAAAUGCUCCAAACAAUUUGAUUUUUUUUCAUAAAUGCUCCAAAAGAUUACAUUUUGUUAUGGAAAAACAUCACUUAUAAAAUAUUUAAUGUUUAUAUAUCCAUGUUAAAUUUUUAUUUUUAAAAAAACACGUGUAAUACACGGGGUUCACACCUAGUAAUAAUAAUAAAAUAUAAAAUAUAAAAUCGGAUUGAAACCAAUAAAGAUGUUGUAUCAUGUUCAUAAUAUAGUAAUAUUACCGUAAUUAUCAGUCAUAUUACCCUAUUUUAAACAGGUCAAACAAGUUUAAUGAUCGAAUUUGAACGAAAAAAACAUAAUUACAUAAAUGUAGACAAAGACCAAAGUUCAUUACCUUUCUAGGUCAUUAACCAUAUAAAAAAUAAAAUUAAAAAUAUCUUUUAUUUAUAGUUUUUUAUCUAAAUAAUACAUAAUUUAACGAUUAAAAUAUCUCUUCACAUUGAUAAUAAUUGCUUUACAACUCAUCUAUUUGAUCAUAUAUUUUGAAACUAAUUUAUUAAAUAUGGAGAUUAUAAAAAAUGUGACGUUAGGGUAACUCCACUGUCGAGUUACUUGCAAGUCACCAAAUGUUAUUUAGCCCAAUAAAUCCUUAGAUAUUUUGAUCAUAUUUUUAAACACCUAUUUUAUAUCAGAUUGUGUGCCAGAUUGUUGUUUAUGUACUGCUUUUUACAAUAAUAAGGAACGUUUCUCCCAAGAUGCAUUUUCCACAUAUCUCAAAAGGAUUAAACACACUACAAGACCUACACGAAUCUAAUCGGGAGAAUCAACUUGUUCUCUCGACAAAAACCCACAUCAUUAAUAUUUGAAUACACACACAGAUUUGUAACAUAUACAAUAUAGAUAGACAAUUUGUACAAUUAAAAAGAUAAUAAAAAAAUGCAACAUACAACUAAACAGACGAAAACACACAAGUGGUGAUCAUGGCAGUAGUAGAUGGAAACAGGUGGUGGUGAUAGAAAUAGAUCUCGUGAGUUUUGUGAAAAGUAAACUUUAGGUGGUGUAGGCUGUAAAUAGUGGUGGUAGUGGCGAAAGUGACGGGUGGAGAAGGAAUUAGAAUGGUUAGGAUGUCGGUGGCUGGUGUCAAAGGUAGCCGAAUAUUGGUGGAAAAAUAUGACUUAUAUGAGGAUUAUACAGAGAAUUAGAGAAAUAGUUAAUGGUGGUAAGGAUGGUGCAAUGAUGGGUGUUCGGUUGGAGGGAGUGGUGCCACUGAAACCGUUCUUCCUCCUAUGUCAGGUAGAUGCCAUAAUAUUUUUAUUCAUUUUAUCAAGACAAAAUUACAAAAAUGGUCCCUAUGGUUUACCAAAAGUCAUAAAGUUUGUUUGGAAAAAAAAUUUAUUGCAUGAAGGAAUGGGGGAAGGCUCGAACUUGAGACCCUCACACCCUAAAAUGACAACAUGCCUUAACCAUUUGAGCUGGAGGCUCACUUGGUUAUAACUUUUUUUAAAACUAACUUAUAUAAUAACAAAUUCAUUAAUACAUAAAUAAUAAAUAAAUUAUUAAAAACUUUUUUUUACAUAAUUUUUUUUAAAUAAAAUAAAAUUUAUUUUAGUCAUACUAUAAAAAAAUAGUUUUUUACAAACAAUUUGUAUGUAUUUUUUAUGUGUUAUUUAACAUAAAAUAUAUUUUUUAUAUAUCUUUAAAAAAUAUGUUUCGUAUAAAAAAUAUGUUUUUGUAAAAUAUUUUUUUAUGUCUUUGAAAUAAUAAUAAUUAACACUAAUCACGACAUAAAAAAUAUAUAAAUUCUUUUUUGUCGCUAGUUCUAAAAUAUGUAUUUCAUCUUAUUUAAAAUACAUAUUUCAUCUUAUUUAAAAUACGUAUUUCAUCAUUUUUAAAUACAUAUAACCGAAAAACAGUUUUCAAAAAACUGACUGGACCAAUCGGUUUUUUGAAAACCGUUUUUCGGUUAUAUGUAUUUAAAAAAACUUAUUCGUUUAUAUAUCUUAUUUAAAAUACGUAUUUCAUCUUAAUCGUAAGUUCUAAAUCGUAUGGUUAAAAUGAAGAUGAAAAUAAAUAGUUAUAUAGCUUUUUGAAAUAACAAUAAUUAAUAGUAUACCUGACAUUAAAAAAUACCCUAUAAAUUAUUUAAAUACAUAACAAAAUCGUUGUUAAGUUCUUUUUAAUACAUAUAACCGAAAAAACAGUUUUAGAACUAGCGACCCAAAAUAAUUUAUAUAUUUUUUUUAUGUCAUGAUUAGUGUUAAUUAUUAUUAUUUCAAAGACAUAAAAAAAAAAUAUUUUACGAAAACAUAUUUUUUAUACGAAAGCGUAUUUUUUAAAGAUAUAAAAAAAUAUUUUACGUUAAAUAAAUAUAUAAAAAUACAUACAAAUUGUUUGUAAAAAACUAUUUUUUUAUAAUACGACUAAAAUAAAUUUUGUUUUAUUUAAAAAAAAUUAUGUAAAAAAAUGUUUUUAAUAAUUUAGUUAUUAUUUAUGUAUUAACGAUUUUGAUAUUAUAUAAGUUAGUUCUAGGAAGUUAUGAUCAAGUGAGCCUCCAACUCAAAUGGUUAAGGCAUGUUGUCAUUUUAAGGGGUGAAGGUCUCAAGUUCGAGCCUUCCCCCUUUUCUUCGGUAAAUUAAUUUUUUUUCCAAACAAACUUCAAAAAUGGUCCCUGUGGUUUAUCAAAUGUCACGAAUUUAGUCUCUUUAUACUUAAAAAGACGAAAAUGCACGUACAGAUUCAGUCCCUAACGGGUAUAUAGCAACGGUGUUAGUAAAAAGGGCAAACUUUGCAAGUUUUGCAAACCACAAGGACCAUUUGCAUCAAAAAAAAUAGCAGGGACUAACUUUGUGACUUUUAGUAAACCAUAGGGACCAUUUUGUAAUUUUGUCUUUUAUCAAUUUGAAACCAUAAGGUUGGAGUGAGAAAAUGGUUAAGAGAGAGAAAAGAAAAGAAAAAGAAAAAGAAAGAAAGAUGAUUGGUUGAGAGAGGAGGGAGAGAGAGGGAGAGAGCAAGUAAAAGAGGAGAGAAAAAAAGGGAGUGCACCCCUGGAAGGCCGCAGUGCGGCCUAGGCCGCACCUAGACCAGUGGCAGUGUGCAUGAUGAUGUGUCAGGUGGAGUGCGGCCUACACUGCACCCACUCCCUCUGGUCCAAAAAGUUAGAUCCAUUUGAUAAGCUUCCAUGUGUUUCUUGGAGUUGAUUAUCAACCGUUGAUUGCAAUCGGUGUGAAAUCACAAAUAAGUGAAGUGUAUUGCCCGUCGUCCGAUUAAGAUCCGCGUCAAAUAUGCACAAAUUUUUGAGUGGAAAUCUCAAUUUAUUUCCAGCCGAACUUUUCAAAUAUUCCAGAAAAAUAUGUUCGAAGCUUAAAAAGUCAACAUAUUGUAUUUUGUGCAUCAACAUUUGUACCUCUGAAUUUUAAGACAUCAAGCUUCAUUUCAUUGUAUUUUAUGCAUAAUAGAUUAUUAGAUUGUAAUAUUAAAGNAGAGAGAGAGAGAGAGAGAGUGAGAGAGAGAGCUACGUUCAAGUAUUCUAACUAAUUAUUGUGUCAAUAUUGUAUGUUAUGAGAAUGAUAAAGAAAAUAUGUUUUUUGAUAAUAUAAAUAUGUUCAAUCUUACAUAACUAUUGUCAUUAACACACAUUCGCACUAAUUAAAUCGUCUAUAAGGUUAUUAUACACUUAUUAUUAUUAUUCUCAUUUAUGUCAGAAUGUUUAUUUGGGUCGUAUUCUGUCAGAAUAAAAAUGAGUGAAAAAUGUUGUGUGAGAACAAAAAUAAAUAAUAAUUAGCGAUAAUGCAUGAAAAUGACAAUAUUUUUGUAAGAUUGAACGUAUUCACAUUGCUAAACAACUUAUUCUCUUAGUAAUUCUCAUAGUAUACGAUAUCCNNNNNNNNNNNNNNNNNNNNNNNNNNNNNNNNNNNNNNNNNNNNNNNNNNNNNNNNNNNNNNNNNNNNNNNNNNNNNNNNNNNNNNNNNNNNNNNNNNNNNNNNNNNNNNNNNNNNNNNNNNNNNNNNNNNNNNAUAGAGAGAGAGAGAGAGAGAGAGAGAGAGAAAUAAAGAGAGAGAGAUACAUACAAACAUAGAGAGAUGGUGGAGCUCCAUUUUAUUUUUUUUAUUACAAAUUAAUAAAAAAAGAAAAAAAAAUAGAAAUGGUAAUUUAGACGACUCGAUAGGUAAUUUAACCAUAUGAAUCAUCUCGGCAUCAAAAUAAUACCACGUGGCUAAUAUGUUAUGAGAAAAAAAAAAGAUGGAAUGAGAGUUCAACGUUCAAACAAACAAAAUGUCCAUUUCUGUAAUUUAUUCAGAAUUUAAUUAAGUUGGUAGAGUGAUCUAAAAAAUAAAAAAUAAAUAAAUAAAUAAAUAACUUAAUCUUGGUUGUGGUUGCAAAAAUUCCAAAUGUGAAAAUUGUUUUUUUAUAAAAGGUUUCCAACUUACAUCGGGGUGCAUUGUGACUAUUGUAUGUCUUUAUUCCAUAAAGGGUAGGGAUCAAACUUUAGGAUAUGAAAAAAAAGGAAUAAUCAAAAUAAAAACAGAAAUUACGCAAUUUUAAGUAUUUUCAUAAUUUUCUUUAUAAAACUUACAACAAAAUGAAAGUUUUGGACCAAUGAUGCUAGUCUAAAAUUUUUUGGAUCAACCCGGCAAUUUUCGACAAAUCAUAUGGACCAUUUUUGCAGUUUUGUCUAUAGGAUAUGCAUUAAGUAAAUUAUGAAAGUCGUUUGUUUCAUUUUGGAUAUGCAUUGAGUAAUUACGGAAAACGUUGUUUCAUUUAGGAUACGCAUUGAGUAAAUUAUGAAAAACUUUUGUUUUCAUUUAAGAUAUGCAUCGAGUAAAUUACGAAAAUCGUUUGUGAGGCAAACAACAAACUCUAAACUAAAAACCAAAUAUUUGGUCCCUUUUGUUACAAACGAGUGGCAAAUGCAUCAAAUAUCAUUUAGGCUAUAUGGUAUGGUUUUAAUAAGUUAUAAUAUAACAUGUGAACAUCGUUCUGCUUUCACGUGGUUUUAAGCCAUUUUUCCGUCUCAAUAUUUUCCAACGCCGGCUAAGAAAAAAACAAUCAACUUAUAUNNNNNNNNNNNNNNNNNNNNNNNNNNNNNNNNNNNNNNNNNNNNNNNNUAUAUAUAUAUUCUUUUUUAAGCGGUGUGAUGGUGUGGUGCGUAUUUCCAAGAAAAAAUGGAGUCGUGCGGAGAAAGACAUGACAUGUGAUUAUUCCUACAAGUUUUAUAAAAUAUAUCUUUAAAAUGGUGACAUUUUGAGCUUCAAGAUGAGAGUCGUGUCUUAUCAACAUUUCAUCGACCAUAUUUUUGAAUUUUGAAUUUUAUUUUAAAAUAUGAAUUUACCUCUAAAACAUAGAUUUUAAGGCAACCCGGAUAUUUCUAGAGGUUUGGUGUCAGUGAUCUUAUCAGAGAUCAAGGGUUUUCUUUGUAACUCUUGUGUCUUGCAUCUCAAAAUCUUGGAUAUCAUUCCGAAUAAAAUACUACAACCCUUACUAAUAUAUAUAUANCAAAGAUAAGAGUAUUUUUUUUAAAGACAGUCCAACCAUUUACUAAACUUCAACAUUUUAAUCAUUUAAAAGUUGUUUUCUAUUUUAGAUCUUACAUUUAGUAAUAAUUUACACUCUACUUAUAUCUAAAUUUUAUUAUUCUUUUAUUUUAUGAUAAUUUAAUCUAUUUAAUUAAAUAUAUUGUAUUGAAUUUUUUUAUCAAUAAAAAAAUAUUUUUAAACUCUCAAAUACAAAAAUAUCAAAUAUUUAAAAAUAUUAUUAUAAUAUUUAAGUUAAUUAAAGAAAAUUAGUUAAUUUUAAGAAAAUAUAUUCAUUAUUAUUAUGAAUAUUUUGACAAUAACGUGCUAGUGAUAUAACUUUAUAAAAUACAUUCAUUAAUAUUUUAUGUAUUUACUUAAAUAUGUUAACUAUUAAAAAAUUAAAAACAAAUUUAUCUCAAGAUACAAAAAAUACAAAGUCUAGAUUAAUAGAGUGUUUGGUGAAUCUUGGACAAAUCUAGAUUAUUAACCCAAUUUAUUUUUCAAAUUCCAACCGACUAUGUUCAACUCCAACGAGUUCAACAAUAUGGUUAGAAUGAAACAACAAUGAGAGUAUAGUAUGCGUUUUUUUCUUAUAGCAUGUCGAAUGUAGGAGCACGAAUCACUAGGAGACUCAAACUGUUGGGGGAGUUUCAAUCUUAUGGAGUAGUGAUUUUUUUAUGAGAGCUUGGUGAGCAUCAAGGUGGAGAGAGAGAGANUAUAUAUAGAGAGAGAGAGAGAGAGAUAGGGUGGGGCUCCAUUUUAUUUUAUUUUUACUUUUAUUUUUUAUUACAAAUUAAUAAAAAAAAUAGAAAUGGUAAUUGAAACGACCCGCUAGUUAAUUUAACCAUAUGAAUUGUCUCCGCAUCAAAAUAAAACCACAUGGCAAAUAUGGUGUGAGUAAAAAAAAAUAUGGAAUGAGAGUUUAAACUUUCAUACAAACACAAUGUCCAUUUUUGUAAUUUAUUCAAAAUUUAAUUAAGUUGGUAGAGUGACCUAAAAACAAAAACUUUAUCUUGGGUGUUAUCAAAACGGUUGCAAAAAUUCCAAAUGUGAUACCAACUUGUAACGACGUGAAAAUCUAAAACAAUUUUUCAUUUUUAAAAUGCAUACUCUUCUUAACAUAUCUUAUAAAAAUCUAUUUUAUUUAGUUACAAAGCACAACUCCAUUAUUAAUCCAGGAUCCUCUUAACUCAUUUUCUGGUGUGUACAAUCAAACCGGUGCCGUCCUGCGAUCCAGAUAAGAAAACCUGAAACAGAUAACACAUAACACGGUAAGCACAAGCUUAGUGAGUUUCCCAAAAUACCACACACAACACAUAUUAGCCACUCGAGGCUAUAACUCUGUUUGACCCUCUGGUCAAUGUGUCUCAGUGGGACCCUCCAGUCCCAUAACUUUGUGGACCCUCUGGUCCUAACUCUGUGGACCUUCCGGUCCUAACUCUAUAAAACUCUGAAACAUACAUAGCAUAAAUCACAUAGAAACAAUACAGUGUAUCACAUCAUAUAAAUAGCAUACAAAAUACUCUGUCACAUAACCCUAAUUACCACUCUAGGUAAAGUAUAGUAAGAAGACUCACCUCGGAUGAAGAAUAGCUCCUAUAAUCACUGCUGCUACGCACUGGACUCUAACUCUGUGCCAAACCCACAAUAAUCUCAAUUAGGAGCUAAGUCCAACCUCUCACUUAUUGGGUCUAAAGACAGACCACCUAACAGCCCAUUAAUGCCCUAAGCCCAUUGGGACCACCAAAGCCCAAUAAUAAAUGGGCCUUCCCACGGCCCAAUUACCAACCAAAAAAGGCAAGUGCAAACCAAAGGCCCAAAGCACACACAUACAUUUCUCUAGUCCAAGACUCUAUUACAUGAGGUCCAACUCCCGGCCCAGCACUCAAGGCCCAACACAAUGCUUAGCCCAAAAACCCCCAAAAGGAGUUACGCGGGGCGUACCCCCUGGUACGCUUAGCGUACCCAAACACUCAAGAAAUUGAUCGGGGAGUGGGGCGUACUGGAAUUAUGCGGCGCGUACCUUCAAACUUGCUUAAUCCAUUUUCUAGGCCUUAACCCGUUAAGACCUUAGCUAAACUCUUGGAUAUGGACUUCGUAACAUCUCUUACUCCAUAAAGUUAACAACUUUAAGCCUUUGCAUGGCUGAUAAGGUCACAACACAUAAAAACUCUUAAUUUCUUAACCCAAAAUGCUCAUAACUCAUGCAUGGGUAGAUUCACACGACCAAGGCCUUAUUUUUAUGGUUCUCCACCACUAGAAACACUUAAAAGGACAGGUUAUUAAGCUUUGGAGUGCAUCAACUCAUAAAGCCUCAAGCUUGGGACCAAAAACACUAAAAUACACAAAACAAAAAGAGAGGGAAAGCUUGGAGCUUUAUACCUUCAAAUGGUGCUCUAGCCCCAAGAAAGCUCAGAUCCACAACCUGAUCUUCAACUUCACUCCCUUCCAUGCUCCUUCUUAACUCCCAAAAGCCCAGAAGAUCACAACAAGCUCAUCAUGGCACUCACAAGCUCAAGAACGGAUAUUAGGGUUUGAGAGAGUUUAAUAACUGAGGAAGGUGGCCGGAAAUGAGACCAUCUCUUUCUUUAUAUAGGGGCACUUCAUUUAAUUAGGGUACUGUGCCUAGUACGCCCAUCGUACCUCCCUUGGUACGCCCAGCAUACUAGGUCGCUCUUGCUUAAGAAACAUGCGUAUCUGUACGCUAAGCGUACGCAUACGUACGCCCAGCGUACUUCGCUGCCAAAAUCCUCACUUAGGGACAUAUCUUGCCAACUCUCCCAAACUUCCAUAGCAUCUUCGAAAUGACUCGAAUACCAAAAAUCCUCAUACCUACGGAAAGGUAAUGAGAUGCCCUACACUUCUAAAAACUCGCCUCAACCCGAGACCUCCUAGCCCCCGACUCGCGACCCAUGAACCUUAAUCAUGGAUAAUUUGAAACCGGAUGCUACAAUUCUCCCCCACUUGAAUUAGAUUUCUCCCUCGAAAUCACUCCGUAACCACACAUAAAUCAAACCCUACUAGCUAGGAAGCACCACCGAAGGUCCUCAAACCAAACAACAAUCAUUUCGAAGGAUACUCGAUCCCACCAAGAACUCCUGACCCGAAAGGGGCAGACCCAACUGCCACUACGGUACUCAAUCUGAAUCUUUAUAACUUGAAAACUCUUGCGGUCUAAUUCCUUUCCUCAAAACAUGAUCCUGUUAAUCGCCCACCGACUAACAGACUCUAAGAACACCCUACCAACCCUGAUUCCCUGAUCAAUCCCAAACACAACUCAAAAGGACGGAAGGUUCAUAAUCUCCCUCUCCCUCCAGGACCCACUGCAAGUGCAAUCAUCCGGAUACAUUAGAGAGGAUGAACCUAAAACGCGAAUCUCGGACACAAAGAAAAUAUCAUGCUCGCCUGGGAAUAUUCUCUGACCUUUAUAAACCUAGUAGAUGAACCUCAAGCUCACCCACCCUAUAACCCAAAAAGGUUUCACCGAUUCCCAUCUUAUAAUAACUAUCACAACUCUUAGUGACGCAUAAGUCACGCAGUUCGCUUUCCCUCAAGCGAACACCACAACUCUCUUGAAGAUCGGAUCACCCUUGAACUCUGUCGAUGACUGCUCAAUACUUUUGUGCAUGCCGUUGCACCUCCCGAAGCAAGGUCCUGACCUACCAGGUAUAAGACAUUAGAUAACAAAUAAUACCCCUCACAUGGAACCCACUUCCGAUUCCGGAAUCUCAUCUCGUCUAUCCAACACACCACUAGGACUCAACUCAACUCGAGACUUUGGUCCAACCCGCAGUUGGAACCACUCAUCCCAAUGACCCAUUCAACUCAUGGCUCAUGACCCGCAACCCAUGCUUACUUCACUUGUCCAAUUCCUCCGGAUUGUGAUGUCCACACCUUACUCAGAAUAUAAUGAUUCCCGAUCAUUGAGGAGACCCUGGUAUCGCCCCUGGUCCGACCACCAGGCUCCCAAGAACUCAUAAAUUUGGGUUAUUCAAGCCUAAAUCUCUUCUGCGUGAUGCUCUAAACAAAAGUGCUUCGUCAUUACCUCUCGCUAGCUAGUGCGUACUACGGCUCCCCCUAGCAUCACGACACCCUCCUCUCUGACUAGUGAGUACUACGACUCCUCAUAGAAUCACGACACCCUCAUCUCUGACUAGUGAGUACUACGGCUCCCCUUAGCAUCAUAACACCCUCUCUCUGACUAGUAAGUACUACAGCUCCCCAUAGCAUCACGACACCCUCCUCUCUGACUAGUGAGUACUAUGGCUCCCCGGAGCAUCACAACACCCUUUCUCUGACUAGUGAGUACUAUGGCUCCCCGGAGCAUCACAACACCCUUUCUCUGACUAGUGAGUACUAUGGCUCCCCGGAGCAUCACAACACCCUUUCUCUGACUAGUGAGUACUAUGGCUCCCCGGAGCAUCACAACACCCUUUCUCUGACUAGUGAGUACUAUGGCUCCCCGGAGCAUCACAACACCCUUUCUCUGACUAGUGAGUACUACGGCUCCCCUUAGCAUCAUAACACCCUCUCUCUGACUAGUGAGUAAUACGGCUCCCCGUAGCAUCACAACCCCCUUUUUCACUAACUCAUUGAACUGUAGCUCUUCGCAAUUUCACCCCCACUAACUCUUACCACUUCACAAUCUCAUCCUCAGAUCGACGCCAUACAGCGAUCAUUACUCAUGCUCUGUGGACCAUCUAUAGAUAGGUGCACGCACCUACCCGAAUUAUGCACCACGAUAACUGACGAAAAUCGUCAUAACAAAACACCUUCCCUUGCUGCAAUCCAUUGUCUUAAAUAAUCUACUUGUCGUCUCAACUCGCGACCCCAAAAUUAUCCAAAAUUCAAGACAUUAAAUUCAGAUACCUUGAUACACCAGCCUAGAACCUCACGAUGUCUCGCCUCAGCCACUGAUCUUCCUGAUAUACAACCCGACAUUCAGAAUAUUUCAAAUUAUCACCUUGAAAUAUGGAGGGAUCGCCAACGACCCAGAACAUGUUGAUGGCAAUCCGAAACUCCAUCCCAAACUACAUAACAGCCUAAACAUUUGAACCAGGAUUCUCCCAUCGCCGAACCAACCCUAUGAGCCAACCAUCUCAAAGAAUUCCUAUCCAUCACAAGGUCUCCGACUGAUGGCCACUUGUCGUGGAGACAUUCAACCUUUACCAAACAUAUACCAUAUACAUUAUCUCGCUCUGUACCUUGAUUCAAGUACCAAUAACCCUGAUCACAUGAAACCACACCAUAGGUCUCUAUAUCCAGAUCUCUAACCGAUCUCGAACAGCUCUCUGAUUCUCUCAACCAAGUACCCGGUCCUCCCCCACUUAGGGUUCGAACCAUCACCAAUUGGUGCACCAACACUCUAUCCCAUAGACUGUCUCCACUAGUAACAACGCACCUAAUUUCGCAAGGUGCUACGCAACGCUCGAUGAUCUCUCUAACAAAGAUCAAACAACUCCAAAUACCAGAAUCUCGUAUGCAACCUUCAGAACUUACCAUCGUGACUGCCUCCAGUCAUUCAGGAUCUCACACUAUACCCUCACCGGACCUCCCAACUGUCCAGUAUUAACACUGACUCUUGAUCUGGAAAUAAUGAACCAUCAUACUCCUCAUCCCUGAAUCCUUGCCCAACGCUCCAACAUGUCCCUUAUUAUAAGAGCAGAAACCACAUUUCCACUCUCUAUACAUCUCAAGAACAAUAAGAGUCACUGCCCUGAUAUACUCAUCUUGAUCACCCAACGCUGCAGCUAACACAUGCCAUAUUAUACUCAAAUAGGGUGUAUCCUGGUCCUGGACCAUUUCAGUCCCCACUGUCAACAUGAUCAAACUAUAUCAUUCCCUCGCGACAGACCUACUGCCAGAUACUCUGUUUGAAAAAAAAUCACCAUCAGUGCAAUCCCACAAGGCUCACCCCCAACUCAGAAACCGAAAUCUCAAUAUCCCUUACGUCUCCCAGAAGAAACGGAAAUAACACCACUCGGGUCAUGGAAGGUGACAUAUCUACUAUCGACCGGUCCCCCAGCUCAGACCGUACUGCUCUAUAACACACCGUCUUUACUCAUCUCUGAGUCUUGCGACUCUACUGGUAUAUCACCAACAAUCCCUCGGAACUAACUCGGUUUCCCUAUCAAGGGAUGCUCCACUAAAACUCGGUUACCCUGGCCUUUUGGGCCCAUACUCCUUCACAUCCGACCUUGGUCUCGAUAAUCACUACGGAAUAACCGGCAAAACCAAAAGCACUAACCGCCACAUUUCAUGGUACUCGAACCAUGUCCUCUCUUCUCAACCUGCCUCAAAUCAUGGUACUCGAACCAUGACAUCACCCCUCGAUCUGCCACCAAUCAUGGUACUCGAACCAUGACAUCACCCCUCGAUAUGCUACCAAUCAUGGUACUGGAACCAUGACAUCACCUCUCGAUCUGCUACCAAUCAUCGUACUCAAACCAUGACAUCACCUCUCGAUCUGCUACUAAUCAUGGUACUCGAACCAUGACAUCACCACUCGAUCUGCUACUAAUCAUGGUACUCGAACCAUGACAUCACUUCUCGAUCUGCUACUAAUCAUGGUACUCGAACCAUGACAUCAUCUCUCGAUUUGCUACUUAGAACCCCUGGGAUACUCCCUGCAUCGAGUGUGGGUCCUCUGCUUUCAGUAGUACGGGCCCAUACUACCUACCAUAUCUACCCAUAGUCUCUACACGGACCAUCCCAGAUUCCCUAAGUAGCUGCUCAACCUUCUCAUCACCAAUGCUCUACUCUGUCAGCGUACUUAUCUGACUAAGGUCACUCCUAGACUCUUCCCAGGUUCUCACACUUCUCCGCCAUCAGCUGCUGAGAAACUCCUUAUGAUGCCAGUCAUCUACCUCCUGAAUAUCGUCACAUUCGCUUGGUAAUUGACCCCCAUCAUCGGGAGUUCCACAAAGCACAAAGCAAGCAACAUUCGGGCGUCAAAUAAACACAUAUAGCUCGCUCUAGGUGAUAACUCCACUAGCUCUACUCGUACUCAAACGAUAUCACCGAACUCUGCAACUCUACUCAAAUCCCCCUCCAUAUAGGAUUCUUGCUGGAUACUCUUACUCAACACAUACUCGAAAGUGCAUCACAGAUAACAACAACUACUAGGCUAAGGCAUCACAAAUCAGGCCACUCUAGUCCUAAAAUAUGAAAUACCUAGCCUAUCUCUAGCAUGCAUAAUAUCUCAUAACAUAUUUCAUAACACAAAAGUAAUGGUAUUUUGGGAAAUCACCGUUCGGGCUCUGGCUGAUUGUACACACUGCUCCUUCCGCUUUCUCUUAGAAACUCUUACUCGUUUUAGAAAAAUCAUUUAUUUUGAAAUAUUUCCUCAUUUCCUCAGUUUGAGUCCAGAUAUACCCGAAGGUACAUCCGAAUCCCUCAAACCUAGGCUCUGAUACCAAGUUGUAACGACGUGAAAAUCUAAAACAAUUUUUCAUUUUUAAAAUGCAUACUCUUCUUAACAUAUCUUAUAAAAAUCUCUUUUAUUUAGUUACAAAGCACAACUCCAUUAUUAAUCCAAGAUCCUCUUAACUCUUUCUUUGGUGUGUACAAUCAAACCGGUGUCGUCCCGCGAUCCAGAUAAGAAAACCUGAAACACAUAACACAUAACACGGUAAGCACGAAGCUUAGUGAGUUCCCCAAAAUACCACAUACAACACAUAUUAGCCACUCAAGGCUAUAACUCUGUUUGAACCUCUGGUCAAUGUGUCUCAGUGGAACCCUCCAGUCCCAUAACUUUGUGGACCCUCUGAUCCUAACUUUGUGGACCUUCCGGUCCUAACUCUGUAAACUCUGAAACAUACAUAGCAUAAAUCACAUAGAAAUAAUACAGUGUAUCACAUCAUAUAAAUAGCAUACAAAAUACUCUGUCACAUAACUCUAAUUACCACUCUAGGUAAAGUAUAGUGAGAAGCCUCACCCCGGAAGAAGAACAGCUCCUAUAAUCACUGCUGCUACGCACCAGACUCUAACUCUGUGCCAAACCCACAAUAAUCUCAAUUAGGAGCUAAGUCCAACCUCUCACUUAUUGGGUCUAAAGACAGACCGCCUAACAGCCCAUUAAUGCCCUAAGCCCAUUGGGCCCACCAACACCUAAUAAUAAAUGGGCUCUCCCACGGCCCAAUUCCCAACAACAAAGGCAAGUCCAAACCAAAGGCCCAAAGCACACACAUACAUUUCUCUAGUCCAAGACUCUAUUACAUGAGGUCCAACUCCCGGCCCAGCACUCAAGGCCCAACACAAUGCUUAGACCAAAAACCCCCAGAAGGAGUUACGCGGGGCGUACCCCCUGGUAUGCUUAGCGUACCCAAACACUCAAGAAAUUGAUCGGGGACUCAACCCAGUACGCGGGGCAUACUGGAAUUACGCGGCGCGUACCUUUAGACUUGCUUAAUCCAUUUUGUAGGCCUUAACCCGUUAAGACCUUAUCUCAACUCUUGGAUCUGGACUUCCUAACAUCUCUUACUCCAUAAAGUUAACAACUUUAAGCCUUUGCAUGGCUUAUAAGGUCACAACACAUAAAAACUCUUACUUUCUUAACCCAAAAUGCUCAUAACUCAUGAAUGGGUAGAUUCACACGACCAAGGCCUUAUUUUUAUUGUUCUCCACCACUAGAAACACUUAAAAGGACAGGUUAUUAAGCUCUGGAUUGCAUCAACUCAUAAAGCCUCAAGCUUGGGACCAAAAACCCUAAAAUGGACCCUAAAAUGCACAAAACAAAAAGAGAGGGAAAGCUUGGAGCUUUAUACCUUCAAAUGGUGCUCUAGCCCCAAGAAAGCUCAGAUCCACAGCCUGAUCUUCAACUUCACUCCCUUCCAUGCUUCUUCUUAACUCCCAAAAGCCCACAAGAUCACAAACAAGCUCAUCAUGGCCACUCACAAACUCAAGAACGGAUAUUAGGGUUUGAGAGAGUUUAAUAACUGAGGAAGGUGGCCAGAAAUGAGACUAUCUCUUUCUUUAUAUAGGGGCACUUCACUUAAUUAAGGUUUCCUUAUAUGCCUAGUACACCUAGCGUACCUCCCCUGGUACGCCCAGCGUACUAGAUGGAUCUUGCUUAAGAAACACGUGUAUCUAUACACUAAGCAUACGCAUACGUACGCCCAUCGUACUUCGCUGCCAAAAUCCUCACUUAGGGACUUAUCUUGCCAACUCUCCCAAACUUCCAUAGCAUCUAUGAAAUGACUCGAAUUCCAAAAAUCCUCAUACCUACGGAAAGGUAAUGAGAUGCCCUACGCUUUUAGCAACUCGCCUCAACCUGAGACCUCCUAGCCCCCGACUCGCGGCCCAUCACUACUAGAAAAAAGGCCUUUUACGACGCUCAUUGCGCGUCGUAAAAUGCUCAGACGACGCGCAAAUGCGUGUCAAGGAAGGCCCUAUCAUAAAGAGAGACGACGCGCAUUUACGACGCACAUUUAUGACGCGCAUUUAUGACGCGCGGUUAUGACACGCAAUGCGUAUCAAGGAAGGACCUGUCAUAAAGGAAGACGACAUGCAUUUGCGUGUCGUAACCUUAUGACGCGCAUGUUUAUGACAUGCAAUGCGUAUCAAGGAAGCCCCUGUCAAGAAAGGCCAUGUCAUAAACGAAGAUGACACACAUUUUUGCGUAUCAUAAUUUUAAAUGUUCUCAAAAAAUAUUUAUAUAUUUAUUAAUUUUUAAAUUAAAUUUGCAUUUAAUGUCUCAUAAUAGAAAUAAAAUAUCAUAUACAAAAAAUACAAUCCAUUGCAUAAAAUUUAAUGUCAUACAAUUCUAUUUUUUACAAUAUCGAAAUUUGCAUCUAAUCCACUCUCUACAUCAAAUUCCAACUAAGUAAAGUUGCAUCUUGCCUUUCAUAAUUCUUUAAGACUAAUGCUCCAAACAGCCGUUAUAUGGAUAAAAAGUUGUACAUUGGCCCAUCUCAUUCAAGAAUGACUUAGCCAAAUUUAACUCCAAGUCUUUACUGCAUCUUGCUGAUAAUGCUGCAAGAUUUGAAUCAAGUGGAUUCAUAUUCCUUUCUUCCACCAACUUUACCUGAUGCACAAAAUACACAGAAACAAAAAAACAUUGUAGAGGAAGGGGUAAUUUGGGAAAAUGUGAGGGGUAUCCUUUGCAAAACAAAACAAAAAAUAUCCUUUGCAAGAUUUGCUCUUUAGUAUCCUCUGCAAAACAAAAUAAAAAAUAUAUAUCAAAAAAUUAAAUUUUUUAUAGUUUUAUAUUAUAAUUAUGCCUAGAGUAUUGCAUACCUGAAGAACCAUUUGUUAGCUCUACAACACUUUUUGAAUCUGAACCAAGCUUUCAUCACUAACACUAACACCUUUUGUAGCCCCACAUGAAACAUCUUUUUCAUCCGUUAUAAGACAACGUACUGGAGAUAAUUCACACUCUACAUAAUCAAAAACACAUGUUAGCAUGAAAGAAUCUUAUAGAAGCCAUAAUAUAAGCAUGGAGAUAAUUCAAAUUCUACAGAGAAAAUCACCAUUUUUGGUUGACUCUAUUCCAAGUUGCCCAUGCUUGUUCCAACCAACAGAGAAAGAAAGGCCAUCUUCAAUUAGAACAACAGUAUGGCCUACCCCACUUCUUGCUUUCACAACUUUAUACCUGAAAAAUGAUUUGAAAUUUUUCAAAAAUCGAAUCACAAAUACAGAAAUAGACUAGAAUGAUGGAGCCAGUGAUUUACACAUGUGAUAUUAUAAAUAAUUCUGAUUACAAAGUCAAACACAUGUAAAGAAAAGUCAAAAGUAAUACCUAAAUGGUGGAGCCAGUGAUUUUUUCAAUAGAAAAUGCAGUUCCAUACCAUGGCUCUGUUAGCUCAGUAUGUCCAUCAAAGUUUGUUGACUCCCAAAUGUUUCUGGAACCAGAAGGGCAUACUGAGAAAUCAUAUAAAUUUAGCCAACACUAACAAACGCAUUGAUAGAUGAUACGCUACCUUACAUUGUUUGGUGUGAUCUCACUUAGUGCAGACUGAAUAACUUCAGGGGAAAAAAGUGGAAGGUAAAGAUGAUCCAACUAGCCAAUCUUUUGAAGGGUAUAACUGCAAUGUUGUUCAAAAUCAAAAUGAUUAUUCAAAUAAGUAAAGCAAAAAUAUGAUAAAAAGUGCAAAUGCCUACAUAUUUGAUGAAAAUUUCACAACAUAAUCAAUUAGAAGAAUCUUGUCCUGAUAAUCAAUUUGCUGGUGUUUUCAUGAAACAUAUAUUACAAAUGAUGUCAUUAUCUAAAUAAACAUGAAAGAAAUGAACACACAUAGAGAGAAACAGAAGACUGGAAACACUGACCAUGUCCAACAUCAGUUAAUUCAAUAACCACUUUAAAGAAAGAGAACUCCACAAUCCAGUCUGAUUCACGAGCAGACAAGCUUGUUGCCCAACCCAAUUUCUUCAAGACAUAGAAGAGGGAUCCUUCUCCUUCAUGACCAAUUAAGUGUCCAAGAUACCUACUUGGCCCUUCCAUGUAAUGAUCAAUGCCAGGUGUCAUUGGCCAUGUAAUUCUCAGCUUGUGACCACGUUUUACAGGAACAAUUUUCACAAUAACUUGAUGAAUAAAUGCAACAAGACAAUAAAUGAAAGCAAUUAAGCGUACAAAUGAAAGCAAUUAUGCGUACCAAGAUAAUUAUUCAUGAAUUUUGGGGCACGAAGAGGUCGACCCCUAUGAUUAGCAAUAUAAAUCUUCCACCUAUCAAGAACAGUAACUGAAGCAUGCUCCAUGUGUUGCAGCAUCAUGCAAAGUCCUCCUUGUUUCUCUACAGACCCCAAACUACCACCCCAAUUCAAAACCCUAGCCACGUCAUUCCCAGUUCCAACAGGUAGAAAGGCUAUAGGAGGGGGUGAAACGUAACUUUGCUUCUCAAUUGCAUCCAAUACCCACCCUGCUGUCCCAUCUCCUCCACAUACAAGAAUUCUGGAAUGAGGUACUCUUCUGAAUAGAUAAAGACCAACUUCUAGCCCUUCUGUUGAACUCAACUCAAAUAUCUACAAAAAGUUUCAUCAAGAUUUUAGAAAUUUUAGUCAAAAGAUAAAUCAAGAACAUAGUUAGCUAAAAUAUCAACCUAAUUUGACAAAUUCAUAUGAAUUGUUGAACAGAUAAAGUGAUUGAUGCACCUUGGAGAACAUAUUUAGCUCUAACAUUGAGAAUAAAAGUAGAAAUUUUACCUGCAAUGAUUACCAAACUGUCAUUCUCUUUAGUCGCAGCUCCUCCAGGAAUGGAUACGCUUUGGCGAGAACACUCAACCAUGGAUGAACAUCAGCUCCCCAAUCAUUCGGUACUAAAUUGAAAUCUGAAAACCUCGGUUUCCCCUUCAAGGUUUUGAUUCGCUUCUUAUUUAGAUCCAUACUAGAAAAACAUAAAUAGAAUACGGUUGUUUACCAAAAUAGAGUACGGGAUAGCAUCCCGUAUUAUAUGGGGGGUGUAUUAGAUUAGGGCCAUAAUAGAGUACGGUUAAACACCAUACUCUAUCUCUACAAUACUUCCACAUAUAAUACACACUUUAUUCCACAUAUAAUACACAUUAUUAACCGUACUAUAUUCCAAUCCUCUUUUCCACAAUAUUAACCGCACUCCAUCAACAUUAAACAAACCAACAAAAUUACAUUGUUAAUGACGCAUCCAUUAGAUUAAUGAGGAAAUAAAAAUAUAAAGUGAAUCAACUAUGUCAUUCCAGUUCAUGGGUGUCAAUGAUUUCCGGUGGAAUGCUCUUUUGAAAGAAAAAGAAAAAGAAAAAGAACGCAUCAAGAUUCACCAAAAUAUGAACAAAUUGCAAAUGUUGUUUCAAGUUGAUACAAAAUUACUAACCUCAAGAGCCCAUCUAAUCAAUGUAGGUAACAUUGCUAGCAUGUUUGUUCAUAUCAUGCCAAUCACAUUACUCCUGUUAAAUAUCAUGCCAUACAACAUAAAUAAAACUAAAAAAGAAAAACAAUAAUAGUAAUAAGGUGAAAGUUAUGAUAAAAGAGUUUGGUGAUAGAUUUACUAAGCAGGGUAUAUGUAUACUUCAAUAUGCAUUUGCAGAAAACCCAUAUGAGAUGCAAUUUCCUCAUAGUGGUUGUGGUGGUAAAUCCAUCAGUAGAAAACCCAACACUCUAAGCAUGGUUACCUCCAACCUUCUAAAAAGUAAUAGGAAUUUUCAGGAAAGGCUAUUAGAGUAACAUUAAACCAAACACAUUUAGUAAGAUACUAAGUUUAUACAUAUAUACAAAGAAGUGGGAAAAAACCAUAUGAAUAGUCAUGCUCAAAGAUCAAAUUUACAUGGAGGGUAUAACUGGUAACAGUAGCCUGUUGUGCAAGGUUUUAGGUAAGGAACAAACAAGCAACAAUAACAAAAGAUGUCAUACAUGGUGGAAUAAUGACACUAACUUGUUGCUGAUGUUGGGGAAUGGCCUAUAUUGUGUUAACUAUGACUUUGAUUCCGUUAAGCAUGUGAGUCCACAAUAUUAAAUAAUAAUAAUAAUAAUAAUAAAAUAAUCAUGUGGAUAUAAAUAAAAUGUGAAUAUUGAACACAUACAUCUCAAAACAAUACUUUAUAUUCAUAAUAGUUGCAUAUAUAGGCAAAACUAAUGUUGACAAACUUCCCCUGAAGAUGUCAUACAUGAUAUAACACCAAAUAUAAGCAUGCUAGCAGUGAUCUCAAAAUGAUAUAUGCUAAAGGCUAAAUUCAUAUACAAAAUGAAAAGAUUAUGGAUGUGUAAGUAUCAUACUACUUUUUUAGUAUGAUAAACAACAUAAAGCAUUCAUUUUCAAGAUACAUGGAUGCUAAAACAGAAUCACCUUUAAAUGUAAAGUUGCACAACAAUGCAAGGAUUUGGGAAUAGUAAACUACUAAACAGUCGUAUAUUUGCAAAAUUACCUUGAAAAAUCAUCAAAACACAAUGUUUCAUACCAGGUAGCUUCAACAUAGGUGAGUCAUUGUCAAUUAACCAAUAUUUCGGCAUUCUAGAAUCAAUCUCUGCUGAUUGCACUUGAAAUUGUCACCUCAGCCUAAUUGAAUAAGAAAACAAGAGGAAAAUAAUAAGAACAUGAGCAAUCAUCAGAAAAAUUACCUCCUCAAAAGAUAUCGUUCUUUUAUAAUUUAUAUACUCCAUCGCCUAAUUUGAAAUUUAAAGACUUCCUAUAUCCAUUCAGUUGAUCAUUAUUGAAAAGGUAAGUAUUAGAUUCUGAAUCUAGGUAAAAAAAUAUGAAUAAUCUGAAUCGGACAUUACAUCGAACACAUUAUGUGCAAUUACAAAACACAAGAAAAUUAUACAAAAUAGGAGAUAAUGAAAGGAUAUAGCCAUAUCAGAUAAUGAUUCACAAUAAAGAUUUCAAAACGGACUAAAAUUACAAGAAGAAGGCCAAUUGAAACACUAGAAAAGUAUCGAUAGAGGUACAUAUUAAAAAGGAGAUGAAAUAUCUAGGAACAUUCAUACCUUCUUGAAAAAACUAGCAAGGGAAUAGGAGGAGUCAUUGGCUCGAAGAUGAUGAUAGUCUCAUGGUCAUGGUGACGAGAUGAUGAGUGAACGCUAAGAGAAGUGGUGAAGUCGUGCAAAUGAAAAUAUGAGUGCUCUGGAGGUAAAAAAUAGAACAUAUUUGACGAUCAUUUAAAAAAAUAGGCGGAAAAAAAACAAAAAUAUAAAAUUGUAUUAGAGUACGGUUAAAAUACACAACCCUACUCUAUCUUGUGUAUCGUAUUUGCGAUUUUCUAGUAGUGAACUAUCACAUGUUAUAUUCGGUCAAAAGGUUUAUAGUGAACACAAACAAGUUCGAUGGUAUAUUGCGUACAAAAAAAAGGACCAAAUGUGAACAAAAUUAACAGUUGGUUACCCUCCUGAGUCAUUUUCCCUACAUGGACAUCGGCACAACUUACAUGGACAUCGGCACAACAUAUGCUUGGUUAAUUAAUUAGUUGUUUUGGUGUUCCGGUACAUUAACUUAUCAUUUUGCAAUUAUUUUACCAUUUUAUCUUCACUUGAUAGAAAUGGAAAUCAUUUCCAUCUAAUCUAUUAUUUCCCCACAUUAAUACUACCAAGAACCCUAAUCGCUCAACACAUUCUAAUCAUACAAGUCCUCUUGAUCAGCUAUUCAUUUGUCUAUAUGUUAAUCUUGGCGUGUUUCAAAUGUAAUCAUUUUCCAUUAAUCCUCACAGUGUGCAUUUAGGAGUUAUGAUCAUUCUAUUGGCUUUUGCUUUGGGUCAUCUAGAACUAUAGGAAUAAGAUUGUGUUAAGACUAAAGAACAAAUGUUUGAGAAAAGGUGUUUCUAUUUAUUAUACAAACUGGUAUAUAUAAUACAAAGAGAUAACAAUAUUUCAAAUGAUGUCGUGAUUCACUAACUGAUUAUUCUAUCUAUAUAAUAUCAAGAAUAGGUCAAUACAGAGGAUAUAUUAGAGAAUCAAAUAUUCAAUAUAUAUAUAUAUAUAUAUAUAUAUAUAUGCUCCCUCAAGAUAGGCCAAUCUUGUUAAGUAACCAAUGGAAUUAAGACGUGUGUAACGGUUUAGUGAGCAGAUCACUGAGUUGGUCGAAGGAUGAGACUUGAGCAACACAUAGCUGUUGGAUUAGGUGUCUAAGCCAAUAACUAUUUUGGUAUGUUUUGACCCGAUUGUGAGCAUGGUCCUUUUGAGUUGCCUUCAACAUAGCAACUAAUAGUAUGAACUAAGGAGAAAAAGAAUUAAUUAUGAUUUAUUAAUAUAUUAUAUGAAUAAUAUAUUAAAAGAGAAAUCAUAUUAUUUAAUUAAUAUUAGUCAAUAACUAAUAAGAAUUAAUUUUGUGGCUAAAAGAGAUUAAUUAAAUAAAGGGGAGUGAUUGUGUGAUUAUAAGAUAGUUGCAUAAAUGGGCUAAUGGACUCCAUAGAAGUUGGAGUGGAGGAAAUAUAUGCCCAUUAGAAUUCGUCCAAGGCUUCUAAGGAAGGAGUCCAUGGGCUUCUUAGGGCCUAAGCAGUCAGUUUAGGGUUUCCUGGUUGAAAACCCUAAUAGCAUACCUCUAUAAGGAACCCCUGAGGCCCCAAAAACGUGGUGAAGUAAUCUCUAAGGGUUCUUAGACGUUUUUUGUGCUCCUUUUCCUUGUCCUAAGUUAUCUUGUUGCUCAUGGUGUUUAUGACUCCAUUAGAGGUGCAACAUUUGAGGCACUAGGAUUUCAGAAGUCAAUUACAAACUAUUGGAUUAGUGUCUAAGUCCAUAACUAUUUUGGUAUGUACUUGACCCGAUAGUGCAUGGUCCUUUUGGGUUGCCUUCACCAAAGCAACUUGAUAGGAUGAAUUAUGGAGAGAAAGGAUUAAAUAUGAUUUAUUAAUAUAUUANAAGACUAACAGACAAAAACUUCAAUCAAUCGUGGAGGCAGUUUCAGGAGUUUGACAUUAUGGGAGGUGGGAGCAUAUUCGCAGGGGAAAGUGGAGGGAUAACAAUCAUUCCAAAGCUUGAUCAGUACUGGGAGAGGGGAUGCAUCAGGUGCAAGAUACGCACACAUCAUGCAUCAAGACCUAGGGCUUGUAAGUACAACAAAAAAUCAUGAGAAACCUUCAUCGCCGGAAAGAAAUAUUGUAGAUGGAAGAGAAAGUUGAGAUGGAAGUAUUGAAACCCACAUCAGAAGCUGGCGAUUGAAGCUCCUGAUGUGUUCAAAAGACGGGAUCAGAGAUUUGGUGAUAUUGCGAUUUUGUUGUGGGAGAAAAGAGGAUUGAUGAUGAUAUUAGGGUUUUUUUGUGUAUUAGAGUGAGAGAGAGAGAGAGAGAGAGAGACUAAGAGAGAGAGAGAGAGAGAGAGAGAGAGAAAAAAGAACGAUGGAAAUAAGGUAGAGGAUAACAAUGGUGGCCUUUCAAACUUUUGGGAUUUUCGUUUCCCCCCAGCUGCAAAAGAAGAGAAAGUGCCUUUCAUUCAAAAAAUAUAAAGCGACAUUUCUAGACGACGCCCAUUUUUAAGUAAGUGCGCUCCGUGUUUUUAAUUUUUUUUUGUUGGACAUUAAUUUUAAGGCGCGCACAAAAGCGUGUCGUUUAUCAUUCAAAUUUUAGAAGAGAUGACAUUAUUUUAAGGGUACACGCUUUUGUGUAUUGUAAAUCACCGCGUGUCAUUGUUUGCGCGUCAUUAAAGGGCUGUUUUCUAGUAGUACAUGAACCUUAAUCAUGGAUAAUCCGAAACCGGAUGUUACAUCGAGGAGUCGAGAAGAGUUGAUUUCCGUACCAAGGACAGUGUAGGCACUACACGACAUUGAGGUGAGUUACCUUCCAGUAGAAGGGAGUCUAAGGCACCAAGGCCGGCUCACUAGUAGUUAUUUACAGUAGAGAUGAUUGUCUAUGUGAUAAUUGUCUGGUUGCUAUUAUUAGAUGUGUUCUAUGUGCCAGUAUGAUAUGUUCUAUGUGCUAGUGGUAGUAGGAAGGGGAAUACUCCCCGAUUCGGUUGUGUGGACCGAAGGGUAGGUCGGACACCCCAUAUAUGUCUGACAGCAUGAUUAUGAUAUAUAUUAUUAUGUGAUAGUUGUAGGGGUGAAAUAGUCCUCGUGACCGGGUGAGAGAGACCGGAGGGUAGGCAGGCACCCCAGAAUGGCCUGACACGGGUAGGUCAACACCCCAGAAUGGCUUGACAUAGGUAGGUCGGGCACCCUAGAACUGCCCGACACUAUGUAUGGUUGUAUGAUAUGCGGUAUGAUGGGGGAAAUCACUAAGCUUUGUGCUUACUAUUUUCAUUUUUGGUUUUAGGUACCUCUUCAUCUAAGGGGAAGGAGCCGGCAGGGUAGCAGCGCAUCACACACAUAUGUUUCCGCAUUUGAGAACCCUAGGAUUGUACUCUGACAUUAUACUAUUUGAUAUUUUGGUUAAGAGACAUGUAACUAUGGUUUUGUGGUUUGAUGUGAUAUCAGUACUGUUUUUUCCUUAAACAAUCUUACAAGUAAUAUAAAAUAAAACAAAAAUUUUGGUCUCGGUUUUUUUGGGAUUUUUGGGAUGUUACAAGUUGGUAUCAGAGCCUUCGUUUGAGGGAUUCAGGCACACCUUCGGGGGUGUCUGGACUCAAAUCGUGGGUUUGAAGGAUUUUUACAAAAAAAAAUAGUUUUCUAAAAUUUAAAAAUUGUAACAUCCAUAAAUUUUAUGCCAAAUUUAAACUUUUUCAAUCAUAAAUAAAAACCGUAAAGCACCGUUUACAAAAUGUUUUCAAAUCAUUUUCCAUCAGAGUGUCCCAAAAUCAUAACAUAAGGAUGAGGAGCGGUAUGGUCACGCCUUCUCCUUUCCAUGGACUCCUGAAGUACCUAAAACUAUAAACUGAAAACUGUAAACCCAAGGGCUUAGUGAGCUACCCUCAAAAUACCAAUACCACGAUGACAAUACCAUAUCAGUAAUAAUCAAUCAAUCAUCAUGCAUACUAGGCCACCGACCGGACUGGACCGCCCUAACGGGCCUACAGUCUGUCUAAAUCUAUCCUGAGCCUUCGGCAUGACUGGUCCGCCACGUGCGCCUACAGUCUCCCCGGACCGCUCACAGGGUAUGUUGGCCUUCCGCACAAAGCAGGACCACCUCAAUCCAACCAACAAGCAAAUAACCAUGUGCGCAUAGCUAUCAUUUACGGUCAUAUACAAACAUCAAGCAUGUCUAUCUCACUGGUCAUAAUCAUAGAAUUCUCCUGUAACUAGAGUACCGACCUAUCAGGUCACUAACACACCAAUCCCUACGGAUCAUAAAAGCAUAACAUACUGUCUACCUCGAUUCCGAACUAACAAAUCAUAACCACAUGCAACAUACCAUAAUAAUAACAACUAAAGGGCAGGACUUGGUGCCGUAGACCCUAUCGAUAUAGUGAGGAUAACUCACCUCGCAGAUGUCGACACGAAAGGUAAACUCCAACUCUCGGAUCACUUGACACAUGUUCCACCACCUAUCAUCAUAGUACAUCAUACUCAUAAGUCCUUAACCUUACAAGGUACUCCAUAAACCACUAGUCAACCCCUGGUCAAAGUCAAAGUCCUCAAUCAAGGUCAACAGUCCAUGUUGACCUUAACUCGCCGAGUACCCUUGGCUACUAGCCGAGUUCCCUGAAGUACAUUCCAAAUCGCCGAGUCAUCGUAGUGACUCGUCGAAUUCAUUUGAUCCUCGAUCAAACUUAAGGUCACACGUCGAGUUCCCUCCUUGCAACUCGACCGAUACACAUGCAUACAUAAUCUAGGGAAAACUCAUCGGACUCGCUGAGUUGUUCUUUAACUCGUCGAGUCUUAUGGUGAUCUUCAUCGAACUCGCUGAGUUGUUCAUCCAACUCGUCGAGUUCACGACCAUCUUCAUAUGACUCGCCUAGUCACCUUGCGACAUGCCGAGUCCAUUCAUUUCUUUUUCCAUACAGACUUGAUUUGAGCCAUGCAGCGGCCCCAAAUCACAGAUCCAAGCUUCUAGGCAUACUUAUCACGUAAAGUUGCAAAAUUUACGUGCAUGCAUGGCUAUAAAGGCUCUAAAUGUCUGUUUUAAGUUCAUAAUGAAGCUUAAAGUCUAAGAGGGACCUCAAUCACAACCAAUACAACAACUUUAUGAUUCUAGCAUCCAAGGAGGGUCCAGAUCUGAAGUUACAACCUCAGAUCUAGCCCAUAGCUCAUCCUUUCAACUCAAUACUUCACCAAAAACCCUAAAACGCGACAAUGGAAGAGAUUCACAAGAAGAAAGGCGAUUUGGUUACCUCCAAAAGAUGAUGACUGAGAUAAGGGCUAAUUUCCACACUCCACUUUCCCCAAUACCCUUCUCCUCUUAGCCUCCUCUCUCCAAAAUCCUCUUUUCAAGCUUCAAUCACACAAUGGCACACACACAUGCACACAUAUUUGGGUUUUAAGGGCUCUUAAAGACUGCAAGGAUGCCAAAGGAGCUGAGGCUCCUUUAAAUAGGGGUACAAACCACGGGAUUUAGGGUUUCAUCUACCAGCUCCUACUCGCCGAGUCCCAAAGUGGACUCGUCGAGUAGGUCGACCGACUCAUCGAGUAGGGCUUCAUCCAAUAAUUCUUAUAUAAUUAAUACUUGAGAAUCGGGGCAUUACAACUCUCCCCCACUUGAACUAGACUUCACCCUCGAAGUCUGCUGGAAUAAACAAUGUCGGGUAAUGCUCACGCAUCUCCGCCUCCGGCUCCUAUGUCUACUCGGAUCCCUUUCAAUGUUCCCAUUGUACCUUUACCACAGGUAUUUCCUUGUUCCGCAGAAUCUUCUUCUUCCUUUCCAAAAUUGCCAUAGGCCUUUCCACAUAGUUUAGGCGCUCAUCGACCUGAAUGUUAUCUAACGAUACCACUGCCUUCUGGUCCAUAAUGCAUUUUCGCCGGAAGCUCUAGCCUAUAAGCCACCCUACCAACCCUAGUGAUAAUCCUGAACGACCUAAUGUAACGGGGACCCAAUUUUCCCCUCUUCCUGAAGCGGAUCACACCCUUCUAGGGUGAGAACUUCAGAAGAACCAUGACACCCACCUGAAAUUCCAGCUCAGAUCGCCGUCGGUCGGCAUAACUUUUCUACCGGCUCUGAGCGGUCUGCAGUCACUGUCUAAUCUGCUGUAUCAUUUCGGUAGUUUGUAGAACUACCUUUGUCCGACCCAUCACUCUGUGCCCAACCUCGCCCCAACAGAGUGGGGUCCUACACUUCCGCCCAUACAACAGCUCGAAAGGCGGGGCACUAAUACUGGAAUGAUAUAUGUUGUUGUAGGCGAACUCUGCAAGCGGUAGGUGGGAAUCCCAACUCCCACCAAAAUCAAUAACGCAUGCCCACAACAUAUCCUCGAGGGUCUGAAUGGUCUGCUCACUCUGCCCAUCAUUUUGCGGAUGGAACGCCGUACUAAAAUGCAGUCGUGUACCCAGUUCCUCAUGGAACUUCUGCCAAAAACGGGAAGUAAACCUGACAUCUCGAUCGGAAACGAUAGAAACUGGAACCCCAUGGCAAGAUACAAUCUCCCUAACGUAUAGGUCGGCCAACUUCUCUACCGACGAACUCUCCCGUAUGGCUAGGAAAUGGGCAUUCUUGGUCAAUUGAUCCACGAUGACCCAUAUAGCAUCGAACCCCCUUGUCGUCUUCGGCAACUUCGUGAUGAAAUCCAUCGUGAUCCGUUCCCAUUUCCACAUGGGAAUCUCCAGAGGCUGCAACUUACCAUGCGGCUUAUGGUGCUCGGCUUUGACCAUCCUACAGGUCAAGCACCUCUCAACGAGCCAAGCAAUAUCUCGCAUUCCAGGCCACCAAUAACUCGAACUCAAAUCACGGUACAUCUAGGUGGCUCCUGAGUGAAUCGAAAAACGAGACUUAUGAGCCUCCUCCAUCACUGUCUGUUGGACCCCUCCGAACAUCGGAACCCAAACCUGACCGUAAUGGGUCAACAAUCCACGGCUAUCCUGAACAAACCAGGCGCUUUCGCCCUUAAUCCUCUCCAACUUCCAAUUCUCUGGUCUCAUGCCCUCAAUAUGAGAAUCCCUGAUCAAACCCACCAGUGGUGAAUCCACCGCUAUCCUCAUACACCUGGCUAGGGUCGAGGACCCAACUGACUUGCGGCUCAGAGCAUCCGCAACCACAUUCGCUUUACCAGGAUGGUAAAGAAUCUCGCAAUCAUAGUCUUUGACCACAUCCAGCCACCUGCGCUGCCUCAUGUUCAGGUUCGGCUGAUCCAUAAUGUGUCUUAAACUCUCGUGAUCCGUGUAUAUAGUGCAACGGACCCCGUACAGAUAGUGCCUCCAAAUCUUGAGAGAAAAAACCACUGCUCCCAACUCAAGAUCGUGCGUGGGGUAUCUCGUCUCAUGUGGCUUCAGCUGCCGCGAUGCGUAGGCUACCACCCGUCCUCUCUACAUGAGGACUGCCCCCAAGCUAGUGAUGGAUGCAUCACAAAAUACCACAAAAUCCUCCACUCCCUCAGGAAGUGUCAACACUGGCGCCUCGCAUAAACACUGUCGGAGGGUCUCAAAUGCCCUCUUCUGCUCAGGGCCCUACCGGAAAUCCACCCCUUCCUCGUCAGACGAGUAAGGGGUACGGUAAUCUUGGAGAAAUCACAAAUGAGUCUUUGAUAAUACCCUGCUAAACCCAAGAACUCCUGAUAUCAGAGGGAGAUUUCGGGGUAUCCUACUGCAUAACCGCCUCCACCUUGGCCGAAUCGACCAGAAUCCCCUCCUGGUUAACGAGGUGUCCAAGGAACUGGACCUCCCGUAACCAAAACUCGCAUUUCGAGAACUUGGCAUACAACCGUUCUCGUCGUAGAACUUCCAGUAGCUCCCUGAGAUGUUCCUCAUGCUGCUCUCGAGUCUUGGAGUACACCAAGAUAUCAUCUAUAAACACAAUAACCGAGCGAUCAAGCAUCGGCCUGCAUACUCGGUUCAUCAGAUCCAUGAACACUGCUAGUGCGUUGAUGAGUCCAAACAGCAUCACCACAAACUCGUAAUGACCAUAAUGAGUCCGAAACGCGGUCUUCUCCACGUCUUGCUCCCUCACCCUAACCUGGUGAUACCAUGAUCUUAAAUCAAUCUUGGAAAACCAAGACGCACCCUGAAGCUGAUCGAAAAGAUAGUCUAUCCUCAGAAGCGGAUAAUGGUUCUUCACCGUUAACUUGUUCAGCUCCCUAUAGUCAAUGCACAUCCUGUGCGAUCCGUCCUUCUUCCAGAAGAAAAGGAUCGGUGCUCCCCAAGGUGAACUACUCAAACGAAUAAACUGCUUACCCAGUAGUUCCUGAAACUGAGAUGACAACUCCUGCAUCUCUGGCAGUGCCAGUCGAUACGGCGCCUUAGCGAUAGGGGCCGCACCUGGCACUAGGUCAACCCUGAACUCAACCUGCCUCUCCGGAGGCACUCCGGGUAACUCCUCUAGAAACACAUCAACAAAAUCCCUCACCACCAGAACCUCAGAAACUGAGAGCUGCUCUCUAACCCGCGUAUCUACAACAUCCACCAAAUAACCGACACACCUGUGCUGAAUAUACUCCCGAGCCCUGGCUGCCGAACAAAACCCUGAUCCCAACCUGGUGCCCUCACCAUAUACUACAAGUUCUCCCCCACUUGGGGUUCGAACCACCACCCACUGCCCCUCACAGUCGAUCAUGGUGCCAAAACGGCUAAGCCAAUCCAUCCCUAUAAUCACGCAUACAUCCCUCAUGGGAAUAGGAAUCAAAUCUAUCAGGAAGGGCACCCCGAAAAUCUCCAACUCGCAUCCCCGGAAGACCGAAGAAGCAGAGACCUCGUGCUCAUUGGCGAUCGAAACUCGCAACGGACACUCAAGAUCAUCUAUUGGCACACUGAACCCUCUAGAGAAGGUCUGAGAUACAAACGAUCGACUCGCCCCCGAGUCAAAUAAUACCAAAGCGGGCAAAGAAUUCACUAAAAAUGUACCUAAUCACAGGUACAAUCAAUAAGCACAACACGAAUGCAAUAAUUGAGACAAAGAAUAGAAAACGUACCAGCAACCACAUCCGGUGCUGUCUUGGUUUCCUCGGCUGUGAGCUGGAAGGUACGAACCUGAGCCUUCGGAGGCUCCACCUUGACUGGCCUCCCAUCUCCAAUCCUCCCAACAGUUGGCGCGGAACCCUGCGCCGGCUUGGAGGCGAGCUGCGGACAGUUGGUCUUCACAUGACCAACCUGAUGACAAUGGAAACAAAUCCUCAUAUCUGCUGGAGGGGCGGACUGACGGCAGUCCCUAACAUAGUGCCCCUCCUUGCCACAUUUGUGGCACCCACCACCUGCUCUACAAACUCCCGAAUGAACCCUGCCACACUUUCCNCCUUGCCACACUUUCCACAAGUGCGGCUCUGAUGACCCCCGGAACGUGUAUUAGCGGUUUUAGACUGCUUAGGCGCCGGCUGAGACUGUGUCGGUGCCUGACGCUACUCCUUCAGCUGCAGCUCUAUCUCCAACUCACGCCACCGCACAGCUUCCUGAAGGUCCAUGAGGGUAUCACAUCGCUGAGUAGACACAAACUGUCGAAUAUCAGUCUUGAGCAUACUCAGAUAACAAGUCAUCUGAGACUACUCUGAAGCAAACUCCAAGAAAAACAUAGCCCUCUCCGUGAACAUACGGGUAAUCUCCAUCACAGACUCCCCAUCCUGUCUCAUUGUCAAAAACUCCUGCACAAGCCACUCCUGCUCAAUGCGUGGAAUGUAGCGGGUGCGGAACAUAUCUCUGAACUGCUCCCAAGUAACAGCAGCCCGCUGAUCAUCAGUAUACGACCCAGUCGUCAGCCUCCACCAUUCCUUUGCCCCAAGCCUCAGCAGGUUUAGGGCACGCCUGACCUUGUGGUCAGUAGGACAUGAGCACGUGAAGAAAUAGCCCUCCACAUCAGAUAACCACCUCAUAGCCCUAAUCGCAUCCUGUGUACCAUCAAACGUCAGGGGCUUCGUAUUAUCGAAGUCCCGAUACUGGAAAGCCAUGUNNNNNNNNNNNNNNNNNNNNNNNNNNNNNNNNNNNNNNNNNNNNNNNNNNNNNNNNNNNNNNNNNNNNNNNNNNNNNNNNNNNNNNNNNNNNNNNNNNNNNNNNNUAGCUAUGUAUCGCUCGUCAAAAUACUAAACCAUCAUGGUCUUAAUCGACCCAAACAUCUCUGGCAGCUGUGCUCGGAACGCAGAAGCAAUCUCGUUGUGCAUAAUCUCCCUGAUCCUGGCAUCCAACUCCUCGGUUCCUAUCUGAACCACGGGCUCAGGUGCAACCGGCACCUCCAACCCUCCGUCUCCCAACCCCGAUCCUGAUCCUGAUCCGGAUCUUGAUCCCGAAGCAACACGUCUCGUCACCACCAUACUGGAAUAUAUAUAUAUAUAUAUAUAUAUAUACAUGUCAUCAGAUAAAUAACAUAAUGUCGGGAGACCAAAACCCUAGGAGUUGUGAUUUCCUUGCUACGCGUGUGGGUCCUGUGCUUUCAGUAGGACGGGCCAAUACUACCUUCCACACCUACCCAUAUUUGUCUCAAGUAUCAUCACAAUGCCCUAACAAUAUCAUCAACAUAGGAUUGCGCCCAACCCUCACUUCUAGGGGGAUACCAAAUAUCUCGCAUUUAGCCUCACCACUUAUCACAACUCUCACAUCCAUGAAACUUCAAUCAUCUCCUGCAGCGCUAAUGUAUGCUAGCUGCACAUAACGUUGGACCCAAUAGACUUUCGAAUAUCUGAUCCUACCCGAGGGCUGAAUCAACCUUCUCAGGCUAUAAGGUCUUUAUUAUGCACAACCGUGAUGCAUACACUAAACAUCUAUAGUUAUGAUGUCAAUUCCACAUACAAGAAACCCUAGGCUAAUAGGCAUCAUAUAAUCAGGCAAGGCUAUCAUGUGAUUCCUGAAGAUCCCUAGCCUAGCACUAGCGUGUUGUUCUAACAUAUCAGAAUAUCAAAUAACCGUAUGGUAUUUUGGGGUUCACUUACAAGCUCUGGCUGAUCGUACCCUCUGCAUCCUCCAUCCUUAUUUUGAAAAUCAUAUUAAAACUUAUGUUCCGAAAAUCCCCUUCAUUUGAGACUGGAUUCACACGGGUGUUCCUCCAAUUCACUCAAACCAAGGCUCUGAUACCAACUUGUAACAUCCAUAAAUUUUACGCCAAAUUCAAACUUUUUCAGUCAUAAAUAAAAACCGUAAAGCAUCGUUUACAAAAUGUUUUCAAAUCAUUUUCCAUCAGAGUGUCCAAAAAUCAUAACAUAAGGAUGAGGAGCGGUACGGUUACGCCUUCGCCUUUCCAUGGACUCCUGAAGUACCUGAAACAAUAAACUAAAAACUGUAAGCCCGAGGGCUUAGUGAGGUACCCUCAAAAUACCAAUACCACACUGACAAUACCNAAUCAAUCAACAUCAUGCAUACUGGGCCAUCUGCAGGACUGGACCUCCCUACCGGGCCCACAGUCUGUCCAAAUCUAUCCCGAGCCUUCGGCAUGACUGGUCCGCCACGUGGGCCUACAGUCUCCCCGGACCGCUCACAGGGUAUGUUGGCCUUCCACACAAAGCAGGACCGCCUCAACCCAACCAACAAGCAAAUAACCAUGUGUGCAUAGCUAUCAUAUACGGGCAUAUAAAAACAUCAAGCAUAUCUAUCUCACUGGUCAUAAUCAUAAAAUUCUCCUGUAACUAGAGUACCGACCUAUCAAGUCACUAACACACCAAUCGCUACGGAUCAUAAAAGCAUAACAUACUGUCUACCUCAAUUCCGAACUAACAAAUCAUAACCACAUGCAACAUACCAUAACAAUAACAACUAAAUGGCCGGCGUUGGUGUCGUAGACCCUAUCGAUAUAGUGAGGAUAAGUCACCUCGCAGAUGUCAACAUGAAAGGUAUACUCCAACUCUCGGAUCACUUGACACAGGUUCCACCACCUAUCAUCAUAGUACGUCAUACUCAUAAGUCGUUAACCUUACACGGUACUCCAUAAGCCACUAGUCAACCCCUGGUCAAAGUCAAAGUCCUCAAUCAAGGUCAACAGUCCAUGUUGACCUUAACUCGCCGAGUACCCUUGGCUACUCGCCGAGUUCCCUGAAGUACAUUCCAACUCGCCGAGUCAUCGGAGUGACUCAUCGAGUUCCUUUGAUCCUCGAUCAAACUUAAGGUCACACGUCGAGUUCCCUCCUUGCAACUCGACCAAUACACAUGCAUACAUAAUCUAGGGAAAACUCAUCCGACUUGCCGAGUUGUUCUUCAACUCGUCGAGUCUUAUGGUGAUCUUCAUCGAACUCUCCGAGUUGUUCAUCCAACUCGUCAGUUUCACGACCAUCUUUAUAUGACUCGCCGAGUCACCUUGCGACUCGCCGAUUCCAUUCAGUUCUUUUUCCAUACAGACUUGAUUUGAGCCAUGCAGCGGCCCCAAAUCACAGAUCCAAGCUUCUAGGGCAUACUUAUCACGUAAAGUUGAAAACUUUACGUGCAUGCAUGGCUAUAAAGGCUCUAAAUGUCUAUUUUAAGUUCAUAAUGAAGCUUCAAGUCCAAGAGGGACCUCAAUCAUAACCAAUACAGCAACUUUAUGAUUCUAGCAUCCAAGGAGGGUCCAGAUCUGAAGUUACAACCUCAGAUCUAACCCAUAGCUCAUCCUAUCAACUCAAUACUUCACCAAAAACCCUAAAACUCGACAAUAGAAGAGAUUCACAAGAAGAAAGGCAAUUUGGUUACCUCCAGAAGAUGAUGACUAAGAUAAGGGCUGAUUUCCACACUCCACUUUCCCCAAUACCCUUCUCCUCUAAGCCUCCUCUCUCCAAAAUCCUCUUUUCAAGCUUCAAUCACACAAUGGCACACACACACGCACACGUAUUAGGGUUUUAAGGGCUCUCAAAGACUGCAAGGAGGCCAAAGGAGGAUGAGGCUCCUUUAAAUAGGGGUCCAAACCCCGGGAUUUAGGGUUUCAUCUGCCAGCUCCUACUCGCUGUCGUGACUUAAUUGAAUACCAUAACAUUGAAUAUAUAUAUAUGAAACAUAACAUCAUUCAUCACCAUGCAUUAAUAUAGUACAACUGAAUGAGUUUACACUGAGUACAUUGUUUUAACAUUACAUUCCCAAAAAUAAAUUGUUCGGUUCAUAAAUAAACAAACUGCAAGCCAUCACUGAGUACAUUUUCCUUUGGUUCACUUGUUACCUGAGAAUACAAGUAUUUUGAAAAACGUCAACAUAUGAAAUGUUGGUGAGUUCAUAAGCGGUAUUUGAAAAGCAACGUUUUGUAUUAUUUUGAAAACCACCAGAAAAUCCGAUAUUUUCUGAAAAGAGUUUCUAAAAAAGUUUGUGAAGAUCCAUAAGUAUGCUUGUUUGUUUCUAUAGUUGUAAAAAGUGUUCAUUAAACUUGUGUACGUUUCGAAACUGUAUGUAUUGAAAAAAAAACCCUAGGAAAACCCGAUGUUUUCCUAAUACUUUGGAUUCCAUGUAGUUGNNNNNNNNNNNNNNNNNNNNNNNNNNNNNNNNNNNNNNNNNNNNNNNNNNNNNNNNNNNNNNNNNNNNNNNNNNNNNNNNNNNNNNNNNNNNNNNNNNNNNNNNNNNNNNNNNNNNNNNNNNNNNNNNNNNNNNNNNNNNNNNNNNNNNNNNNNNNNNNNNNNNNNNNNNNNNNNNNNNNNNNNNNNNNNNNNNNNNNNNNNNNNNNNNNNNNNNNNNNNNNNNNNNNNNNNNNNNNNNNNNNNNNNNNNNNNNNNNNNNNNNNNNNNNNNNNNNNNNNNNNNNNNNNNNNNNNNNNNNNNNNNNNNNNNNNNNNNNNNNNNNNNNNNNNNNNNNNNNNNNNNNNNNNNNNNNNNNNNNNNNNNNNNNNNNNNNNNNNNNNNNNNNNNNNNNNNNNNNNNNNNNNNNNNNNNNNNNNNNNNNNNNNNNNNNNNNNNNNNNNNNNNNNNNNNNNNNNNNNNNNNNNNNNNNNNNNNNNNNNNNNNNNNNNNNNNNNNNNNNNNNNNNNNNNNNNNNNNNNNNNNNNNNNNNNNNNNNNNNNNNNNNNNNNNNNNNNNNNNNNNNNNNNNNNNNNNNNNNNNNNNNNNNNNNNNNNNNNNNNNNNNNNNNNNNNNNNNNNNNNNNNNNNNNNNNNNNNNNNNNNNNNNNNNNNNNNNNNNNNNNNNNNNNNNNNNNNNNNNNNNNNNNNNNNNNNNNNNNNNNNNNNNNNNNNNNNNNNNNNNNNNNNNNNNNNNNNNNNNNNNNNNNNNNNNNNNNNNNNNNNNNNNNNNNNNNNNNNNNNNNNNNNNNNNNNNNNNNNNNNNNNNNNNNNNNNNNNNNNNNNNNNNNNNNNNNNNNNNNNNNNNNNNNNNNNNNNNNNNNNNNNNNNNNNNNNNNNNNNNNNNNNNNNNNNNNNNNNNNNNNNNNNNNNNNNNNNNNNNNNNNNNNNNNNNNNNNNNNNNNNNNNNNNNNNNNNNNNNNNNNNNNNNNNNNNNNNNNNNNNNNNNNNNNNNNNNNNNNNNNNNNNNNNNNNNNNNNNNNNNNNNNNNNNNNNNNNNNNNNNNNNNNNNNNNNNNNNNNNNNNNNNNNNNNNNNNNNNNNNNNNNNNNNNNNNNNNNNNNNNNNNNNNNNNNNNNNNNNNNNNNNNNNNNNNNNNNNNNNNNNNNNNNNNNNNNNNNNNNNNNNNNNNNNNNNNNNNNNNNNNNNNNNNNNNNNNNNNNNNNNNNNNNNNNNNNNNNNNNNNNNNNNNNNNNNNNNNNNNNNNNNNNNNNNNNNNNNNNNNNNNNNNNNNNNNNNNNNNNNNNNNNNNNNNNNNNNNNNNNNNNNNNNNNNNNNNNNNNNNNNNNNNNNNNNNNNNNNNNNNNNNNNNNNNNNNNNNNNNNNNNNNNNNNNNNNNNNNNNNNNNNNNNNNNNNNNNNNNNNNNNNNNNNNNNNNNNNNNNNNNNNNNNNNNNNNNNNNNNNNNNNNNNNNNNNNNNNNNNNNNNNNNNNNNNNNNNNNNNNNNNNNNNNNNNNNNNNNNNNNNNNNNNNNNNNNNNNNNNNNNNNNNNNNNNNNNNNNNNNNNNNNNNNNNNNNNNNNNNNNNNNNNNNNNNNNNNNNNNNNNNNNNNNNNNNNNNNNNNNNNNNNNNNNNNNNNNNNNNNNNNNNNNNNNNNNNNNNNNNNNNNNNNNNNCCCCCCCCCACAAAACUUAUAAAACAGAAAAAUAGGGAGUAUGAAGCUCACCUUAGGGUGUGGUUUCGGUUUUUGAAGAAAAGAUGGAAGAAAGCUUGGUGAUUUUUGGCCUUAGCACCCUUUUCUUGAAGAUCUCGAGUUUGAGGUGGUUCUAGGAUGCAAGAUCAUGAUUUCUGCAUGGAUUAGGAAGAGAUUUUGAUAAAACAAAGAAUCUAAGUCAUAGAUCCAAGCAUAACCUUACCUUAGAUGAAGAGUUUGUGGAAAUAUCCUCUUGAAAGCCUCUUAAUUUUCGAGAUUUUUGAACGGAGAGGAGGGAUGAGUUCUUGAGUAUUCUAGAGAGAAUUUGUGAGGUGUGUGUGUGUUUGAAAUGGCCGAGAGCAAGAGAGAGAGAGGGAAAGAAGAAAUGAUCUUUGAAGUGAUGUGUUCCUAGAAGUAUGAGAUGUGCAUGGAAACAUGUUGGAUAAAAGUGAGGUGGCAUGCAAUUAGUCAACACUUCUCCAUUUCUUCUUGGACUUGGGCCUUGGGCCGAGAAUUUUGAAGGGAAAAGGAAAAUUUUGGGCUUUUUGCCCCUAAGCCCAAUAUUAGAGUUAGUUUGGGUGAGUUUUAACCUAAAAGAAAUAUAACAUGAUUUUUUACAUUUUGUUGGACUAGUUUAGGUUAUUCAUGGAUCAAAGCUUUUAAUUCAUUUCAUUCUAGGUCCAAAAUGGCCCAAAAUGUUGAAAUAAAUGAUUGUGGGUCCAAUUAGAGCCCAAUUAGGGUUCUAAGCCCAUGAUAGUCAAAUUGGAAGCUUAUUGGUCCAUUGAGUCCAAUAAGGAAGUCCUAGUCCAAAAUGGACCUAACCAAGAACUUCUAGGGUUUCCAAUUGCUUGAUGACUAUUUGUAGUAUUUGUAUGAUAUAUUUGAUUGAAGUUUUUGAUGUCAUAAUAAUAGGUAUCACACCUGCUCUUAAGUUUUUGGAUUCAACAUUAACUUGAGUGCAUAGAUUACAUGACACAAAAUUUCUAGUUGUGACAACAAGGAAAGCCAUGGUCUUUCGUUGGGGGCCUGAGCAGCAGGCCACAUUCGAUAAAUUGAGGCAGAGAUUGCGUGAGGCGCCAAUCUUAGCCCUGCCGGAGAGUGUGGAUGAUUUUCUGUUGUAUUGCAAUGUGUCCAUCUCGGGUUUGGGCGCGGUAUUGAUGUAGAGAGGGCAUGUUAUCGCCUACGCUUCGAGGUAACUGAAGCCUCAUGAGGCAAACUAUCCAAUGCAUGACUUGGAGUUGGGGGCAGUUGUUUUUGCCCUCAAGAUUUGGCGUCAUUACCUCUAUGGGGUCCGUUGUACUAUUUACACAGACCAUAAGAGUUUGAGGUACCUCAUGGAUCAGCCAAAUCAGAAUAUGAGGCAACGUCGUUGGCUAGAUGUGGUGAAGGAUUGCGAUUGUGAGAUCCUCUACCACCCGGUGAAGGCCAAUGUUGUGGCCGAUGCGCUUAGCCGCAAGGAAGCGCUGAUCAGAGAUAUUUGUUUGAUGAUGAUGGUGGUGACCCCGCUGUUGGAGCGGAUUCGAGAGGCCCAUCAGGAGGCUAUGAAGGAGGAACAUUGCAAGAGUGAGCGUAUUGUGGGUCAGGUUUCCUCCUUUGAUUAUGACAGACGUGGAUUGUUGACUCUACACCGUUGGGUGUGGGUCCCAUAUCAUGGAGAUGUACGUCAGGUAUUGAUGGAGGAGGCCCACAAAUCCAGGUUUUCUAUCCAUCCCGGGGCAACGAAGAUAUACAGGGAUCUUAGUCUUGAUUAUUGGUGGCCCUGCAUGAAGAGGGAUGUAGCUUGGUUCGUUGAGAGAUGCCUGACCUGCAGGAAGGUCAAGGCCAAGCACCAGAGGCCUCAUGGAAAGACCUAGCCGUUGGAUAUUCCACUGUAGAAAUAGGAAGAUAUCAUUAUGGAUUUCAUCAUGAAGCUUCCCGGGACCGUGCGGGGAUUGGAUUCAAUUUGGGUUAUCAUGGAUCGGUUGACCAAGAGCGCCCAUUUCAUUCCGAUUCAGGACAGCAUUUUAGCCGAAAAGUUGGCCGACAUCUAUACCAGAGAGGUAGUGGCUCAGUGCAGGGUGCCAGUUUCAGUGAUUUCUAACAAAGAUAUGCGUUUCACUUCCAGAUUCUAGAAGAAGUUUCACGACAAGCUAGGUACUCGUUUUCACUUUAGCACUGCUUUUCACCCGCAGACGAAUGGUCAGAGUGUGCGAACCAUCCAAACUCCAAAGGAUAUGCUGCGGGCGUGUGUUUUAGACUUCGGAGGUAGUUGGGAUACUUACCUUCGUUUGGCAGAGUUUUCCUAUAAUAACAGCUAUCAUGCGAGUAUUGACCGUCCUCCCUUCGAGAUGUUUUACGGGAGGAAGUGUAGGACCCCGAUAUGUUGGGCUGAGGUUGGCCAGAGGGUCAUGGGGAGUAUCGAAGUGGUACUCAAGACUACAAAGAGGAUCCAGCAGGUGCGGAGCAGGCUUCAGACUGCUCAGAGUCGACAAAAAAGUUAUGCCGACAAGCAUAGUUCAGACCUGGAAUUUCUGGUCCGGGAUAUGGUGCACCUGAAGGUGUCACCCUGGAAAGGUGUCAUUCGGUUCAGGAAGCGGAGUAAGUUGGGCCCUAGGUACAUUGGACCUUUCAGGGUUGUAGCCCUGGUAGGCAAGGUGGCAUAUAGGCUGGACCUGCCAACCGAACUCAGUCAGAUUCACAAUACUUUUCACGUCUCCCAGUUGCGAAAGUGCCUGGUGGACGACUCGGCAGUGGUACAUUUGGAGAAUAUUCAGGUAUAUGAGAACCUAAACUACAUCGAGCAGCCAGUGGCAAUCCUCGACAGGAAGUCAAGGGAUCUGAGGAACGGCAGGGCGGAGCUGGUGAAGGUGCAAUGCAAGCACUGCAAAGGGCUCGGACUGGACUUGGGAGCCGGAGGACGAGAUGAUGGAACACUACCCCGAGCUUUUUCCGGAUUCAGCAACACACUUCGAGGACGAAGUCUAAAAUUAGUGGGGUACAUUUGUAACAUCUGGUUCCUGGUACCUAUUUUAAUUAAAGUAAACUCAUGUUUUGCUCUGGGACUCAGCAAGUUGGAGGCCCAAGUCGUCGAGUAGACUUGACUUUGGAUUUGUAGGAUAAGUGACCUACUCGACGAGUCGGGAGACCGACUCGACAAGUAGGACUGUCUGGAUGAAAUCCUAAUAUUUCGGGUUUGCACCCUAUUUAAACAACUUAUAACGCCCCAACUCAACCUCCAUUGUUCCUCCCAACCCAGAGAAAACCCUAACUCGAACCCUAAGCCUCUUUUGAGUGUUCUUGAGCUUUUUGGUUACUUUUGUUUGCAUUUGAAGUUGGAAGAGAAGAAGGAAGCUUGGGAGUUCAAGUGGAAGCUAGUAGAUCCAGAGGUUUUGCUUCAUUCUCAGUUAAUUCAAGGUAAAAAGCUUGAACCUUGUCCAUCUAUAUCUUAGAUCUUGUUUUGGGGCUAUUUUCUACCCUUUUUAUGAGUUUGUGAAGUUAUAAUCAGAUUUUGUGAGUGUGUUUGGAGUUACACUUCAGAUUUGGAACCAUUGAGGGUUCCCAUGGCAUAAAGGUGUAGACUUUAUGGCCAUGGGAGACCCCUGUAUCUUAUAUACCUCUUUUUAUGGCUUUUUGAGCCAAACCCCCAUGCAUGGACGUCAAGAUUGGAACUUUACGUAUAACAUGGACCUUAGGAGGUCAGAUCUAUGGUUUUGAUGCAUUAACCCAUUAUAAUUGACUGAAUAGUUUUGGAAAAAGAAGGACUCGGUGAGUCGCUUGGGUGACUCAGCGAGUCGGGUCGCAUUUUCCCCCGGAUGUCUUCUGGUAAUGGUCUUUGGUUGAGUGGAAGGAACACUCAGCCUGUUAGCGGUUUCUUAUGGACUUGAAGACCAAAGGACUCGACGAGUUCAAGGAGGAACUCAGCAAGUUCAAGGCAGUGUCCUAACCACAUGAAGACGAACUCGACGAGUUCAAGGAUGAACUCGGUGAGUCAGAGAUUUCUUUCACUAGCCUCUGGCCUGGUGAAUUGCUACAAUGCCUUUGUGGCUGGAGAAUUGCCUCCUCGGAUUUCUUUCGCUAAUCUUGAUCAGAUUCACCCAGAUGAUGUAGAAGAUAUGGAAAUUACCUGGUAGAUUACAAUGGCGAUAUUCGACGCUUAGCAAUUUGCCAAGAAAACUAGAAAGAAUAAAUGGGGCAUGAAUGCAGAGAUCGAAGAAUUUGGAUUCAACAAAGGAAAUUUGAGGUGCUUCAACUAUCACGAGUCUGGUCACUUUGUUCGUGAUUGUCUGAAGCCUGACAGAAGAGUAAAUCAUGAAAGAACAAUGGUGCUGGUUGGUAAUAACAGGGGAGUUGUUGCUAACAACGAGACUACAAAUCUGGCGGUGGUAGCUAAGUCAUUUGAUUGGGAAGACCAAAUUCAAGCCUUGAACAGCUCAGGACCCGAAAAUGCACAUUUGGCCUAGAUAAGUGAAGUCACCAAGGAGAAUGUUGGAGAGCAUCCUAAAGAAGAGAUGAUGGAGUUGUAGUUUUCCUUCAUGGUAUCCACUACUCCUGAGCCUGAGAAGAAAGUGGUCAGUCAAAUAUCUUGUUCUCAAACAUGCAUUGAUAUUGUUAAAUUUUUACGUGAACAAAUCGAGUUAUUACAUAGAGAAAACGAGGACCUAAAGUACGAAGGAUAUAAACUUAGGAAGGGCCAAAGUCCACUAAAAGAACAAUUAGAGGUUAAAACUAAGGAUUUUAGGAAACUACAGGAAGAGUAUAGCAACAAGUGUGAGAGCUACAAUUUUAUCAAGAAACAACUUGCCACUGUGACUGACAAGCUUGACACAUUAAAAAUUCGAUUUGAAAAUGUUGAUUUUAAUUUCAAAAAGUUUGAUGUGUCAAGUGAGAGAGUUGUAACCAUAAUAGAGAAACAAAUGAGAUGGAAAGACAAGAAGAAGGUAGGUCUAGGCUAUGAGAGUGUCUCUCCUCAAUUUAAUCACAAUUAUACUGUUAUCCCUAUGACCCAUGAAGAAACAGACAGAGAGGAAUAUCUUGUGUAUGGAAAACCUGUUGUACCUGUGCUAGAGAGUAGUGCUAGGGAAAAGGAUAUUAAACAUUUCUACUUCCUAUGCAGAUUCUGUAUUAGGUCAUGGUAAGCAAGUAGGUGGAGAGAGUAUUUGCUAUCUCCAGAACUACUCAUCAAAAUGGUGUUGCCGAAUGACACAAUCGUACUUUGAUAGACGCUGCAAGGACGAUGCUCUGUGAUUCCAAACUAGCGGUCGUCUUCUAGGCCAAGGUGAUCAACACUGUUUGCUAUCUCCAGAACCUUGUCCUGAUCAACAAAGCCCAAAUGAAGACCCCAUAUGAACUUCUGUACAAUCACAAGCCAUCAAUUGCUCACUUCAGAAUAUUUAGAUGUCCCUGCACCCUCCUUCACCUAGAAUCCAACCCCAAGUAUAACUCGAAGGCCGAUGAUUGCUACUUUGUGGGAUACGCCGCAAGCACUACUUAUCGUGUAUAAAACAAGACCACCAAGCAGAUUAUGAAAUCUUUCGAUGUGCGCUGGCUGGAAGAGAAUGAGACAGAUGCCCGAGUCGGUCCUGACCGGUUAUUUGAUUAUGCUUCUUUAUUUAAAUCAUUUAAUGUGUUUUCAGAUGAUGUGUCAGGUUCUUGCUCAGGUACGAAGGUUGUUAUUGAAGAUAAAGAGGAAGAUGUUGUGUACAGACCACCUUUGGUGCCUCCUACGACUCCUAUGGUGGAUGAAGUUGUUCCAAGUACUUCUUCAGGUUCUCCAAGUCAAAGAAUCAAUCCUGAUGCUGAAGCCACUCCUCUUACUCCUGCUGAAAGAGGAUUCAUGACCAGAGAUACUUCCGCUGCUACUCAAUCUUUCAUGGAGCUUAUUUUUCCUAAGCCAGUUGCAAAUGAGGCAGGCACCUCUCACGGUUCUAGAUCGUCUGAGGCGGAUGAUUCAGCAAAUGACGGACUCAUGAACAUCAACAACCUUCCUGUCACAAUCAAUGACAUUAGCCAUGAAAUUCCCACCAAACUUCAACAUGAUCAUCCGAUCGAAAACAUCAUUGGUCAACUGGGCGACAGAGUUAAAACGAGAAGUCAGAGUGGAGAUGUCAACUCUUGUCUCUACUCUUUCUUCAUUUCUCAAAUCGAGCCAAAGAACAUGGAAAUGGCAUUGAAUGAGACUAGUUGGGUUGAUGCGAUGCACGAGGAACUUAAUCAAUUUGAGAAAUCGGGGGUAUGGAAGCUGGUUGAGCUGCCUAAUGGAAAGAAGUAUUUGGACACGUGUUGGGUGUUCUGUAAUAAGCAAGACGAUUGUGGGGUGAUUGUUCGAAACAAAGCAUGUCUGGUUGUUCGUGGGUUUCAGUAAAUUGAAGGCCUUGACUACACUGAAGUGUAUGCUCCUGUAGCGCACCUUGAAGAUAUGCGUAUCUUCCUGACUUAUACUUCCUACAUGGGGUUCACCGUUUAUCAGAUAGACGUUAAGACCGCCUUUCUAUAUGGAGCUGUGAAAGAGGAAAUUGAUGUUGAUCAACCUCCUGGUUUUGUCAACUCAAAAUUUCCAAAUCAUGUCUACAAAUUAGAUAAGGCUUUGUAUGGGUUACAUCAGGCUCCUCGAGCCUGGUAUGCUAUUCUAACAGAACUUUUGCUUGAGCAUGGUUAUACCAGGGGCAUGAUUGAUCAGACGCUCUUCAUCAAGCAUGUGGAUACCGACCUAAUUCUUGUACAAAUAUAUGUUGAUGACAUCAUUUUUCGGGUCGACCAGCUUGAAGCUGUGCAAAGAUUUCGAGACUGUUAUCAAGAAGAGAUUUGAGAUGAGUUCUUUGGGAGAAAUGACCAUGUUCUUGGGGCUAAAUGUUCGACAAGAUUCAACUGGAAUCCUUUUGCAUCAAGGAAAAUAUGUUGAAGACAUGCUUGAGAAGUUUGGGUUUAAAGACUCUAAAGUUGCCUUGACGUCGAUGGCUGAAUGACCCUUGUUUACUCCAGAUCCUGAUAGAGAAUCCAUAGAUCAAACAGAGUAUAGGUCGAUGAUUGGAUCCCUGAUGUAUCUGACUGACCCGACAUCAUGUUCGUAGCCUUUCAAUGCGCACGUUAUCAGGCUAAUCCUAAACUCUCUCAUUUAAUUGUUGUCAAAAGAAUAUUUACGUAUCUCAAAGGUAGCCCAAAACUGUUGGAUUAGUGUCUAAGUCCAUAACUAUUUUGGUAUGUACGUGACCCGAUGGUGCAUGGUCCUUUUGGGUUGCCUUCACAAAAGCAACUUGAUAGGAUGAAUUAUGGAGAGAAAGGAUUAAAUAUGAUUUAUUAAUAUAUUAUGAGAAUAAUAUAUUAAAGGAGAAAUCAUAUUGUUUAAUUAAUAUUAGUCAAGAAUUAAUUGGUAAUUAGUUUUUUGGCUAAAAGAGAUUAAUUAAACUUAAGGGACUGGAAUUGUAAUUAUAAGAUAAUUGCAAUUUGGGCUAUGGAUUGUCUUACAUUAAGGAGUGGACGAAUUCUAUGGGGAAACCCAUAAGAAAUCGUCCAAGGCCUUAAGGAAAGGAAUCCAUGGGUUACUUAGGGCUUAAGCAUCGAAAUUAGGGUUUCCUUGUUAGAUAACCCUAAUAGCCUCCUAUAUAUAUAGAUCACUUAUGACCCAAAAACGUGGCUAAGACUUCUUCUACGGUUAGAAUACGUUUUGGGCAGCCUCCAUCCUCUCUCCUUCUCAUCCUCUUGCUCUUGGUGUUUGUCAACCAUUAGAGGAGUGACAUUUGUGACUCUAAGCUUUCUAAAGUCAAUACAAGGAGGAAUUGGAUUGUUAUUGUUACAUAACAAUCAAGGUAAUAUCUUAAACCUAUUCUUAUGUUAAUAUGAUUACUUGUUUGAAUUUGACCUCAAAAGUUUUGUUGUUUUGAAAUUUAAAUAGUUGAAACCCUAUUGUUUUGAAAAAGGUUUCAAAACUUGCCCUCAAGUUUUGGAAUUUAAAUUUUGAUUAAUAGUUUAAUUUUGAUGUAUAUUUAAAUUCUAAACCCUAAUGUUUUGAAAUGUUUCAAAACUUGCCCUCAAGUUUUGGAAUUUAAAAGUUGAUUAAAAGUUUAAUUAGGAAUGUUAAAUUCUAAAACCCUAGUAUUGUUUUGAAAANNNNNNNNNNNNNNNNNNNNNNNNNNNNNNNNNNNNNNNNNNNNNNNNNNNNNNNNNNNNNNNNNNNNNNNNNNNNNNNNNNNNNNNNNNNNNNNNNNNNNNNNNNNNNNNNNNNNNNNNNNNNNNNNNNNNNNNNNNNNNNNNNNNNNNNNNNNNNNNNNNNNNNNNNNNNNNNNNNNNNNNNNNNNNNNNNNNNNNNNNNNNNNNNNNNNNNNNNNNNNNNNNNNNNNNNNNNNNNNNNNNNNNNNNNNNNNNNNNNNNNNNNNNNNNNNNNNNNNNNNNNNNNNNNNNNNNNNNNNNNNNNNNNNNNNNNNNNNNNNNNNNNNNNNNNNNNNNNNNNNNNNNNNNNNNNNNNNNNNNNNNNNNNNNNNNNNNNNNNNNNNNNNNNNNNNNNNNNNNNNNNNNNNNNNNNNNNNNNNNNNNNNNNNNNNNNNNNNNNNNNNNNNNNNNNNNNNNNNNNNNNNNNNNNNNNNNNNNNNNNNNNNNNNNNNNNNNNNNNNNNNNNNNNNNNNNNNNNNNNNNNNNNNNNNNNNNNNNNNNNNNNNNNNNNNNAGUUUGCAUGGUUAUUCACACCCGCUUUGUGAUCCUCGACAUCCCAGUCACAAACAAGAGGGGCAUAUCGAGAUUUAAACAUGCCAUUGAAAUGUUCAAUGAAUCUCAUAGGAUCUAGGAGUUUUCAUAGAUUUAAAACUUAAAUUUCUUUUUCGUUUUUCAUGGUGGAAAUUAGUGAAUCGUCAUUCACUUACCUUCAAAUGUUCUGCAAUUUGGGUUACGGCAUCCCUCUCCCGAGUUGUAGAAUAUUGUGUUGGGUCCUAGCCUUAGUAUCUCAUUUGGGUGAUUUGCUAAGGACUCAAAUCAAUCAACUAACUUGAAUUCAUUUUCUCCCGUUUUGUAGAUGUCAAAGUUCGACAACUAUGGUCUUCCCAAAUCCCGUGGAACAAGCAUUCUUCAUGAAGAUGGUAUUCCACGAUUUGAUUGAGGAACAAGAAAUCAUUCUUCACUUCCUCCACCUCCUCCGAUUGUUCUCCCUAAUGCACAAGUUCAAAGGCUUGAAAAGUUAAAAAUCACUCAAGCCCUUUUGGCAAGUAAACAUAAAGAAGGAAAGUUGGUGUGUGCACACGUCCUAGGGAUGAAGUCACACAUUGAUAGGUUAAGAAUGUUGGGAUCCGUUGUCUGUGAGAAAAUGGUUGUUGAUUGGGUUCUUCAGUCACUUCCUAAUUCAUAUAGUGAGUUCAUAAGAGAGUACUAUAUGAUGAACUGCGAUGUGACCCUUAUAGAUCUCACCUAUAUGCUUAUUGAUGACGAAUCAACAAUGGUUUGGUGCAAUAGAGAAGCAAAGUUGAUUGGUGAAUCUGCCUUCCAAACCUCUAUGGAUAUAGGAAAUGGCAACGAAAGACAUGCUAUGAUUGAAAAGUUUGAUCAUAAGAGAAAGGCAAUGUUUGAAGUAGUUCCAUGUGCUGUUCCAAAAGAGUCAACUUGCUUUUAUUGCCAAGAGAAGGGGCAUUGGAUACGAAGCUGCCCUAUUUACUUAAGAGAUCUAAGAGAUGGGAGAGUCAAAACGUAUGGCUCUGCGUUAGGUAAAAAUCCAUUGACUAACUCUUUUAAGCUUCUAUUCUAGAUUCUUAAUACAUAAUGUGAUAAGAUUACAAUUGAUGUUUUGAAGGAUCGAAGAAAAAGAAAGGAAGCUUAAGGGAAGAAGUGAGCAUAAUCUAACCGUGAAGGAAUGGAUUUCGAUCACAUUACUUGAAGAUUAGAUUCUUGAGCUACUACUUGGAGUUAGAAUAAGAUUGCUAAGAAAUAUGUAUUAGCAUAGUUUUUCAAUGAAUUGCAUUGUAAGGACAAAUUUUUUCCGCAAUAAAAUAAAUUUUGAUUUUAUAUUAUUUAUUUAUCCUUGCAAUGGCGUAUAUGAAAAAUUGAUGUUUGAAUGUUUCUAUUAUUAGCAAUAAUGGAUUUGGUUCUUAUUAUGUUAUUUGUGGAAAUGUCGAAGAAUUUACCGAAUAAGGAAAGUUUCUCAUCACCCAAGUUUCAAUUGGACAGAAACUUGGAAUCAUGCAACUUGGUUGCACGAUGAAUGAGAAAUUUCAUAUUUGGAAAUUAGACUAAUUCAUUGACAAAGUGUCAAGUGAAGGACUAGGAGAUCGAGUACACAAAGUUGCGUGUUGAUCAAGUCCACCAUAAGAGUAACAAAGAUAUUCGUCAUGAUUUACUAAAGGUUUAGUAAAUAUGAUUAUACUUAUAAGAUUAAGUGUAAUUCUGAAUUGAUUGAAAAAGUUUAAAUCAAUAGCAGAACGAAUAAGAAGAAUCAAGUAGGCAGAAAGAUAAAAGUUUCUCCAUUCUAAGAAGAAGGGAGAGUACCUUUUAUGCUUUAUGAUAGGUCUUAAUGAUUAAGAACCAUAUCUCAAUUGAUCCUCUAAGUGAGUCUUAGUACAAUUGUAUGUCUAAGAAGAGGAAUCAAGAAUUGAAGAAAUGGUUAAAUCAAGAAGUCAAUCAUACUUCGUUCCAAAACAAGUCUUAGAGUUAAGAUUGUGACAUUGAGUGAAAAGUAUUAAGAAGGUUUGUAACAUUCAUCAAAUGUGGAAAGUUGUGAUGUCUUGGAUAAGACAAAGACCAACUAGGACCAAUUUAUGAAGUGUUUUGAUAAAAGCUACACUAACUCUUGAAUAUUUGUUUGUCAAGAAAUGUUUAUUGACAAGAGAAUCUUAUAUGUCAAGGAGUCAGUGGGAGUCUUAAUGGUCUUGAAAGGUUUCAAGAACAAAUCAAAUAAACCUUAUCGAUCAUCACUAGCACACGAGUUGAGGUUUACAACCUAUCGUGUUGACAUUAUUUUGUUUCUGUGCCAAUCCAAUCGAGUUAAUUAUGCAUGUGAGUUCUAUGAGUUCUCAUUUUGAACGCAUAAAAGGCAAAGCACCUUAAUCAAUGAAAGGUACAUUGAUAGGAAAGGGUGAGCUGCUUAACUACUUGGAAGACAUGGUGGGCAGCUGUGCUACCAUAAGGCAAGAAAUCAAGAUUAAGAAAGUUCGGUCCAUAUGAGUUUGAAUUUGUCGUAAACUUUGGUUUUAACAAAUUCACAUGGAUAGGAACACAUACACCGUUUAAAUCUAAGUGUCAUAAGAUUUCCUCCUUCAUGAAAAUGAUUGUGAGGAAAUGCUUUCACUAAGAAAGAUUUUAAGAAGAUAGUGAUUGUAAAAUUGCAUUCUCGAAUUCGAUUAUGGUUACGGUAUCCCUUUCCAUAAUUUGAAUUGUGAGGUUUGGCAAUUAGUCUUAAUUGUUUAGACACACAUAUGAACUAUCGAAGGCAAAGGUGUAUAAGUUCAAGAAGCCUUGAUAAAAGAUUAUCAAAGCACUAAGUAUUAGAAACAUGAACUUAAGAAAUUCAAUAAGUAUUGUUUUUCUGAAAGUUAAGAUGUUUAUGAAUACAUGUCGAAGCUAGUGGGAGCAUAAGUGUUAUGUUUUAUAAUAAUCAUCAUGAUAGUGGGAGCAUAAAUGUUAUGAUUGUAUGAUUAUUAAGGAAAGUAUUGCAAGUUGGCAAUAUUAAUUAUAGAAAACAAGAGUCAUACUUUGCAAAGUUGUAAGGGUUGAAAGGUUGUUUUGCUAUAAUUAAGGGAGAGAAUAUUAUGCUUCAUUUCAAAUCUAAAGGAUUAGGUUGAGAAAUGUUAAUAAAUUUAGUCAAAGGUACAUAGUGUGUUCUUAAAAUUUCGAUUAUGAUUACGGCAUCCCUCUUCACAAUUCGAAUUUUGAGAACAUAGCAAAUAAAACAUUAUGCGUCGUGUCCCAUACGCUUCGGGUAUAGGAUCGAUUGCAAAUGCUUUAAUGUUUGACCAUUCUAAAAUUUUCCAAAUGUCGAGCGCAUUUAGAGGGAAAAGGGACUAGAAUUGGUUUUGACUAAAAUAAUUAAACAACUAUCAAAGGACAAUCCAAAGUUCGACGAGGAUUGGUCGCUUGUGAGUAGUUGGAAGUAUAGUAUUGGAAAAUAUGGAAAUGUUUCCAUAUUGGAUGGACCAUAUCGACAUCAUUACGAAUAGAUAAGAUUCUAUUAAGAAUGAGUUGUCAUAUGGAACAUAUGGAAGUGUGUCCAUAUUGGGAAUUGAAUAUUGAGAAAUCUAUGACUAGAUUAGAAACUUCUAUGCAAAAGGAUGUUCAAAGAAUGUACUUUGAGUGAGAGACAUCACGUCUAUGGAAUUGUCUUGUAACAAUCUCCGAUAGAGGAUUUUGUAAUAUCAUUGGCAAUAGUCUUUGUGACUUUGGUGCAGUGACAUUACGAAAUGAUCAUUGCAUAAAAUGUUAGAAUCUAAUAUAUUCUGUAAGUGGCAAGAAUCUGACAUUCUUUUACUUAUGGAAAGGGAUUAGGAGUUGUGAAAUGAGAAUGAUUGGAAAUGUGUUCAAUUUGAUCUAUUUCAAAAAGUAAGAACCAUAGGUAAACAUUGUGUGCAUGCUAAGAGCAUGGGACAAGUGUAAUAAUUCAAGUAAGAAGUUGAUUACCCGAAACAACAAAUAAUGAGUAAUCGAUAUGGUGAUAAAUAAAAGGUGUUUUAUUUAUACUCAAAGGUUUGAGGCCAUAUGGGAUUAGUAUUAUUCUUGUGUUUCACAUUUGCAUGUUUUGACUUCCAGAAUAAUUGAGUUUAUUAAGAAUAAUCGAAUUAUUCGAACGGGCCACAGUCGUUCAUAUGUUGGAAGUAGAUAUGAAUGAAGACUGUCGUGAAUUGGUGUGUGGAUUGUCUAAAAGAGUAUUAGACAUAAGCAAAUGUUUGCUGCAACGUUCAUGAGUGCUUAUGAAUAUGAUUUGAGCAUUGGAUUAAACCCACGCUCACUUGGAUCACUCCAUGAAUUGUAUCACGAGUGAUUGGUGAGACGAUAACAUCUUAUAUUCUUGAAACCGAGAUGUGUGAGUUGUAUCUUGCAAAUCGGUUGCACAUUGAUAAUAUGUAAACGCACUAGUAACUUGGUGUUAGAAAACACAUUGUUGUGUGUGAUUUGGUGAGUAAGUGCAAGCAAGCACUGAAUCAAAGUUUAUCUGUUCCUUUUAUUCAAAGUGGGAUAAAAGCGAUAUUUUUGGGCCCCUCGAUGAUUUAGUGAUGACAAACGUAAAUGCUCGGCCGGGCUAGGGUUAAUUUGAUUUGUUCAAUUGGCCAGUCGUCAUAAAUCGGAAGUCGAGAAAUAGUACAAAGAAAAUGAUUAGAAAUCAUGUCUCAUACGAUAUCUAGAAUGGAGGAAUAUAUGAUCCCUUAUCUAAAGGACACGCGUAUCUGAUAGGAUCAGAGUUGACAGCGGCUUUGGAAAGCUACGAUUGCAGAUCAGGAUCUGAAGUCAUACGCAUAAUAGUUAUUAGACUUAUCCAAGUGGGAGACUGUUGGAUUAGUGUCUAAGUCCAUAACUAUUUUGGUAUGUACUUGACCCGAUGGUGCAUGGUCCUUUUGGGUUGCCUUCACCAAAGCAACUUGAUAGGAUGAAUUAUGGAGAGAAAGGAUUAAAUAUGAUUUAUUANAUGGAGAGAAAGGAUUAAAUACAAUUUAUUAAUAUAUUAUGAAAAUAAUAUAUUAAAGGAGAAAUCAUAUUGUUUAAUUAAUAUUAGUCAAGAAUUAAUUGGUAAUUAGUUUUUGUGACUAAAAGAGAUUAAUUAAAUUUAAGGGACUGGAAUUGUAAUUAUAAGAUAAUUGCAAUUUGGGCUAUAGAUUGUCUUACAUUAAGGAGUGGACGAAUUCUAUGGGGAAACCCAUAAGAAAUCGUCCAAGGCCUUAAGGAAAGGAAUCCAUGGGUUACUUAGGGCUUAAGCAUCCAAAUUAGGGUUUCCUUGUUAGAUAACCCUAAUAGCCGCCUAUAUAUAUAGAUCCCUUAUGAACCAAAAACGUGGCUAAGACUUCUUCUAGGGUUACAAUACAUUUUGGGCAGCCUCCAUCCUCUCUCCUUCUCAUCCUCUUGCUCUUGGUGUUUGUCAACCAUUAGAGGAGUGACAUUUGUGACUCUAAGCUUUCUAAAGUCAAUACAAGGAGGAAUUGGAUUGUUAUUGUUACAUAACAAUCAAGGUAAUAUCUUAAACCUAUUCUUAUGUUAAUAUGAUUACUUGUAUGCUAGAAUUAGGGUUUAUAGUCUUGGAUAAUUUGCAUGUACAAUAGAGAAACCUAGAUCCAAGCAUUAGGGUUUGUAUGAGCACAUAGGAUGUUCUUAUUGUCAAAACCCAUCAAAAACUGGGUCUUUGGUAUGCUAAAAAUUCUUAUUUUGAUUUAUAUGCAUUUGUUGACAGCAAUUAUGGAGGUUGUGAAGCUGACAGGAAAGCAACUCCCGGGGAUGUCAAUUCCUAGGAGACCGUUUGGUGUCGUGGCAAUGCGAGAAACAACAAAUUGUCUCAACCUCAUCGGCGGAGGCUGAAUAUGUUGUUGCCUCUGCCUGUUGCUCUCAAGUAAUCUGGAUUCAACACCAACUUUUGGAUUACGGUUUGAAUUUUCUAGAAACCCCAUUCUUUUGUGAUAAUGAUGCUGCAAUCUAAAUAGCUAAAAAUCUUGUCCAACACUCCAAAACCAAGCACAUCGACAUCAAAGCUCAUUUCAUUAGAGAUUGUUAUGAGCAUUUGCUCGUCUGUUUGAAAUAGAUUCAUAGUGAUAAUAAUGUGGCGGAUCUGUUUACCAAACCGUUCAACAAAGCUCGAUUCGAUGUGGUUGUGGGCUUUCUCAAAAUGAUACGUGAAGACUAAUUUUUUGUUUUAGGUAAUUUUAAAUUUGUGCAUUUAAUUUCCUUUCUCUCCUAUGCACAAAUUUAGGGGGAGAAAUAAAAACAAAACAAAAAUCAUAAAAUACAAAAUUCCAAAAAUAUGUUCUAAUGGAGGUUGUCUGUAGGUAAUUAGUUGGGAAGUGAUAUUAACCAAGUGACAACAUGCAAUUUUAUUUGUGUAAGGUACCAAUGUUGAACUAUGUAGGCUUUGUGUUGAAUGCGUUGGUAGGCACGAAAGAUUUAAAUGGACCAGACUAGGCAUAGAUUAACAUUUAAAAGGACUUGACAAGUAUUGACUUAGAUAGUUCCAUUUGGUCUGAGAAUACGACGCUCGGGUAGAUUGAGCUGUGAGAUAUACAUGAGAAUCUACGGGCUACACUAAAGUAAUAUAUAUCUAGAACUAUAGUGUAACUUUUCCGCGAUGUAUGGACGCAUGUCCUUAGUUCCGGUACUGAUAGGGCGACCGGGGAAUUCCAAUAAAGUAGGUCUAUAGAAGGUUUGAUGAGUUGAAGAACUCUUAGAUCGAUUAGAUCUUCAACUGGUUAAUCAAUGAAAGCAAACAAAUACAAUAAACAUGAUAUAGAAUUAAGUAAUGCUUAAUGAUCCAAAUGUAGCCAUGCCUCAGCAGAGCUCAAUGAAGAACUUCCACUGUAGUGGCGAGCUAGGGUUUGUAGUACAAUACUAAGAAUAAUAAUAAAUUCACUCCUUACAAAUGAUGCAUGCAUGCACCUUAAAUACUAAAACCUAACAAAAUAAACACGGCUGGACAGGCCCAAACCAGUAACAGAACUUGGCAAAGGACUGAGCCCAAAGAUGCAACACUUCUUGACCCAACAAUCUCCCCAUUUGCGUCAAUAGGAGCAAGACUUCACUUUGGUGGAGGUUGAGGAGUUUGCUUCACAACCUUGAACAGCUUUUGAAUAAUAGUGAGCAGGACUUGUCGAAAACUGAUGUACCAUCUAAUCAUGUCAGUGAAGUACUUCUUGUCACUAUCACUGUUUUGCUUGCACUUAUGAAUAAUAUCCAAAACGUGUUCCACGCAAGCUAUGGUGGAAAGAUGUUUGCCAGUUAGAGAGAACAAAUACUUUUGACCUUCGCCUCUGGUGAACAUCACAGAGUUAAACUUCAGUUCAAUCCUCCCCAUCGUCAUUUUGUUGAUGUCGCUAGAUGAACCAAUUGGUAACACCAUUGGCUUCUUUAUAAGGACCGAAGUAAUUUCCUUAUCCAUAUUUGCUACUUCUAAAAUGUAUCACACCAACAUCCUCUUGAUGUGAUCGAUGAUUGGCUCGUAUUCCUCUGGAUUGGAGAGCAAAAAGUUGUAUGGCAAGAUCCAGUCGUGAGGAUUGAGAUUUGGAAGAUCAGCUAGGGAAAUGGUAUGCUCAGAGUUGGCUGAACCUCUAGUCACCUUGAAUUUGAUGUUGAUGAAUUUCCCUGCUGCAGAUGGUUUUAGAACCCUGACAGAAGUUAUGUUUUCAGUGCUCCAAGUAAGAUACUGAGGCUGGGCAAACUCAAGAUAAAAGUCAAUCAGAUCCCUGUCAACUUCUGGAUCAGGAUGAGGAGCUUCCGCAAUGGGAAGAAAGUAGUGAAAAAUAAAUGCCUUUCGGGUUAUAGGCAUGUCAAACUGUGAAUCUCUAAAGUUCACACGGUCUAUCGACACUACCGGCUCAAGCAUUGUGUGCUUGGAGAAUUGAUCGCUUCCUUAAUCAGCCUUUCCAACCACCAAAGAGGAAAAAGCGUUUUCCUGCUUUCCAAAAGAUCGUGUGCUUCUUUCCUUUUUCUCUCCUUCUCUUUGGCUUCCCUAACAGCCUUAGCAUUAAGAUCAUGUUCCCUUUCCCUGCUUUCGCUUCAGAGCCUCAUCAAUGGUCUCUUCUUCUUCAUCACUGUCUUCUAAAGCUCCUUUACCCUUGUCCUUCACAUUGGAACCCGAAGCUUCAUUACCCUUCGGUCGUUCAGUGGUGACUGUUAGAGGAACAAUUUUGCUUGUAGAAGGAGGUUGAGUAGUGCUUGUAAGUCCUUCUCCCAUUUGUUUCGGAAGGACAACAGUCUCCGAAACAACCUCUAAAGCUCCUUUACCCUUGUCCUUCACAUUGGAACCCAAAGCGUCAUUACCCUUCGGUCUUUUAGUGGUAACUGUUAGAGGAAAAAUUUUGCUUGUAGGAGGAGGUUGAGUAGUGCUUGUAAGUCCUUAUCCCCUUGUUUCGGAAGGACAACAGUCUCCGAAACACCCUCUAUGCGACUUAGCAUUGCAAGUGUUGGGCGAAUCUUUUCUGCAAGAUGACGUCUAACAGAAAUAGUGAGUAUCGAUUCGUGAGCUUCCAGAACAUUGGAUAGAAGAGCAUGAACGUCUGAGACACAACUCCUAAGGGCAGCCCCCUCAGAGCGAAGGUUGUCAAUCUCCUUGGCCGCCUGAUUAAGUUGUAGGGACUUGGUCUUUAGCUAAGUAGGUUUGAGAGCUAUUUUAUCCAUGACCCUGCUUUCCAUGGCUAACUCUUCUUGAAUCUUCUGAAGACGCUGAUUGAUAGAGGUUCACAAUCAGCGUUAUCUGUCUGGAUAUUUUGAGGCAUGGUGGCAAAGUACUACUUUUCUGUCUCAAGGGACACAACAAGCUUUUCCACUGUUGAGUUCACUUUGUUGGCAUUUAACUCAACUACACCCUAUAACGACUCAAGAAAAAUGUUAACAUCAAGAAUUAGUUUUUUUGACUUUUUUGGUCGCAUCUUUGCAGGACUUGGUGGAGGCAUCUAUAGCAGAUGUUGCUUUAGCAAUCAAAGCUUCAUGCUCUUUUAUAAAGGUAGUCAUCAAAGUCGUUACAGCAUCACUUUGCAAUCUGAAUGGGCUAUAGUAGAAGGUGUCAAAAUCGACAUCAUUACCACCAAGAACGGUAUUGGAGUCUGUGGAUUGGGUAAGGGAUAGAGGUUUGGUGGUAACAGGGGUUUCGGGUGCUGAAGUACGAACCCCUGUAUCAGAUACGUUGGUCUGAACUCCAAUAGUGGUGGUGGUUGUAGCUUCAGAGAAAAUAGGAGUAGGAAUGGGAAUGGUAGAUGAAGGUUGAGAUGUAAUGAUAGGGGAAAUGGGAGGAAAGGAAAUAGGAAUGGAAACAGGUGGAGGAGAAGGUGCUUGGGAAUGAAUAGAUACCUCUGGUGUGUGCGAACGAGGUGGUGUGUCACCACGAACCGAACCUUCAUCCUCUGAGCUUUCACUCUCUGAUUCACUUUCGUCGGGUUGAAUGAUAGGAUGAUGACCAGAAGGCACGUACGCCGAGUCAAAAUCACUUGAUGAUGCAAGAAUACACCUCCUGACCGGUUUCUUGGCCUUCUUCUGCUUGGGUUGGGAAGGUGCUGCCUUCUCAGACUUUUGCUUCUUUGGAGUCUGCACCUUUGAAAGUUUAACGCCUUUUUCACCCUUUUUUCGCUUCUUGCAUUUUCCCCCUCUUAUCUGGUUUGUCUGCUUCUUCAAUUGACCUCAACAUUUUUGUAGUAAGUUCCCUUGGACCAGAUGAAGGGAGCUUCUUGUAUUCCUGAAUGAUCUUGCUUUCAGCGGAUACACAAGCAUACAUAGAAUCAGGAAUAGAGCCAAUGAAGAAAUACUUGGAAGGAUCAGUAACAAUUAUCUUCGUGGUGUGAAAUGUAGCGACGGAGAAGAGCAAGGAAUCUGCCAUGAUAGGAACAUGAAAAUGCUCCAUUGUCCAUUGAGUGACAAUGGUCCAAAACCGAGUGCAAGAAAUUUCGGUGUGGCGAGAGGCAGAUGACAGGCUUUGUACCAGUUGAAGCCAUAAGACCGAACCUAAUCAAGGUUGAUACUGUGCUACAAACCAUAAAGCAGAGUCAUGAAAGACUUGCUAGGACCAUCUGAGUUGGCGCUUCGUUCUGAAAGCCCUUUGAAAAGUAGGGUGAACAGUCCAUUCCAAUGAGGAGGAAGACAUGAUUUCUUGACCUUUGUUACAGUGGUUAAGGUUUCGGUGUACCCCAUGUUGUAGAGCAUUGAGAAGAGCUGACCUGUAGAAAUAGAAUCAGGAUUCACCAUGGAUGCGUAAUAAGAAAGCCCUAGUCGUAAGUAGCCUUCUCAUUGAGAAUAUAAAAGUAAAUCUUUUCCGCAGCCUUGUCGUAAGUAGCAGUGGAGUAGAUGAUUGAGAGGCACGCCAUGGGAACGAUUUCCACCGUUAAUAAAGCGUUAACAAGUGGGGAAUACUUGAGACAUUCCACCACUUGAUACAUGUAAGUGUCAUAGAGGAACAGUGUGAGAUCGAUCAACAGGUUUUGAUUAGGUUUGAUUGACAGAAGAGUGGAACGGGCAGAGGUUUCUUAAGCUGAAGAUCAGUCUGCCAUUAAUGAAGCUUGAUGAAGAAGAAUAUGAACAGUGGAAAUGGCCUUCUUUUGCUUGAGAGAGUUGAAGAGUGGUGAAGAAUGAGAUCACGGUAAUCAAAUCUCUUAUAUACGAUUCUAUGGAGAGAGAAAAAUCUGGAGCAAUGAUUCCACCUUUUUGGGAAACGACACCUAAAAAUGCGUGAUUUGACAAUGAGCAGCCCCAAUAAAGUAGGUGAUGACGCACAACUAGGUAACGAUUCAAAUUCACACGCCUUUCCAUACUUAUCCUCUUUUUCAAAUUAACACUCGAUUGAACUUCCUGCUGACUCACUCCUUGUACCUAUAAUGGAAUCGAUAUCGCCAUAAUUAACCAUGGAAAUUUGCUGAUUCCAUCCCUUCGUUUGAAAUCACUGCAUUACAUCGUUAGGAACCGAAGCUAUAUAUUGAUGAAUAGCUUAUGAAUAACCGAACUAGACUUUUGGAAAAUCCAAGAUUUUCUUGCAAGAAAAUGCCAAAGAUAAAGUAAUAAAUCAAACUAUUUGUGGGAUUUUGUGAUGUCAUAUAAGACAUAAAGCAGUGGAUCCCGGGCACGAAUCUCUUCCUUCAAAGUCAAGAUAGACUUCAAAGUGCUUGUGUGCAUUCCCGUUGAAUUAGGAUCAAAUACUUGUUAAGAAGCACUGAAAGGCAUCUUUUAUAUAUAAGGCUAUUAAGGGUGGCUUUCGCUUCAAUUCAGGUUUUGGUACUUGACAUAAGGCCGAAAAUAGAACGAAGUACUUGUGAGACCAAUGUGGCCUGUUAAACAAGUAGGUUUGGAACAUAUUCAGUGACUUGUUGAUAAAGUUUAAUUAGAAAUCUCAACAAAAAAAUUAAAAACUGGAUCCUUUUGGAAAAAAAGUCUUGGUGAAAGACAUUUUCAUAAGGAUCUCUCAAAAAUAAAAAGAGAUUUCAAGGUACUUCCACAAAAGUGGUUUCGUUAAUUCGAAGGUGAAAGCUAGAACAUUUAAUUUUUCACCGUCAAUGCUUUAUAGGUUUUGAAUUUUAGGUUUCACUUAGCACGUAGUGACACGAAACUAUGAUCAUUAACACAUAAGUUGUGUAACCGUAAACCUCAGUGGUAGUUGCUGAGAGUCUCAAGGGUUACAUUUAUGAAAUGAAGUAUGACGGAGAACAAAUUUGAGGUGGUUGAAGAACCGAAUUUACCUCUUCUAUAAGAGAUAGACCAAGAAGAAAAACUCUUAACUUAAUUUGAGACGAGUAAGGUAGCUCAUGAUUAGAGUGAAUUUGACAGCCUGAUUUGGAAGACGUGAUUUGUAUAUAUCAAGUCAUUAAGGCUUCACUCAAAAUAUUUGGAGGCUUGGGUAAACAUGCAGCAGCAUGCUUUUAGGGACACUUAGCUAGUACAUAGAUAAAGAAUUAUAUCUGCCCCAGAUCCAUCAUUAUGAAUAGUCCAUAUACACAAAUUAGAUUAAGAAUGAAGAAAAUUGCAAUAAAAUGAAAGAAAAUAUUUUUGAGUUUUGAAGUUUAUGAAAAGAAAUAAAAACAGAAAAAAAUGUUUUUGGAUUUUAUAAGAUUUUCUGAAAAAGAAUUAAACAGAAAGAAAAAUAUUUUUGGAUUUUAUAAGAUUUUCUAAAAAAGAAUUAAAAACAGAAAGAAACAUAUUUUUGGAUUUUAUGAAAAUAAAAGGAAAAACAUAAAAUAAAUAUGAGAGAAGAGUUUACAUAAUAUACAACCGAAACAAUCACUUGGAGAUGAGAGGCGAACCGAGCCUGGUAGAACCGAAACCGAAAUAGGCCGAGCAUUCGGUUCAUUUCGGUUCCCUAAGAACCGAACCCGAAAUGGACCGAGCGUUCGCUCUAUUUCGCUUCCAACUUUUAUUGAGACAAAAGCAAUUUUAGUAUAGAUUCAGCUUCCAUCAUUCUUAAGCCUUGUAGGAUUUUGUUAAAACUUGCUUCAGGAAAGGCCUUAAUGAAGAUGUCAGCCAAUUGAUCAAUGGUUCUAACGAAAUGAAUUUCAACAUUACCGUCUACCACAUGAUCUUUGAUAUAGUGAUACCUCAGUGCUAUGUGUUUCUGUUGGAAUAGUGUCUAAGCCCGUAACUAUAUUUGGUAUAUACUUGACCCGGUUGUGCAUGGUCCUUUUGGGUUGCCUUCUCCAAAGCAACUUCACAAGGUAAUUUAAGGAGAAAGAGAGAGUAUUAUGAUUUAUUAAUCUAUUAUAAGAAUAAUAUAUUAAAGGAGAAAUCAUAUUUAUUUAAUUAGUAUUGGUCAUAAAUUAAUUAGGAAUUAAUUUGGUGGUCAAAAGAGAUUAAUUGAAUAAAGGGGUAUAAAUUGUCAAAUGUAUGAUAGUUGAGUUUUAGGUUAAGGAAACCUAAUGGGCUUAAGGGAGAAUAAAAUUAUGAUGGGUAUCCAUCAUAUUUUCGUCCAAGGCCUUAUUCCAGAAGGUUCCUUGGGCUGCUUGGUGGAUAAGCUGUCCAUUAGGGUUUAGACUGAAACUCUAGUAUCCUGUAAGUAUAAAUAUGACCCCUAGGGCAUUGAUUUUGGCUACCACUUGAUUCUAAGAGAUCCCUAGGCUAAUUUCUAGCCUCUCUCUCCCUCUCUCAUAUUUCCCUCUUGCUUGUAGUGUUUGUGAACCAUUAGAGGAGUUGCAUUUGUGACUCUAAGCUCAAGAGAAGAAGAAAGAGAAGAUCUAAGCCAACAAGUGAAGAGGUAAGCAUCUAGAUCUGAUUCUAUGUGUUAUUUUUGUUGUUUACAUGCUAGAUUAGGGUUUGUAAGUCUUGGAAUCAAAGCAUGUUCAAUAGUGAAACCUAGAUCCAAGCAUUAGGGUUUGUAUGAGCACAUAGGAAUGGUUCUUAUGCAUAAAACCCAACAGUGGUAUCAGAGCUUUGAUUGGUUUCAGUUGUAUAUGAUGCUUAACUGCCUUAUUUUCUGAAAAUCGAGUUUUUGGCCUCUGCCCGACUCAACUCGGCAAGUCAGUAUCUGGACUCGGCGAGUCCAGGUCUGACUCGGCGAGUCGGUUCGUCACGCAGAGGGUAUUUCUGGUUUUAGCUGUUGUUUUGACUUGGAUUUAAUGCUUGAAUUGUUUUAUGAAGUUAAAAUCCGAAUUUUAUCUUAAUUAAGUGAUUAUCCUUGCCAAAACAAUAGAUAAUUUCAAAUCUUUUAAAUAUUAGUUGGUUAUAUGAUAAAUAUGGAUUAUUUAAAGUUAUUUGGUAAUUAUCUAAAAUAAGAUUAGGUCAAAUAUAGAUAAUUAUGAAAUUAAUUGGUUAACUUGAAUUAUUUGUUAUUUGAUCCCUUGUAUUUUGAAAAGUUUAAAAACUUGCCCUCAAGUUUUGAAAUUUGAAUUUAUGAUUAAAAGUUUAAUUUUGAGUAAUUUAAAUUUCAAACCCUUAGAAUUUUACAAGUAUAAAAUUCAACCCUAUACUAUUAUAUAUUAUUACAAGUUUAAUUAAUUAAUAUAUAUAUAUAUAUAUAUAUAUAUGUAUGUAUGUAUAACUUAAAAUGCUAGUUUUACCGUUAGUAGGCCUCAUUCACGAAGCCGGUCUAUAAGGUGAGUAUAAGGUUGUUGCCUAUAAAAUGGCGCUUAAUGGGUGUACACUCACACCUACCGCUUACUUGACUGGUGGAGGGUCGUUAGCCGAACGGGUAGGAUAGGGCAACCCUCUCCUCCUUAAAAGUAUAAUGUUAAAUAUAAAGUAACUACAUGUUUUACAAAUUCCUAAUCUUAGUUACUUUAGGGUAAAAUGUGAAAAUGAUGCUAAUCCAUGGAAUUACACUUCGUACCCUUGUCAAACGUUGAUGGAGCGCGUGUGGUUAACCGGCACAUCAAUUUGGGGAUGACAUUGGUAGCGAAGGGUGACUCGAUGUUUGUCAUAGAUCAAUGGAGCGUGUGUGGUUUACCGGCACAUUGAUUAGGUGAUAGAGACAUUAAGUGCACCACGUUGAUUCGCAUGGUUAUUCACAUAAUUUAUUUGCGAUCCUCGGCAUCCCAGUCGUAAAUUUGAAAUGCAUAUCGAGAUUUAAACAUGCCAUUGAAAAGUUAUAUGAAUCUCAAAGAUCUAGAAGUUUUCAAUACAUUUAAAACCUAAAUUGCUUUUUCAUUUUUCAUGGUGAGAAUUAGUGAAUCGUCAUUCACUUACCUUCAAAUUAUUUACUUUUAGAAUACGGCAUCCUUUUCUAAGUUGUAAAUAAUGUUGUUGGAUCCUAGCCCUAAUUUCUCAUUUGGGUGUUUAAUUAGGGAUUCAUUUCUAAUCAAGCUUUGUCCCUUUCUUUUUCAGAUGUCUGCUAACAACAACAACAACAACGCUUCUGGGUCAUUCUCGUUGAUGAACUUGUGUCAGAAAGUGACAUUUGAUGGUUCAAACUUCAACGAGUGGAUGAGGUACAUUCGCAUGAUCACACGCUACGAGGACAAAGAAUAUGUCCUCGAUGAAAAGCUUGAGAAGAUCAUCCCAGAUGUUGCUACUCCUGAGGAACUGGCCGCCUUUGAGGCCCACGAGCGUGAUGCCACGAAAGUUCACUGCAUCAUGCUGGCCACCAUGAACCUCGAACUCCAAAAGUCCUAUGAGGACAUGUAUCCAUAUGAAAUGCAUCAGGAUUUGCUGGACAGGUAUCACCAGAGCGCGAGGCAAGAGCGCUAUGAGAUCAUUACUAACAUGAUCACCGCUAAGAUGGGGAGUGGAGAAUCCCUAACCUCUCAUUUGCAGAAAAUGCAGAGGUAUGUUGAUCGUCUUCUCAAACUUAAUGUUAAGUUUGAUGAGGAUUUGGCUAUCGACAUAAUCCUCCACUCCUUGCCCUCCUGCUACAAUCAGUUUAGGAUGACCUACCACAUGAACAAAGAGGAGGUCUCCUUGAGCAAGCUCCAAGGACUCUUGAGGAUUGCUGAGAGCAACCUCAAAGACAAAUCCGUUGCACCGUCCCCUGCUGUGGCCGCUCCUAUGAUGGCGAUAGGUCAAGGAAAGGGCAAAAAGAGGAAGGCUCCAUGUAAGAGCCACCAUAAAGGGAAACCCCGUGAUGGUUUGUCCUCAAGUGGGACCAAAGCUAGCCCUGCUAAGCCCUCUUCCGAUCCGAAAGAAGCAGAGUGCUUCUCUUGCCACCAAAAGGGCCACUAGAAGCGAAGCUGCCCACAAUAUCUGCAAGACAUAAGAGAUGGGAAGAUUAAGCCCACCUUUGCAGGUAUGUAUUCUAUUAAAUCUAAUAACUCAUCAUUUGCUACUUCAUGGGUUCUUGAUACAGGAUGUGGUUACCACAUUUGUUCUGAUUUGCAGGGCCUAAAAAGAAGUAGGGAGAUGGAGCAUGGGAAGAUGAACCUGAUUAUGGGAAACAGAAGAUCGUCGCCUGUGACCAAAGUCGGUGUUUAUUCUUUAGUGUUGAGUAAUGGGUUAGGAAUAGAUUUAGAGAAUUGCUGUUAUUCGCCAGAUAUGGCAAGAAACAUUAUUUCUUUUCACGGGUUGUUUAGACAAGGUUUCAGAUAUUCNNNNNNNNNNNNNNNNNNNNNNNNNNNNNNNNNNNNNNNNNNNNNNNNNNNNNNNNNNNNNNNNNNNNNNNNNNNNNNNNNNNNNNNNNNNNNNNNNNNNNNNNNNNNNNNNNNNNNNNNNNNNNNNNNNNNNNNNNNNNNNNNNNNNNNNNNNNNNNNNNNNNNNNNNNNNNNNNNNNNNNNNNNNNNNNNNNNNNNNNNNNNNNNNNNNNNNNNNNNNNNNNNNNNNNNNNNNNNNNNNNNNNNNNNNNNNNNNNNNNNNNNNNNNNNNNNNNNNNNNNNNNNNNNNNNNNNNNNNNNNNNNNNNNNNNNNNNNNNNNNNNNNNNNNNNNNNNNNNNNNNNNNNNNNNNNNNNNNNNNNNNNNNNNNNNNNNNNNNNNNNNNNNNNNNNNNNNNNNNNNNNNNNNNNNNNNNNNNNNNNNNNNNNNNNNNNNNNNNNNNNNNNNNNNNNNNNNNNNNNNNNNNNNNNNNNNNNNNNNNNNNNNNNNNNNNNNNNNNNNNNNNNNNNNNNNNNNNNNNNNNNNNNNNNNNNNNNNNNNNNNNNNNNNNNNNNNNNNNNNNNNNNNNNNNNNNNNNNNNNNNNNNNNNNNNNNNNNNNNNNNNNNNNNNNNNNNNNNNNNNNNNNNNNNNNNNNNNNNNNNNNNNNNNNNNNNNNNNNNNNNNNNNNNNNNNNNNNNNNNNNNNNNNNNNNNNNNNNNNNNNNNNNNNNNNNNNNNNNNNNNNNNNNNNNNNNNNNNNNNNNNNNNNNNNNNNNNNNNNNNNNNNNNNNNNNNNNNNNNNNNNNNNNNNNNNNNNNNNNNNNNNNNNNNNNNNNNNNNNCGCUCUUCCGUCUGACUUUGUUACCAAUAACUUUCUCGGGGUAUGCCUUAGAGAUUGCCGCCCAUAUACUUAACUCAGUUCCCACCAAGAAGGUUUCCACGACUCCUCACGAGAUGUGGACAGGGAAGACCCCCUCGUUGGCACAUAUCAAGGUUUGGGGUUGCGAGGCUUUCAUAAGACGAGAGACUCACGACAAGCUAGAACCUCGUAGUGAGAAGUGUUAUUUCAUCGGCUAUCCGCAGAAGUCUUUUGGCUACCUUUUCUAUAGACCGAGUGACAAUGUUGUCUUCGUUGCUAGAAGAGGGGUUUUCCGAGAAAGGGAAUUAAUAAGCCAAGAAGACAGUGGGAGGCAAAUUGAACUUGAAGAAAUUCAAGAUCAAAGCGAUGAAGGAACCUCGGACACUGGCACUCAACUUGAGGAGGAAACUCCUGUUGAACCUAUUGACGAGUCCCUACCUCUUCGACGUUCCACUAGGGCUAGUGUUCCACCCCAGUUUUAUGGUUUUCAUAUUACUACUGAAGGGGAUACAUUUAUUAGUGAUAGUACACUAGUAAAUUUGGAUGAACCUAGCAGCUAUAAGGAAGCCAUGGCAGGCCCGGAGUCUGCAAAAUGGAAAGAGGCUAUGGACAGCGAGAUUCAGUCCAUGUACGACAACCAAGUUUGGAAUUUGGUUGAUAAUGUACCGGGUCGUAAGACAGUCGGGUGCAAGUGGAUCUUCAAGAAGAAGACGGACAUGGAUGGGAAAGUGCAUACUUAUAAAGCGCGAUUGGUUGCGAAGGGCUUUACUCAAACUCCCGGAGUUGACUAUGAUGAGACCUUCUCACCAGUUGCGAAGAUAAAGUCUAUUAGGGUGAUGCUUGCCAUAGCUGCGUUUCAUGAUUAUGAAAUAUGGCAGAUGGACGUGAAAACCGCUUUCCUUAAUGGAAAGUUGGCUGAGGAUGUCUACAUGAAUCAGCCAGAGGGUUUUGUCGAUGUGAAGCAUCCAAAUAGAGUAUGCAAGCUUGAGAAAUCUAUUUAUGGAUUGAAACAAGCAUCUCGCAGAUGGAAUCUUUGUUUUGACGAGAAGGUUAAAGAGUUUGGCUUUCUGCGAAGCGAAGAUGAAUCUUGUGUGUAUGUCAAAGCCAGUGGGAGUAUAGUAAGCUUCCUCGUAUUGUAUGUCGACGACAUACUACUCAUAGGAAACGAUGUCCCAACCUUGCAGGAGGUCAAGUCCUGGCUUGGGAAAUGUUUCGCUAUGAAGGACCUCGGAGAGGCUGCUUAUAUUCUGGGAAUAAGAAUAGUAAGAAACAGGGAAAAGAGACUGAUAGGACUCAGUCAGGAUACAUACUUGGAAAAGGUACUAAAGCGUUUUAGUAUGGAAAAUUCCAAGAAAGGGGAGUUGCCAAUCCAAAGCAAUACCAAGCUGAGUAAGACUCAGAGCCCGAGUACAGAGACAGAGAUAGCUGAUAUGAGCCGAGUACCUUACGCUUCCGCAGUAGGCUCUAUCAUGUACGCUAUGACUUGUACUCGCCCUGAUGUGGCCUUCGCCUUGAGCAUGGUCAGCAGAUAUCAAGGGAACCCUGGUAGAGCUCAUUGGAUUGCAGUUAAGAAUAUUCUUAAGUACCUUCGGAGGACCAAGGAAUGGUUUCUAGUCCUCGGUGGGAGUGAUGACUUAAGGGUACGAGGGUACAGUGACGCUAGUUUUCAGACGGAUCGGGAUAACUUCCGAUCGCAGUCGGGCUGGGUCUUUACCCUAAAUGGAGGAGCAGUGACUUGGAAAAGUUCCAAGCAAGAGACCGUAGCUGAUUCAACGUGCGAAUCAGAGUAUAUUGCGGCGAGCGAAGCGUCAAAGGAGGCUAUAUGGUUGAAGAACUUCAUUGGAGACCUUGGAGUUGUGCCAUCCAUAAAAGAGCCGAUGGAAAUUUUCUGUGAUAAUGAAGGAGCGGUUGCCUUGACCAAGGAACCGAGAGAUCAUGGCAGAUCUCGACAUAUUGACAGAAAAUACCAUUUCAUCAGACAUCGGGUAGAAGAGGGACUCCUCGUUGUGAAGAGGGUAUCAUCAGAAGAGAACCCAGCAGAUCCCCUUACGAAGGGACUGAGUAGGGUCAAACACUUGCAGCACGCUAGGAGCAUUGGGCUGAAGGAUGAUAUAAGUUUGGAUUAGAUAGGAAAUGUGUAAUAGAUAGUUUGUACUUGACAUUUGAUGAAUAAAUGAAAUUGUAUUAUUUAUGAGUAAAGUUACUAUCUUAUGUUGGUUAUUUAUCUAUUGUUUCCAUUUUGCAUGUUUUGACUUCCUGAAUGAUAUGAUUAUUCAAAAGGUCCACAGUCGGUCAUAUUUUGGAAGUAGAUAUGAAUUAAGACUGUCAUGAAUUGUUUGUAGAUUGUCUAAAAGGUUUUGGACAUAGCAAAGGUUUGCUGCAAAGUUCAUGAGUGCUUGUGAAUAUGAGUUGAGCAUUGGAUUAAACCCGAGUUUGCUGUAUCACUUAGUGGUGUUUUAUCUUAAGUGAUCGCAAAGUGAUAACAUCAUAUAGUCUUAAAACUUAGAGAUAUGGUUGUUGUUUGCUGGUUGGUUAUACAUUGAUAAUGUGUAAACGCAUCAGUAACUUGAUGUUAUAAAACACAUUAUUGUGUGUGAUCCAUUAGUAAAUAAUAGAUGCAUAUGAGUCGAAGUUGAUCUGUUCCUUUUAUUCUAUGAGAAUAAAAGUGAUAUAUUGGCCACUUGAUGAUUUGGUUUGACUUAUGUGCCGGGCCCGGUCAGAAUGAAGUUGAUGUGUUCAACUAAAUUCUAUGUCAAACAAAUCGGAAAUCAAGGAACUACUGCUGGACAAUAAGCAUUGUCAGCAUGAUAUCCAGAACAGAGGAUUAUACGAUCCCUUAUCUAAAGGACAAGUUGAUCAGAGUUGACAGCGAAGUAUAAGAGCUACGAUUGCUAAUCGGAUUCUGAAGUCAUAUGUGAGAUAUAGUUACUAGACUUAUCCAAGUGGGAGACUGUUGGAAUAGUGUCUAAGCCCGUAACUAUAUUUGGUAUGUACUUGACCCGGUUGUGCAUGGUCCUUUUGGGUUGCCUUCUCCAAAGCAACUUGACAAGGUAAUUUAAGGAGAAAGAGAGAGUAUUAUGAUUUAUUAAUAUAUUAUAAGAAUAAUAUAUUAAAGGAGAAAUCAUAUUUAUUUAAUUAGUAUUGGUCAUAAAUUAAUUAGGAAUUAAUUUGGUGGUCAAAAGAGAUUAAUUGAAUAAAGGGGUAUAAACUGUCAAAUGUAUGAUAGUUGAGUUUUAGGUUAAGGAAACCUAAUGGGCUUAAGGGAGAAAGAAAUUAUGAUGGGUAUCCAUCAUAUUUUCGUCCAAGGCCUUAUUCCAGAAGGUUCCUUGGGCUGCUUGGUGGAUAAACUGUCCAUUAGGGUUUAGACUAAAACCCUAGUAACCUGUAAGUAUAAAUAUGACCCCUAGGGCAUUGAUUUCGGCUACCACUUGAUUCUAAGAGAUCCCUAGGCCAAUUUCUAGCCUCUCUCUCCCUCUCUCAUAUUGCCUUCUUGCUUGUGGGGUUUGUGAACCAUUAGAGGAGUUGCAUUCGUGACUCUAAGCUCAAGAGAAGAAGAAAGAGAAGAUCUAAGCAAACAAGUGAAGAAGUAAACAUCUAGAUCUGAUUCUAUGUGUUAUUUUUGUUGUUUAUAUGCUAGAUUAGGGUUUGUAAGUAUUGGAAUCAAAGCAUGUUCAAUAGAGAAACCUAGAUCCAAGCAUUAGGGUUUGUAUGAGCACAUAGGAAUGGUUCUUAUGCAUAAAACCCAACAGUUUCGUCAUUGAGUGUUGCACUGGGUUAUGAAAAUUCCUAAAUGCACUCUCUGAGUCACAAUAGACUGGGAUUUUCUUCAUGUUGAGUUCGUAGUCUCGAAGUUGACUUUGUAUCCAAAUGACCUGAGAUGUGCACGAUUCUGCGGCUAUAUAUUCUACUUCGGCAGUACAGAGAGACACACAAGUUUGUUUCUUGGAUUGCCAGCUAACAAUUUUACCGUCCAAAAAUUGGUAUCCUCCAGUGGUACUCUUUCGGUCCAGUCCACAUCCUACGAGAUCAGCAUCUGAAAAUGCUUGGACAAAGAACCCUGAUUUGGCUGGAUACCAUAGACCGAGAGAAGAUGUUGGCUUCACGUAUCGAAAGAUGUUCUUCACAGCUAGAAGGUGAGGUUUGCAUGGAUUAGCUUGAAACCUAGCACACAACAAGCAGAGAACAUUAUGCCUGGUCGACUUGCUGUUAAAUACAUUAGAGACCCUAUCAUCUGACAAUCGAGAGUCAUGUCAGCAGCCGGUUUGUCCAGAGAAGCUGUUAGCUUUGUGCCAAACGCCAUAGGAACCUUUACUUUCGAAUCUCCCAACAUUCCAAACUUGGAACGCAAGGUCUUCGUGUAAGCCUCUUGAUUAAUGAAAAUGCCUUUGGGUCCCUGUCUAAUAUUCAAGCCAAGGAAAAAGUUAAUCGGACCCAUUGAGCUCAUUUCAAAUCUAGUAUCCAUCAACUUCCUAAAUUCAGCUGUUAAGCUAUGAUUUGUGGAACCGAAGAUGAUGUCAUUGACAUAAAUCUGAACAAUCAUAAGGUGGUCACCCUCUUUCUUAAGAAAGAAGGUUGGUUCAACCGAACCUUGUUUAAACUUUGACAUUUUAAGAAAUCUAUUUAGAGUUUCAUACCAUGCCCUUGGUGCUUGCUUGAGACCAUAGACAGCCUUGUCCAGAAUGUAGCAGUGAUCUGGAUACUUCUUGUUCACGAAACCCGGUGGUUGCUCUACAUACACCGUCUCUUCCAGUUCUCCAUUUAAGAAGGCGCACUUCACAUCCAUUUGGUAUACUUCAAAGUUCUUGUCUGCAGCAUAGGCGAGAAAAAUAUGAAUUGAUUCAAGCCUUGCUACUGGAGCGAAGGUCUCUUCGUAAUCUAUGCCUUCUUCUUGACAGUAACCAUUCACAACCAAUCUUGCCUUGUUGUGAAUCACGUUUCCUUCCUUAUCCAUCUUGUUCCCGAAAAUCCACUUUAGUCCAGCGACAGAAGCAUUCUUUGGUGUUGGAAUCAGUCUCCACACUUUAUUUUGCUCGAACUCAUUGAGUUCGUCUUGCAUCGCCUGUACCCAAUCAGAAUGAUCGAGUGCAAUGUUGAUCAUCUUCGGUUCAACCUUGGAGACGAAUGAAUUGAACAUGCAAAAUUCCACUUUAUAGAAUAGUGCAGUUUGUUUUGCUUUCAGUUGUGAUCGUGUGAGAACCUUUUCUUUUGAAUCACCAAUAAUUUGUGUUUGUGGAUGAUAUUUGGUCCAUUUGGUGAGUGUAGGGUAAUUAGGAUCAUAUGUGGGAUCCAGUUCAUCAUUCACUUCUUCUUUGAAUUUUCUGACUGAAUAUCAUCAUCGUUUGAAUUCACAUUCUCCCCCUCGAAUGAUAAUACUUCCUCAACUUCAAGCUCAGAAUUCUCCCCCUGGACUUGAAUUUUGGGUGUUAUUGAUGAAGAUGGACUCUCCCCAUGGAAUGGUGAAUCGUGGUUAUUUGGAGAAUACGACCCCUCCCUCUGAACAUAGGAACUAUUUUUUGGAGGUUCGCUUGAGUUAGGUUCUUCGGUUACUGUCGGUUGUUCAUCUUCCAUUUUCUUUGCAGCAUCAUCAAUUAUCUUCUUCAGGUUGUCUACCUUCUUGUCUGAAGCUUUGGAUUUAGAGUGAAUAGCCUUUUCUGGUUCAUCAAACAGCAGCAUGUACUUCUCAAAGAGGUUUGAGAUUGGUAUCAUAGCUUGACCAUAUUUUGGAAAUAUUUCCUCCACAUAACCUUCGGUUGUCUUCAUUUUCUUGAAGUAGUUAUCAUCGAAAGUGACAUAAUAAGUAUCUUCAAUUUUCUUUGAACCUUGUUCAAGACGCAGUAUGCUUUGGAGUUUAAUGAGUAACCCAGAAAGAUUCCUUCAUCUGCUUUGAUGUCAAACUUGUUUCGAUGCUCUUUUGAAUUAAAGAUGAAGCAUCUUAAACCGAACACAUGAAAAAACUUUACAUUAGGAUUUCGGUUGUUCAAGAUCUCAUAUGGAGUGAUGGAAAAACGUUUGUUGAGAUAAUAUCUGUUUUGCGUGUAGCAAGCGGCAUCAAUGGCAUCCACCCAGAAAUAUAUAGGUAGUGAUGCGAAGCUAAGCAUGGUAUAGGUUGCUUCACAUAAAGAUCAGUUUCGCCUUUCGACAAUCCCAUUCUGUUGUGGAGUAUAUUGAGUCGAGAAGUUGUGAGUCGUCCCCUUCUCUGCAACAAAAUAUUCAAAGUCUUUGUUCUUGAACUCCAACCCGUUGUCAUUUCUUUUGUAACUACCUUUCGUAUUUGAACUUCCACUUGCUUAAUAAAGAGUCUAAGCUUGGGAGUGGCCUCUGAUUUCUGUUUCAAAAAGAAUACCCAGGUAAAUCGAGAGAAGUCAUCCACUAUUACAAGUAUAUACAUGUUACCACCAAUGCUCUCAAUUGAAGAUGGACCACAUAAAUCAAUGUGAAGUAAUUCAAGUGGUUUAAUAAUUUUCGUAUUAUCACGAGAAGGAUGACUCUGUCGACUUUGCUUUCCCAUUUCACAUGCAGCACACAAAUGUUCUUUGUCGAACUUUAGAACAAGAAGUCCUUGAACAUGAUCCCCAAGCACCAAUUUGUUGAUGUCUUUGAAAUUGAGAUGGUAGAGUCUUCGGUGCCAGAGCCAGCUUUCGUCUAAAUGAGCCUUCGUUAGCAAGCAAACGGCGGGCUUCCCUCGUAUGGGAUUGAGAUUCAGAGGGUAUAUCUCCCCUUUUCGCUUUAAUUUCAGCAAGAUAUUGCUCGUCUUCUUUUCAAUUAUCUCUAAGCCAUCGUCAUCGAACGAAACUUUUAACCCUGUACUGACCACCAGUUGGGAAACACUGAUAAGGUUGUGUUGUAAACCAUCAACGUAUGCCACUUUUCGUAUCGAUAAAUCACCAUUGGUGAUCAUACCAUAACCUUUUAUUGUGCCAAAAGAGUUAUUAUCAUACUUGACACUUCCACCAUUUGUGAGGGACCAAAACUCCCUCAGUUCUUCCCUUCUUCCUGUCAUGUGACGCGAGCAGCCACUGUCUAUGUACCAUUCAUCGUCAAACUGCUCAUCACGUAUAACCUGCAAAAAUUAAGUAGAUUUAGGAACCCAAAGUUUCUUGGGUCCUUGUGAGCCUUUUACAGAACAGGGAAUUGUAAGAGAAACAUCAACUAAAAAGGUUCUUUUUAUUAAGGUUGUUUCAUCUUUUCUUUUUAUAGUGAAAACCUUGAUUUUAUUAGAUUUGAGUUCUUUAGGAUUAGUUUUUGAUUUGACGUUAGCAGUCUUUCGGUACUCCUCUUUGGGUUCAAACGACAUCUUCUUUUUGUUUUCUGGAAAGAGCUUUCCUUUUCCCUUUUGAUCAUUCUGUGAGUGAGAGUGAGAAUGAGAAACAUGAAACUUGAGAGUAGAGUUAAGCUUUUGGUCAUUGCUCUUACUUGGUUGAGAGCCGAAACUACUUUCCCUUCGGUUCCUCUCAUUGUUUGAUCUAGGACCGAAACCAUCCUUUCGGUUUCUCACAUCUUGAGCACCGAAACUCCUUUUUCGGUUGUCGUCCGUCUGAGGACCGAAACUUCUCUUUUGGUUGCUAUGCCUUUGUGGACCGAAACUCUGUUUUCGGUUGUCUUGAUUUUGGAGACCGAGAAGUUGAGUUUGUUUUUUCUUCUUCCUUUGACUUAAAGGACUUUUCAUAGCGAAUGUAAUUAGGGUUUUGAGAUUGCCAAAAUUGUUUUCUUUCGGUGAGAUUCUUCUUGUAUCUUAAAUUACGUUGACGCUUUCUUUCUAACACCUGUUUUGGAUUUUUGUGGAUGUUGGCCUUUUUCUUCGGUCUUUGAGCAUGAGUUUCGCUUAAUAUCAUGACUGGUUCGCUUGAAGGACUUUUGGUACCACUUGUGCUUGGCACAUCAAAAUGUGUAGGUUCAUUAAGUGGUUCUGCCACAUACCUACCCUUCACUCUUCAUGAUGUUUUCUUAGAUAGACCUUCUGUUACAUCAGCGUUAUCAAUUGGUGCUGACCAGAAAAACUCAUCACAGCCAUCAGCAUUAUCUUCUUCUACCAAAGUUAUCAGUUCGGUUGUUUGUUGCUGAGUAACUCCUUUAACUGUAUAAACUUGAUUUGGAGUUGUUUGGACCUUUUGAUAUACCACAACCUUCUCCUUGAGGACUUUAGUUUUGUUUUUGGAUAAACGAGCGAACUCAACAGAAUUUUCAGAAAUAAGAUUUUUGUUGUUUUCGGGUUCGCUCUUGACAAAUUUGGAACAUUCCACCUCAUCUUCUACAUAUAUUACACUCAUAUCAUCAUCCUCAUUGAAUUCAGAAGUGUUUUCAAUAUCAAUUUUAUUUUCUGAAUUCAAUUUGGCAUUCAAAGAGUCAAAUUUCUGUACAGUUUCGGUUUUAAUUUUUAAUUUUUCAUUUUCAACCAAUAAAUUUUUGAGCAUGUCAUUAUGGUCUUUUGACUUUAUGAAGGACUCUAUUUUGUUAAGACCAAUUUUGUAAGCAGGUGAGAUAUCAUCAGAAGAAACAACGUUUUCACAAUUAUAUGCAUCGGCAUCGAUUUCAUCCUCCUUUAACUCAAGGAAGGGUAAAAUUAUACGAUGUAUCUUCUUCCCUAUAUCACAAUCAAGAUGGAAUUGAGUAAUGUUGGAGUAUAAUCGUUUAGCAAUCAAACAAAAAAUAUUACGUUGUUUUAAAAGCUUUAAAUUAUCUCUUUGCAAAUAAAUUGUUUCAUCCCUAGACCUAAUUAACUCCUUCUCCUUCUGCUCAAUCCAUAUACGCCUCUCCUCACUCUUCGACGAUAUCCUGCUGAUUUGAUCAGUUAGGUUAGAAUUUGUGAUACGAUUUUGAGUUAGACUACUACUUAUACUAGAAAAUUUAGAUUUUAGUCCAUUAAGUUUUUUUCAUAGUUUGUGAUGGGGAUUUGUAAGGAAACAAGAAUAGAUUGUACCUUCUUGAUCAACUCAUCGCAUUCGUUGAUCUGUUCACUAACAGGUUUCGCUGCAAAACACCUGUCUUCUCGCUCCUUUGCUUCAUCUAAUCCCCCAUCAGUGGUAUAGCCUAUCAUUUACGACACCCCAGAAGUCACCAUUAGACACUUUCCUGCAACGUCCUCUUCUUUCACCAACAAAGCCCUGCCAUGAGAGGGCUUCCUCACUUCUUCAUCUUCAGAGUCAGUGGACCAAACUUCAACACUGCCGAACUCAUUGUCAAUAGUAUUUCCCUACACAAUAAGAGCAUUCAUAGUGUUAUUAGAUCCAGCUUUCUUCUUCUUGAUUUCCUCCAAUCGUUGUACGAGGUUCGCUUCCUCGUCGUCGUCAUCAUUCUUUUCUGACUUCUUUCUCAACAGACAAUCUUUGGCAAACUAAUUUUCACCUCCACAAUAAUGACAAUUAAAACCUAAGUCACCCCCAAGUUUUGCUUCCUUCUUUGGUUCUUCGGUUUGAGAAACACUCUUCGGUUCCUCCUUCACUUUCUCGGCACUGUAGCUUCCCUGCCAGUUUCGGUUCUUAUUUGAUGGGAACCUUCUUUUGAUGAACUUCUUGGGAUUUGACACCAUCAAAGCAUAAUCUUCAAUUGUUAGAUCAUAUUCAGAAAGAUCUAAAUCUUCUUCUUCUUCAACAACAUUCUUUCCUUUGUUGAUUAGGGCCAAGGACCCCAUUCUAGAAACCACGUUCGUUUCUGUAGUCAUUGCACUCUCAUGUGACUUUAAUAUUCCCACCAAUUUUGCUUGAGAAUAAGUCUUGAAUUGUUCAUGUGCCUUUACAUUAGACACUACAGCCAUCCAUUCGGGUCUAAGGUUAUUCAUGAAUGUGACCUUCUAUUCAAUGACUUUUCUUUCAGUCCCAUGCUUUAUCAUCUUACUAAGGAGAUGAUUGAAGCGGUCGAAGGCUUGAAUAAACUUCUCUUUGGGCUUUUUCUUGAAGUCACCAAAUUCUAAGAGCAAUAAGGUUUGGAUUGAAUGCUCAAGAUCUUCAUCCGUAGAAUACAAUUCCUUCAACCUGUCCCAUAUUUCUAUAGUCGUUGUGCAAGAGCUUAAUAACCAAACCAUGUCUGAUUGUAAAGCAAACCUAAUCAUUCUUAAAGCUUUGAUGUUGCACUGAAACUUUUCCUUCUCAUCUUGGGGUAUGUCUUUGACAUCAUUGACGAGUUGAUUGUACUCCUUUUGAGUUUUGACAAUUCUUGAAGUGCUUGAGUGAGCGAAUGGACCUACAGUAAUUUCCUCCUAGAUAAAGUAUCCAUUGUCUUCUGAACCAAUCACGUAGUCUUCAAAGUGAUGCAUCCAGACCUCAUAGUCUUGAGUGUACAAUAUAGGAAUCCUUUUCGUCAAUCCUAUACUGAUGGAGAUGUUGAUUGGGUUUGACUGAGAAUCAUCCAUGGACAUGACAAUGUUUGUUCAAAAACCUGCUUAAGAUCAGACUUGUAAAUAACGUUAGGGUAAGAUCGAAUAUUUAAAGAACUACGUCAAUAGCAGAUGACGGAUCUAACAAUAUCAAUCAAAGCGGAAAACCCUAAGAUCUUUUUCAACAGAAGAGAUGUGUAUGGAUUACACAGUCACAUGCUCUGAUACCAAUUGAUGAGUUGAAAAACUCUUAGAUCGAUUAGAUCUUCAACAGGUUAAUCAAUGAAAGCACACAAAUACAAUAAACACAAUAUAGAAUCAAGUAAUGCUUAAUGAUUCAAAUGUAGUCACGCCUCAGCAGAGCUCGAUGAAGAACUUCCAUUAUAGAGGCGAGCUAGGGUUUGUAGUACAAUACUAAGAAUAAUAAUAAAUUCGCUCCUUACAAAGGAUGCAUGCAUGCACCUUAAAUACUAAACCCUAACAAAAUAAACACGGUUGGACAGCCCAAACCGGUAACAAAACUGGGCAAAGGACCGAGCCCAAAGACGCAACACUUCUGGACCCAACAAGGUUAUUUUUUUGCUUUCUUUCUGUCAGUCAUAUGUUGCUUCCUCUCCGUGAUUGGAAGAGAUCCGACCUGGACUGCAACAUAUGCAACUCUAUCUCUAUGUGUCUUCUUAUCUAUGCAAUUCUUUCUAUCUGUUAGUCAUAUGUUCUCUCCUUUGCGUGAUAAGAUUUUUAUCCGACCCGGAACACAGCAUAUGCAACAUUCUAUUUCUCAAUCCCUCUAAUUCAGUUAUUCAUAUGUUAAUCCCUCUACGUGAUUGGAAGAGAUCCGACCUGGGAAUAAGACAUAUGCAUUUCUAAAUCUAUCUUCUUCCUUAAUAAUUGUCUGCUCAUCUAAAGUAAGGAGUAUUUUGGAAGUCCUUGAUUAUCGGGGUAUAUCAGGAAGCGGGAAACACAUUCUAGUACAUCUAAAAUUAAACAUUUAAUAGGUUGUUUGUAGAUCUCGCUGCUAAAUUUAGGUGGACAACAAUAUCCUUCGUCGUCGUCGGCUAAAUGGUCCCUUUAGGAGUAUUAUUUAGGUAUAUAGGUUCAAAAGUCUUGUCACUUGUAGCAUGUCCAAAUUGGUCACAAUCUUUUGUGUUUAAGUGGACCACAAUACCAACGAUUGACCAGAUCUAUUCAUGAAGAUGGAGGUACUGAAAAACAGAUUAAGGUUGUCUUAAAACUUUGAUCCCAAAAUCAUAAAAAUAAUAUUAGCAAUGGUGAAGAGAAAUUAGUGAUCUUUUAUUUUUAUUUUUAUUUUUAUUUUCAAAAAAUUAAAAAUCAAACAAAAUUAAUUUAGUUUAAAUUUUUUAGAUUUUAUUUUAUUUUAUUUUUAAUUUUAGUUUUAAGUCUUCAAAAUGUUUUAUUUUUUAUUGAAUUUGGAUGCAUUGGGCUUAGACUUGAGGCUUUUGGGUUUGCAGCCCAUGGGAUAUGGGCCGAAAAUGGUCCAGUGUAUAAAAGGUAAGGUUUCCGGCUGAAAACCCUACUACCCUCACUUUUUUGUUCUCAGCCGUAAACCCCUUCCAGUUUUCUCUCGACUGUUCUUCACUCUACAUCACCGGUUCACCAUCUAUUUGUUGUUCUCAUCAGAAAUUGACCCUUGAUUCUUGUAGGUAUAUCAAAGGCGACCCUCACUAUGUUGAAAUUAACUCGAAUCGAUCGCGUUUUGCAAGAUUUUUGAAGCAAAAACGAUUUUCGGCAUCAAACAGCGUUCACGGCCGCAAAGCGUUUACAGCCAUAAUCCCGUUUACGGCUGUUAACUUGUUUUUGGCCAUAAACUUGUUUUCCAUCCAAAUAAAACUAUAUUAAGGCCUAAUCAACUGAUAAAUGAGAAAAUUUUAACUUUAAUUGAUUAAAUCAUUAGUUUUCUCACUUGGCUCGUUUGGUGCAAAACAAAUGGCAGACUGGAAAUUUUCGGAUAACCACAACAUUGUUGCUUUCUUAUUUGAUCCUCCAGCAACACACAAAGAAUUUAGGUUCAUGAUUCAUUGACUUAAGAGAUGCUGUCUUGGACAUGCCUUCAGGUCAAAUCUGAUCAUUUUUCAAGACUUAGUGAAGCAAUUUUGGAACAAGGCUUCUGUGAGUAAAGGAGAAUAUGAAGAAGACACUGUAGAAUCUGUUAUUCACGGAAGAAAAAUUACAGUGUCUGAGCAAACUAUUCACGAAGUGUUGCAAAUCAAUGACCGGUCUAGGUUUCAAACUGUGAUUUCUAUGGAACAAACUAAAGAGAUUAUCGAAAGAAUAGGCUAUGAGGGAGUGUUUCCACCUACCGUUAAGAAGUUGUUGCCUCCUUACUAACGAUUUCUUGCUCACUCCUUCAUAAUCUGCAUCUUAGACAGGAAAUCUAGUGUUGAUGAGAUUUCCAUAUUGAACACUGGUGCUAUUGCUGCUCUUGUCAUGGGUCUUGAGUUCAACUUUUCAAGAUACGUUUUGAAUGAGAUGAUGAGCAAUCUAGAAGGAAAAAAGGAAGGUAAAAUUUCUGAUGUUCCCAAGAUUUCUCUAGAUGAUAUUUGACAGUAAAUAUCUGGAGUUAGAAAGAAGAGGUGAAACUUUGGACUUGAAAUCUUUGGGUGCUAAUACUUUUGGUCUCAUGAAACAAAACUGCAACGGUACGAAAUUUGUAUUCCAAGGAAAGUAACCACUGGAGAAGUUUGGCCAGUUUUCGAAUAUCAGUGAAGCAUCCGGGUCAGAAAGCUCCUCAGACAAUGAAGAUGACGAAGAUGAUGCUAUUACUACUUUUGAGCAUGAAGAAGACCAUGUUCCUCCCGUUGCAAUUAUUGUCGAGGAAUAUCUACCAAUGACUAAUGUGGAGGUAAAUGAUGGUGAUGAUGUGAAUGAUGAUGAUAAAGGUGAUGAUGUGAUGAAUCUAAGGGAUGAUGUAUUUGACUUUGAUGAUGAUGAUGAGGAUGAUGAUGCAGCUAAUAUGGAUCAAGGUGGUGAUUUAUCUGGAUUUGAUGAUGAUGAAUUACUCUUCAACUUCGAGCAGGGUGAUGAUUUAAGGCCAAGUAAUAAGGAAAUCAAUCCGUUUUUUGAUGACGUCCAUGAUGUUGUACAAUCUACAAUGGAGACUGAGGGAGUUGGAAAUGUUCUCAAGGUGACGCCUCCAACUACUAAUCAGAUGGCUAACACUUCAGUUAAUCUGGAUUCAACUAUAAGGAUUCCUCCCCUUAUAGUUGCUACUCCAGCCACUUUGCCAUCUGAAGGUCAUCUUAGUAUGACACUAGCCUCCUAGCCUCCACUUAAAAGGACAAGAUCCGAUCCAAGGCCGGGAGUGUUGAUUAGGGAACAAGCUUCGUCGACCCAACAAUCUUUUGCAACUGCUACACCGUCCCAGCAAGCCCAUAUUUUGAAAGAAGGACCAAGUGAUUUUCGAUCUUCGUAUGAAGCUGGGAGUUCUUCAAUUCCUGGGAGUUUUUCUCCACCACAACAUGCGCACGAUGCUGUCUCCGAGAGGCUUGCCAGGUUUUUGGCUCAACAAGAUUUUGACCCUUCAACCCGAGGCAAAGGGAUAUCUAUAGGUGUAGGAAGUUCAGGUGGAGCGGACCCAUCACUUUUUGAGCUCAAGGAGGAGAUUGGAGUCUUGAAUCAAAGAGUCAUUGAAAAGGAUGUUUUGAUAGGAAAACUUGACGUCAGAGUUUCCGAGCUUGAAGAGGAAAAUAUUCAAAAAUUAAAACAGAUCUCCGACUUGCAGCUAAACCUUGGUGCCUUGACUGCUGGGUACUUCGACCAACUGCAGUAGAACCUUCUCAUCGUGCUCCUUCCCAAGCUGCUCAAGAUCCUCCUGUUGAUCAUCCUGUCAGAACCACAAGAAUUGUUGACCGAUUUGAGAGUGAACUGGCUCAAGCCAAUCCAAGAGUUAUUCUCAAACGAGCUCAUACACAGGUAUCUUCACAAAAGAGGGGGAAGUGGCUCUUCAUGAAAAAUUCAGAUCAAAAUGUUCGUGGAGACCAGCCCCAACUGAAUGUGACUGAGCUUGGAAAGAAGCGGUUCAAAGAUAAGUAUGGUGACCAGUCAGGAAUUCUAAUGUGGGGUUUUCAUGACAAAUUAAAUUGAUGGUUGGUAAAGCGCAAGAGCGGAAAUGUGGAGUAUUACAGGCACAAAAAUGAAUUUUCUUCUUGGACGAAGGUGGACCUCACUGAACUUGCCAAUGCUCUAUUUUCAAACCCAACUAAUGAUCCACGAGGAAUGGAUUUCAAACUCUUCUUAGAAAAUCAAGUAAAGAGUAAAUUCGAUGGAAUGAAGACAGUCGAAUCCUUCGUGAAAAGAGCCAAAGAUGUUUUUGACCCUAAGACCAACAAGAGCUUCAAGAUCGUGAUGUGGCCUCCUACAAAUCAGAUGACACAGCUUCCUAUUGUUAAGCAUUUUUGUGAUGGAUCUCUGGACAAUAUGGAGUUUUAGGUUUCUGAUGAAGCUACAACCACUACAGUCAUCAAAUUUCCAACCUACAUUUUCCGACUAGUUGAAGCAAAGGAUCUUUUGCAAUUUGGUGAACGCGACAUUCAUACCCAAGCUUGACAUUAGAUUGUGGUCACGACUGAAAUUCUAGAGCCUGCUGCUAAAGAAUUCACAAGAAUGGUCGCAGAGAUUAUUAGCAAGAAAAUGUGGCUGGGAGCAAUGGGAAGAUCAGACGUGCUUAUCAUUGAGAAGGAUUGAGCUUAUGCUAGCCACAAACCAAGGGGGAUACUAUUAGGUCAUAUUUUAUUGGUUUGGGCUAGGCAUUCAUUUGUAUAAGUCUUGUUAGUCUAUUUUUAGGUGUUUAUAGGGUUUGUAGUUGGGUAAACCGAAAACAGGGUGUUUUCGGUUCAACUAGUGUUUGCGGUUGCUAGUCUGUUUGUAGCCGUUAACUCGUUUACGGUUCAUGUUCCCUAAAAAUAAUGUCAGUUCUGUACGAAGUAGUGUUCGGUUAUCUGUGUGUGUCCAUUGUACCGGACGUUUACGGUUCAAUAGAAACGUGUGCAAUUUGGAUCAUUCUUGCUUCUACUCCUUCUUGUUCUUAUUGAUUAUUACUUGUUCUUGUGUUUGAUCACUAGUUGGUUACAGAGUUGGGGACUUACAAAUAUGGUGGUUGCUUAAAAAAAACUUCUGCAUAAAUUAUACCACUAAGGGCGUGUUUGGCAAAAGUAGUUGUUAGCCUGUAGCGGGAAGCUGUAACUUUUAUUUGUUAUAUGAGUAUUUGGCAAAAGUAGCUGGAAGCUUUUGAAAUAUAUAAAAUUACAUAAAAGGAUAAUUUAUUAAAAAUAAAUAAAUAUAUAAAUAAAUUUGUAAGGGUAAUUAUGGAAAUUGAUUUCAAAAGCUCAGUAGCGUUUUGUUAAACGCUACAUGAAGUAACUUUUAGAUUUAGAGUGUUUUGUUUAAACUAAAAGCUAAACGCUCAUACUACCAAACAAUUUUUUUUUGUUUAAACUAUAACGUUUUGUCAAAAGCUAAAAGCUAGAAGCUUCCAAAAACUCUGUGUCAAACACGCCCUCAGCCAAGUAACAUCCACUUUAUGCUUAGUUUUUUUAUGAUCCUUUUAGCUUUCAACAGUAUUAAGUAUUUUUAUGUGGUUAUUAAGAAUGUACAAAGCCACAAUUCGAAAAAUAAAUCACACUUUUAAGGAUAUAGCUUCGAAAUGAUUAAUCACAGUUAUAGAAAUAUAGUUUCUAAAAUGCUUGCCACUUCAGAGUCAGAAUAACCAACACCUAUGUCUUUCAAAUAGACAAAACAAAUCUUGAGAGACAAUUAAAUUUCACCCUCACAUUUAUAAUAAAAAAAUUGAAAAUACAUAAUCAAAUUGAAAUAAGGUUCUUUUAUUGGAAGGCUUUUUCAUGUGUUUAAUACAAAUAACAAUGCCAAAGCUUUAUUCACGUGAUAUACAUAUCCUUUUUCAAUAUACAACAAUAUUCAGUCGAGCAUAAGAUACAUAGAUAUGCAUGAGAAAUUUCUACGGUUUGAGAAACUUGUCAAACCAAUCACUAGCUUCU